CCAUAUCCUUUCAUAGUUUUCGGUUGCCACUAUCAGCCGGGUGAUAAUAAUUUAUACAGGACUGUUCUAUCUGGAGAGAAUGGUGAUAGGGUUGAAGCUACUGCAAGAUGUCACAUGGAUACCUCCCAAUGGAGCCAUGAUCACGUUUCCUUCCGGGUGCUUGGUAUCGAACCGGGCACUGCACCUGUUUGCCAUUUCUUCCCGGCAGAGGACUUUGUAUUGGUUCCAUCUACUUCUUCAAUCUAGUAAUAUCCAAGAGCUCAAGUGCUUUCAGCAUUUUAGUUGUUUAGCUUAAGUCGCCUUGUCUGAAUGUGUAAUACUAGAAAUCAAUAAAUUCGUGUGCCUCAUGUUUGAUUAUCUGUAUUCGAAUAAAACUCCGUGGAGUAGUAGCGCUACUUUUGACAAUCAAAGUUUUAUAUACUUCAUUUUACACGUAUGUUACAAGAUUUCAUCAUAUAAUAUACUCUUCUUCAAGAUUGCAACUUUGACAUCUUUCAGAUCUUUCAGCCAAAGCUUUUAAGUUUCCUGCAAAUUCAGAUGGUCUUGAUUUCUUCUGAUCAUCAGAAACUCGAGGAGGUACUGUGUGAAGUGAAUAGUUCCAAGAAAACACCACUCCUGUUGUAUGAUUCAAGGACAAAAGAACCGCAUCCAUCCAUCUAGAAAAGCUGCAGAAACCUUCCGUCCUUGCCGUUGAGAAAAUUUUAUAGAUAACUCUUCGAUUUCAAGUCUAGGAUCCAUUGGACCGUCUUUGAUCUCAUUGAGAUCAACUUUUGCAGAUGCAGAACAACUUUUGCAGACCGUCUUUAAUCUCUAGAAAGUGGACGGCUGAACAAGAUGAAAUCUUGACCUAGUACAUGAUCUGAAACCUGAAGAAUAAUGGGAAGAGCCCCUUGCUGUGAGAAAGUGGGCAUAAAGAGAGGGAGGUGGACGGCUGAAGAAGAUGAAAUCUUGACCGAGUACAUUCAAUCUAAUUUGUUUCGUCGGUUAAUUGCAAAAGAUUAAACCAGUGUGACAAUUAUACCCCCGUUAGUCCACGCAAAUUGAGUAAAAUGUAGUGAAAAGUCCUACAUUUGAAGUAAAAAACUAAUUCAAGGACUAAAUUUGUUAAAAUAUUUCAUCAAGGACGAAAUUGAUUUAAGUGAAAAUGUUUAGGGACCAAAUUGACGAAAUUCCCAACAGCUAAUCCCAAAAGUUUUUCUUAUGUAGUAGCUGGACUUCUUGAUCGCAUAAUUGUGGCUGUCCAUCUCUUUGAUUUGGAUUCCGAUCUUAUUCAAAUACUUUUGGAGGGGUAUCCUAUAAUUAGAGUGUCAAUCACAAACUCAAUUAUGUUGAUUCGCCCAAACUCGCUCACCAAUAACCCCCGUUCAAAUCCACCCACUAAUUUUAAAUAGGUCUAAAUGGGUAUCCAAUUAAACUCAUUUAAUUAGUAGACAGUGGAUUAACUCGAAUCACUUAUUUAUACCCAUUUAAAAUAAUUAUACAUUUAAACUCAAGUAUUAAACAAAUAAAUUUAAAUUUAUUAUCAAUGUAAUAAUAAUAAAAUGCUAUUAUUUUUUAUCAGACAACAUGUGAAAAAAUAAAAAAAUUAAUUAUAACUAUUUAAAUUCGUUUAAAUCACUUAUUUUGACACCUUUGACGACCAUUGUCUGCUCAUUGGACAUUCCACCGCCACUUGUUCAGCCGUUCCUUUCUUCCUUGCCGUUGCCAGUGUCUAUCAUUUCCGAUUACCAGGUAAGGCUCUGACAUAACCACUGGGCCUUUGGCUUGGAGAAAUCAUGACGUCGAAGAAGCGACUUGUGAGGCAGAAUAGGAGAUGCAGAAAAAGUAUCCUGAGUUGUUCGCUUAGAAAUGUGAGAAUUUUGAAUAAAGACCUCAUCUUUUGAUCGCAUCAAGCCUCAGCCGGAAAAAAGAAACCCAAAGGUAACAGCUUUCCACUUUGGAGUUUGUUUAUGAGUUGCCUCCCACCAAAAAUGCCACAUUUUUGUGGCUUGUCUUCAAAAAAUUCAGACGGGUGUGCUGUGCACCCGUCUGAUUCGGUGGUGGUUCAGUCCUCUCUGGCUUAUCCCUGGGUCUCCUUAGGCCCGUCUCCUUCCCCUUAGUGUAGGAUAGAUUAGAUUUAUCAUCUUCGAAAAAAAAAAGAAAAAAGGUAAGGCUCUGACAUUAGUGUCCACCUGCCAUAGUGCCAUCCCAUUGAUUAACCAAGUUACAGCGCUGUCAUAUUUGUCAAGCCAUCCUUCAUUAUUGGAUCUUUUAUUCUAUGUAUGGGACCGUCCUUACUGUUCCCAUGAAAGAUUGGUUCAGAAAUGUAUGGCAGCUGUGAAAUACGUUAGCUGUCUGAAUCUUGUCUCAUAAAGAUAUGUAGCUGAAAAUCCGAACGCAUUGGUUUCACGAGAGUUUUCUUAUCCACCGUGCCUGCCAAUUUUCUAUCACCAUAUAACAGCGUUUUUAAACUAUACGGACUGACCGAUUCUAAACAUUGAACCGAGGGUCCGGUGGUUCAGUCCGAAUUAAUCAAUUGAGUUGAACAGACAUUUACUGGACCUGCUCAGAUAUUGGGUUUAAAUAAAGAAAAUUGAGUUUUUAACUAUAUAUUUUGUGAGACUAUGAGCUGGUUUAGAUUAAAGACUUGUGCAUUUCAAUCGUUGUAAUUUAACAAUUAUUUCUUAGAUUGGAUUUUGAUUCUUUCAGAUUAUGUCUUCUUGUGCAUUUCAAUCUUUGUAAUUUAACAAUUAUUUCUUAGAUUGGAUUUUGAUUCUUUUAGACUAUGUCUUUCUUGUGCAUUUCAAUCUUUGCAAUUUAAUAAUUGUUUUUUAGAUUGGAUUACAUGUUUAGUUCUGGAGAGGCCCCCUAAUCUCGAUUCGAGGCCUGACAUGUUGUAUUUGUACUCGAUUUCGGGAAGUUAGCAAUUUCAUAUUUUAUUACACCAUUGUUUCUUUGAUUGGAUUUUGAUUCUUUUAGGUUAUGUCUUUCUUGUGCAUUUCAAUCUUUGCAAUUUAGUAAUUGUUUUUUAGAUUGGAUUUACAUGUUUAGUUCUAAAGAGGUCCCAUGAUCUCGAUUCGAGGUCUUCCAAGUUGUAUUUCUAGUUGAUUUCGGGUAUUUAGGAAUUUCAUAUUUUAUUACACCAUUUUUUAACUCAAUCAAAUCAUAUUUCAACUUUUGUCACACUAUUUUCCAACUCAAUUACAUUAAAAGCAAACUUGUGAGAAAUAAAACUUGUGAGACCCCAUCAACCCCUGCUCCUACUAAUAUUACACAUGUAGAUUAUAUUUUAUUUAAAAGGAAAAUUGCCAAAUUAGAAUUAGUCAAAAUAGUCCAUCAAAUAUAACAAAAGAAAAGUAUCCUUUUAGUUCGCGAGCUCAUUUUUUGAUCGGUUUUCUAGCCAAAAAGUGUGUGCCUUUCUUAGGUACCCACAAUUUAAAUAGCAAAAUGGGAAAACAAUUUAUUUUCUUCCACAAAAAGCACAUGACAAUCAUAUGAUCACCUCCUGAAUAGGGAAUCCUAAUCGAAGAAAGAGUAAACUACAGGUGACCUUUACACUUUCUUGUUUGAUUAUGGGUCUGGUGGAUAUGAAUUAAGGUCCUUUGCUAGAAGUGUGGUUAUGUCCUUUGCUAGAAGUUUGAUUAUGAAUUAAGGUUCUUUUAUUUAAGAGAAACAAAUUGCGUUUCAAUUUUGCCGUUGAAAUUGUGGGAACCAGAGAGAUGGUGCACUUUUAGGCUUAAAAAUUGAUUGAAAGUGAGUUUUGGGACUAAAGGAGCAUAUUUUUUAUAAUUAUUUUGAUGCUUAUAUCAAAACCAUAUAAAUUUACACCGAAUGUAUUAAAAAUUAUACAAACUGAUAGAAUUUACCUUGCUGUAAAAAAAAAAAUGGCUACCAAACUAUUUCUUGUCUCAAUUUAAUCACUCAACUAAUUAAUCAAUAUACCGUUGGUUAUUUCAUCGGAUUUUGCUCUUAGUUUUACAAAUAAACCAAACACAUGCAAAUCAAGUGCCAAAAUUUAAGGGUAAUCAUAUCCACUGAGUUUAUCAAUCCAAAUCUAAAAAGUCCAACAGCCACUAAUCUAUUCCCUUCGUACUCUUUUGGCCAUUCAAAUAUUUUUUGUUUCAAUAUAAUCACUAAAGUCUUAAAUCAAUAUACUAGCAGUCAUUCCGUCAAAUAUAUCCGUUAAUGCUAAGGAAUGAGUUCUAUGUGCAUUUCACAUACCCAAAACAGGACAAUUAUGUAAGGUCAAUUUUUUAGAUUUUUUUCCCGUUAAUAUUACAAAUGCAGGUAAUAUUAUAAUAAAGGAAAAAUUGUCAAAUUGGUCCUUUUCAUUUUUGAUAAAUUUUUUAGCCCCUCGCAAUUAGAAUUAGCUAAAAUAGUCCCUUAAAUAUUAAAAAAAAUGCAUCCUUUUGGUCACAGAGCUCCUUUUGGUAAAUUCCUUCUUGUACCUUGACAUUAAAUUUUAUUUAAUAUGAAUGACACAUAUUAUCUAGACGUCCAAAUAAAGGAGAUCAUUGUAACUUUUCAAAAACUUGAACGGAGCAACAUGAAAUUGUUAUAAACCUCAAAGGAGUUUUACAUAAAUACCCCACACGUUUACAAGCAGAUUUUAUCAUGCUAGUACCUUUAUAAUCGAAGAAAGCCAGUACACUCAGUGCCACAUUGUUCCCUCUCCCUCUCUCUCGUUCUUCUCACAAGUUGUCUUGCGUGCUGCUUUGCUUCUCAGGACACGUUGAAGCUUUUGUUCUUUGCUAGCUAGGUAAUUAUUGUAUGCCUGGCUCUCAAUUUCUCUGGUCCACUUUAUUAAUUGAUUUUUUUUUUUUUUGUAAAAAUUUUAGUGUAUCAAUUUCAGACGUUUGUUUUUCUUCGUUAUUGGAAAAUCCAGCAGCUGUUUGCAUGCUAAUAUAUGGGAUUUCUCUUUUGCUUAGAUCUGGAACACUUGCCGUCUAGCAGGAAAAAAUUAGCACCUGCAUAUUAUGUGACCCUGAAAAAAAAAAACAUCUUUCUUUCUGUCCUCCAUUAGUUUGGCACUAAAACUUGAGUAAGGUUAACAGGAUUGUGCGGUACAACCAACAAUAAUGGAGGGGGAGAAGACGGAUACAGAGGGAAAGGUGGAGACAGAGAAGAUGAACAAGGAAUUUGCCAUGGCAUAUGAUGUCCAAUCUAAAAUAGUAGAGGAUCUAUUUGGGGAUCACCUCCAUUUGGGCUUCUAUGACUCUAGCUCCGUUAUCCCUGGUUCUGAUGUCAAUUCUGCUCAGACUCGCAUGAUCGAGGCGGCCCUCCGUUUUGCCUCUGUAUCAGGUAUAAUAUGCAUUCGCAGUUUGUGUGGAGUUUUCUUCUCUUUCUCCAAGUGCAAAUGCUGCAUGUGGGUGUAGGGUUUAAAGUUCCGACGUACAAUCUAAAGAGGAAUUUUAAAUCCCUUACUUUGAAUUGACCAAAUUCUACACUCAAUAGUACAUGCAUAUGUAAACGGGGAUAAUCAAUUCGGGAAGGAUAAAAACAGAAGCAGCAUUUUGUUUUUCUUUUUUCUUUUGGUCUUUACUUUUCUUUCUCAUUUUAGUAGCUUUAGUUUUUCUUUGGCUACAUUUGGAAUGGAUUUAGGGGUAUUUGGCUAUUCAAAAGGUUAGAUUACAAAUUGGUCAAAUUACAGGAUUAGUUCUAUAAUUUGGACAAGCCUUAUGCAAUGUGAAUAUACAUUAAGCAUAGAAUUUGUUUUUUUCUGGGCAAUCAUGUGCAAUUUCUGUAAUUGGUACUCUGGGUUUAGGUCAUGCACACAUUGAAAAAAGAAAUGGUUUGAUUGCUUUUCAAUGUGUCUAUUUACUUUCCUAGUGAAACAUCCUCCUCAUAAUUUCUAGUUUUUUCUCCUCUCCAACUUUGUCAUUUAAUAGUCAACCAACCGGCAUUAUUUAUCAUGAAAUAAUAUGCAGAGGAUCCAUCUAAGAAACCAAGAAACAUACUUGAUGUUGGAUGCGGUAUUGGUGGCAGCACCAGGUACCUAGCAAGUAAAUAUGGUUCUCAAUGUAAAGGCAUCACCCUUAGCCCUUUUGAGGCUGAAAGAGCUCGUGUUCUAACAGCUGCCCAAGGAUUAGAAAGCCAGGUCUGUAUGAACUCUCCGUGUUACAAUUUUGAAAGAUUUGCAAGAAGUUAUCAAUUGUUAAAUCACCCUUUAUGCAAGUGCACAAUGAGUAAAAAUUUUCAUUCCUCCAUUUCUUAAGGAAUGAUGACAGAGUGCAUACAACUACUAUGCUUUCGAAAAAAAUUGUCAACAUUUUGCAGUAUAAAGACACACUUCUUAAUUAGAUUUUGAGUAUAAAAGAUCCUUGUAUUGACUUUUGGAUAUCAUGUAGACCUUGUUGUGCACAUUUUGCAGUAGAUUUUGUUAAAAAAGCUACUACAAUUAACGUUCUUAGCGAAUAGUUUGAAUCAUUAUCAUUAGUCACAAAUUGGACUCGCCCUUUUUACAUAUUUUCCCCAAUCUUUUAAACCAUAUAAAGCAAGAGAUGCAUUUUCAUAGAAUACUAGAUGCUAACCCAUGCACAUGCACAUAUUUAUAUUACCUGUUUAUUUCUAUGAGAAAGAUAAUAGACAAUGAAUGAAGUUACAUAUGAACUAAACAAAUUGAUCUGAGGAAAGUUAAAGCAAAAAUAUUUCAACAACAACAACAAACAAUUUCAAAGCGUGGAAGAAAAAAAGAAAAGUUUCAGCAUUCCUGAGGCUAGCUCGUGAAUGGUCCCAAAGCCUCCCCACUUUUGGUUCAAGAAAGCGAAACUGAUACUCCAAAGUUUCAAGAAUCCUAAUUUGUGAUAGUUUUGUUUUGAUUACCCAUCCUCACCUUUACUUUUAUACACUAAAAAUGCAAAAUUUUUAAAUCCUAAAUUUUAGCGGAUAAAAUUAUCUCAUGAUAGAAUUGAAUUCAAAUAUGUAUUAUCAGUAAUCUUAGGUAAUGAUGAUAACUCUUGGAUUUGGAUACACACGUAUGUGCAUUCAUAUAUAUAUAUAUAUAUAUAUAUAUAUAUAUACAUACAUACAUAUACAUAUAUAUGUGUGUGUGUGUGUGUGUGUGUGUACACAUAUGCACAUAUACACACAUACAUCUAACUAUAUAAAAGCGGGAGUUGGGUUAUGAGCAAUGUUUUAAAACCCGGACCGUCAAUUGAACCGGUGAGGUGAAAGGGUCGAGGUUCAACCGAUUGGACCCGUUCAACCUCGGUUCAAUGAAUUUUUUUAAAAAUAAUUUAUAUAAAUAUAUAUAUGCACAAAAUAAGACAUGCAAUGGACUAAUUUAAAACUGUAUAUGAUGAAAAGUUCACUAUUUUUGAAUAAUUUGGAUUUUCAAAAAUGAAUUUUUUAAGUUAUAAGUUAAAGCAAAUAAAUUUCAUCUCAAUUUCAAUUAUAUCUACCCAAAAAAAUCUUAAAUCCAAUCCAAAAUAUCACAAUAUUUUGAAAUUAUACAAAAUUCACUUCUAUGAGAAUUUGACAUUGUGAACUUAAAUUUUAAUUUACGUCUUUGAGAUUUAAAGAUUGUAAUUUAAAAAAGAAAGUUUGGAGUUCGAAAGAAGUUAAGAGAAUUGAAAAUAGAAAUGCAAACUUGAUAAGAAACAAAAAAUGAGAUAAAAGUGAGUGGUUGUGGCAUUAAAUAAUUUGGGUUAAAGAAAAAUAAUUCUUUUUUAACUUUUUCCAAUUUAAUGGACAAAAACAAAAUUAAAAGAUAGAAGAAAAUAUCAAUAAAUUAAAACUAAUGAGGUUCGAUUAAAAAUGAAGUGACAAAAGAAAAGAUGAGAGAGAAAGAAAGAAAGAGUUGAAGAUUAAAAAGAAAAAGUCAUGAGAGGAUGGGGUUUUGUAAGAAAAAUGCAAAAAUAAAAUAUAGAUGUUUGUUUUAUAUAAAUAAGUUAUCAAAAAAAGCAAAUAAGAUGUGAUGGUGCAAUGGUUACUACAUUGAUUUUCUAUUGCAAAGGUUUUGAAUUCGAAUCUUGAUAGAAGCAUUUCGCAAAAAAGUAAAAAAAAAAAAAAAAAAAGGAAAACUCAAAACCGGUUCAACACGAUUCACCGGUUUUCACGGUUUUGACCGGAUUUGACUGGUUCUCUGGCAAAGUCAACCAAAGCAUAGAACCGGACCAGUGCCAUGGCCGGUUCACGGUUCAACCGGUCGAACCGGCCGGUCUGGUCCGAUUUUCAAAACAUUGGUUAUGAGUAGUAAUUCUUUGUCAAGUGGUUAUCAAGUAAUUUUCAGCAACUUUGAUGGCUUUUGUAUUUGUUGGUUUUGUUGACUUUUCGGGAACUCCAUUUGCAUCCGUCAUUGGCAGUUCCUCAUGUCAUUAGGAUUAGUCUUAGUAGUCCUUCAUUUUUUGCUAAUGCCAUUUCCUGUUUCUGCCUUACUCGGAGGCCAGAAGAAGAUGCAUGUUAUAGUUGUAUGGUUUAUUUGUAAUUUAUUUGUUCUUUGUUCCUCUUUGUUUGCAUCAUUUUCGCCUAUUGUGAUCCGCAGAGAUAGGCCAUCUUAGCUAUUCUUGACUAUUAGUUUAGCCUUAGGUUUGUCUUAUUUUUCAGUUAUGCCAUUCCUUUUUUCCUUCGUUCAAGCUGCAUGCUAUAGUUGCUUGAUUGUUUGGUAAUUUUGUUGUCUUCUGACCCUAUUUUUUGUUGACUCAUUAUUCACUUUUGUGGAUGCCUCACUUUUUGUUUCUACAUGUUUCUUUGAUUUAGCGGAUAGUGAAAUAAAUUUGUUUGGAAAAGAAUGCACGCCUAAGUGGAUGCAGUGUUCAAUUUUCAUGUGAUAACUAUUGCUGUGACUAUGCAUGUAACCAUGCUCCGGACUGUCUUCCAUGGAAUUUCCAAAAAUUGAGCUGGACGGAAAAAAAAGGGCCGGCAUUUUCAUCAAAAGUUAAUGAAAUAGUUUAAAGUGUCAAAAGGUUUUAACCAAAAAUAGUUUCUAAUUUUGCUGAUUUUUAAAAUGUACAAUUAUAAAGAUAUAUUAGUCUAUAUAUUUAUAUUUAGUGUGCAUAAUUAUUAGAAAAUUUUUAGUACCCUUAUUUUUAUUAUUAUAGUUUUCAUUCUAUUUAUAUGUGUGUGCUAAUUUAUGAGCUUAUUUUCUUUUUAAAAAAGACAAUAUCUAAGGAUAUAAAAGGGGAGAGUUGGGUUAUGAAUAGUGCUUUUUGGUCAAGCGGUUAUGCUGCAAUUAUUGUUGGAUGUGGAGGCUAUUUUCGUCAAUUGGCUGUUUUGGUUAUUUCACGUUGGUGGUUUACUUUGUGCGGCGAUAAAUAAAAGUUGUGUGUGUGCUUGUUUUUCUAUGCAAUUUAAUACUCAUUGCAUUGGGUGAAGUGGUUGUCUACCAUGUUGACAAGAAACUUCUAAUUGCAUGAUUUUCAAAAAUUGAACCGAAAAAAAAGUAGAAGUCCAACAUUGUCAUCACAAGUAACGAAAAUUGGCUGUCAAGAUUUGGGACUAAAAAUGGUUUAUAAUCCUUCUACUAUUUAAGAUGCACAAUUAUUAAAAAAAAUAUUAGUCUAUAUAUACAUAUUAAAUGUAUAUAAUUAUUACAAAUUUUUUGAUGCCCCUUAUUUUUAUUGUUAGUUUUCCAUUCUAUAAGCAUAAAGUUAUUUCCGUCUUGUAUGUGAGCUAGAUGGUUAACUUAUUUCCUUUUUAAAAAAAUUAAUUUGUUAUUUUUCUAACAUAUUCGUAUUUAAUAUAUAUAAUUAAUAUAAAUUUUUUAACACAUUCAUUUUUCCUAAUGACUCUAAAUUGAAAAGCAAUGUGCUAUUUUUUUUAUUAUUUUAGUCAAACAUGUAACAUUAAUUAGAUUAUUUCUUACAUUAAAAAGCUAAAGUACUCUAAAUUUCAAACAAUAUAUAAUAUAAUUAUAUAUAUAAUACAAAAGGGAGAGUUACCCUAUGAAUGGUAUUUUUGGUCAAGUGGUUAUCCUGCAAUUAUCUAAUAAUAUAAAAUGAAGAGUUGUCCUAUGAGCAGUGUUUUUUUGUCAAGUGGUUAUCCUGCAAUUGUUAUUGGAUGUCGGGGCUAUUUUCAUCAAGUUGCCUGUUUUGUUUGUUUAAAGCAGGUAUAGUUUUGGUGCAUUUACGAGACAUGUUGAUCAAAUUAGUAAUUGGUGGUGUAAAAAGUGAAGCUUUUGAAAGUUGGUUUUUUGUGGUUAAUUAUUUGCUUUUAAAGUGUCCUUUUUUUUACCUAUGAAAGAAUUGAUAAAUUAUUGCUAGCUUUAGUGACUUUAAAAAUGGCCUUUAUUACUGUGACAUGAAAUAAAAUUGUUAAAUGUUCUGUAAAUGCACAAUUAGCGAGGAAACAAUGAAUAAAUUAUUGUUGGUUUGACAUCAUAUAAAAUUGUUAAGUGUUCUGUAAAUGCACAAUUAUUGAAGAAACAAUUAAUAAACCAUUGUUGGCUUUAGUAACUUUAAAAAAUGGAUUUUAUUACUGCGAUAUGUGGUGAUUAAUUUAACAAUGCCAAGUUCUAUGGUUUAAGUGCUUAAUUGACUUGCCAAGUCCCCCUUUUUUGUGUCAACAAUGAUUAAUACUUUUUUGGGAAUGAUUCACUUCAUAAUUUUCUAAUUAUGCUAAAUCAAAUGCAAAAUAACCUUAUACAGUUUUCUAAUUUACGCUUAUGCAUUCUAUAUAAGCGCCCUCAUGCAUUCUAUAUAUUAUUGUUCUCAUGUAUUCUAUAUAUUUCAUAAUUGUCAACCUUUAAUAAAAACGAUAAUUCUCUAAUGAUCUGCAUGAAUUAGAUAAUAACAUAGAUGUAUACUAAUAAAUCACACAAUAAAAAACAAUUAGCACGGAAAUAUUAGCCCAUGCGCAGGCCGUCUCACUAGUAUAUAUAUGUGCAUAUGUGUAUAUAUAUGUAUGUAUGUAGAAUUAAUCUUCUAUGCACUAACUAAUAAUUUAUACACUAUUAGAUUUAGAUGUUUCGCACACGUGCAAUACAUAAAUUUCAAAUUCAAAUUAAGAUUAAUUAUUAUGCAUGUCAAUAUAGAGAAGAUUAGCCAUAUGUUAUUGAUUAUGCCAAGUUUUAAAUUCAGAUCAAGUCACAUUUCAAAUAAACUUUGUAGAAUGACUCGGGACUUUCUUUCAAAUUCAAGUAAAAGCCACCACAAUGCUAGCAAGAGAACUAAGAAAGAAGAAGAUGUAAAAUCAUUAUGCAGAUGUAUAGUAGUGCUGCUUUCUUUUCCUAACAGCUACUAAAAUGUACAUAGCAGGUUUCCUUUGAAGUGGCAGAUGCAUUGAAUCAGCCAUUUGCAGAUGGGUCAUUCGAUUUAAUUUGCUGUAUUGAAUGUGAAAAUCACAUAAGCGAUAAAACAAAGGUUAUUUUUCUUCUUCUAUCCUUUACAAUUACUAUUUCUCUUUAUUUUUUUUUGUUUUUAUCAUUCUAUAAAAAAGAUUAUCUACCCUACUUGUUGAACGUAGGUAUCACGUAUAUGCAUUAAUAUAAAAUUCUGCUGAUGCUAUUUUCUUCUUGAUGAAGUUUGUUCAUGAGUUGAGUCGGGUGGCUGCCCCUGGUGCUACCAUCAUUUUACUCACUUGGUGUCAUAGGGAUCUUUCCCCCCUUGAACAAGAUUUGCAUCCAGAUGAGAAAAAGUUACUGACCCAUGUGCUGAGAAGAAAUCCUCUUAAGUGGAUUUCUACUGCUGAUUACAUAAAUUUAUUCAAGUCAUGCUCUUUUCAGGUAUUUAAUCGCGUUUACUUUUUGCGGCUUAUUUAUUCGAUCAGAAUCAUUAUUUUUCUUCAUCCCAAUAUUUUCCCCCAUUUAUCCAUGUCUCCUGUUGUUAAUUAGGAGAUCAAGUAUGCAGACUGGUCUCCACACGUUGCUCCAUUUUAUGCAGAAAUGAGGAAGAUAACGUUGUCAUGGAAGGGAAUCAUGUCGUAUGUUAGACAUGCUGGUAAGCAUUGUGUAUUUCACUCGCCUAUAUAGCCGAUUCAUUACCAUUAUCUACCUUGUAAUUGUAUGCUAUAAUUCUUAACCAUUUCUCCAUCUUUUCUCAAUUUCAAUUAAUAGGAUGGAGCCAAAUGGGCAUCAAGUUUCUGAUGAUGCCGUCAGUGUUCGACAGAUUCAAAAAUGGUCUGCUUAAGUAUUGCAUUCUUACGUGCCAGAAGCCUCAGUAGUUCAGUUCCAGUGAUGUUUAAUGUCCAUGCAUAAAUAUCACUCCACAGUCGAGUGAUAAUUCCUUGUUUUUCUUUCUCAAAAGCUAAUUUGUACUUGUAUUGUUCCUCAAAACGUGAGAAUUUUCCUUUUUCUUUUCUUUGGAAGAUCUACUAUAUUGUGCAUAUGCGUUGCACAAGACUACAGGUAAUUUGGAGUUUCCAAUAUCAGAACUAGCAGACUUGGUCCACCUAAAAUUGAUAUAAAAAGAAAAGUUCCAGUCGAGUUGUCAAAGCUGAGGUGUAACUUUUAGUUGCAUAUUAAUCCAAGUUUUUUUACGUGUGUGUUACUGUCGUUUACGAAAAAAAAAAAAUCCAAGUUUUUUUACUUUUCUUUUAAGAAAAGCAAAUUGGUCUAAGUUGAACUCUCUUAAUUUUCUCAAAAUCUGGUCUCCAACGGCUGGAGAGGAGAAAACCAAAUAAAAAUGUAGAAAAAUUAAGAUGCCAAGAUAAAUGAAAAGAGACAUACCCACGGCCACGGAUGGUACACAGCAGUGUCGAAAAGAGACAUCCAAUAAACUCUUGGGGUUAUUGCUAUUUAUACAGAAAAUGUGACGUUGGAUUGAAGUUUUUCUGAGAAAAUUUUUUACCUUUUUAGUGAUCACAUUUUCUAAUAAUCUUUUCCUCAUAGAUACUAAACAUAAAAAAGAACUAAACUAUGAUAUUUAUAAAUGAAAAAUAGUAAUAUAAUAAAAAGUGGGAAAUGAGACAGAAGAUCCGUUGUGACCAUUAAUUGUAAUCAGACAAAAACAUAAUUAGAUUACAAAACAAUUUGGUUUUGUUAGGAUACUUUUGUUCGGCUUUCCUUUACAUGUUAGGAAAAAACACAAGUGAUAAAAUCCAAACGUGUAAUUAGCAAAUAUGUUAACUUUUUUAUAAAAAGAAUUUAUAUUGAAGUAGUUUAGAGUUGACUAUUUGUCUAUCUAAAAUGUAACAUCUAAACUACUUUAAAUUAGGCAUUUACAUAUUAAAUCCGAUUUGGUACAAAGGUGAAAAAAUUUGAGAAAAAAAUAAGUAAAUAUAAAGAGCCAUGAGUCAAGAAUUUCACAAAGAUGACUUAUCUUUAAUUUCUUUCCCAUUUUCAUGAUAAAAUUACCAUUUUAUUGGUAAUUAAUCCACUUUAAUUCCAUUAUUUAUUAAACUGUUCUUGUCUAAUUAAAGUUUUCCGUUUGCUCUCCAAAACUCACUGUAUAAAUGUGAACUUAUAUUUCAUUGGGCGUUGGGCUCUCUUGCAAUUACUUUGCUUUCAUAUUUUAGAUAAUUCCUUACUUUCAAUUACAAACUUAAGUUAAUUUUUAACAGCACCAAAUGUUGCAUGACAUUAUUAUGUAUAAGGCAUUAUUUUGAAAAUCUGGCGGUUCCAAUUUUUUGUUGAUUGGGCUUGUUAACGUUACUUCAUUGCUGGUUUUGUUGUUCCAAUUUUUUCAUUUACCAAGUUAAAGAGAACUAGGACAUUAGGGAACAAGUGAAGAAAAGAAUUGGUUAAUAUUUAGACAGUGACUCCACUAUCUCCAUUUUUCUUCCGUUAAAAUUUUUAGUUUGCAUACUAACCCUUCAAUUUCUUAACAACUUACUUUCCUAAAAUCUCAAAGUUUUCCAUAUUUAACCUCAACAUCCCACAGCAUAGAAUUAAGCCUAGCUACUUUCCAAAUUCUUGAAACAGAAUUUUGCUGCACAUUGAUUGCGCACCUACUUUCUCCAAGUAUAUAUAAAUAGUGUAUGGCUGUGGCUAUCAAAUCUCUCACUGUUUGUUCCUAACAAAGAGACAUAGAGUAAGUACCUAAUGGAGGCAAGAAAGAUUAAUACUGUUGCUCCUAUCAUGGUGUUACAGCUUCGGGCAAUUGAAGACUCAACAGCAGACAAAGCCAUAAAAGAGCCACCAGCGGCUUGCUUUGCCUUUUCUUUUAAGAAAAGCAAAUUAGUCUAAGUUGAACUCUCUUAAAUUUUAUAAAAAAUGUAAAUUAGAAAAGAAAGUAUUGAUUAUUCAAUACUUGGAAUAAUCAAUACCACGUAUAAUAUAUGCAAAAUGGGCACUUAUAAACUGAGUACAUAGAAAGCUUAAGGGUAUUUUUGUUUUCAAGUAGAUAUUGAUAAUAGAAUAUAGUGGCAAAAUGGCCAGCUGACCAAGGCUCUCCCAUAUACCGAAUAUAUCGAAAGUUCAAGAAGUCGAAGGGUAUUUUUGUUUUCAAGUAGACACUGAUAACAAAAUAUAUACUAAUUAUCGGGAAGGUAAAAAAAAAAAAUCACUAAAUCUUCACGUCGAGUAUGGAAUCAGGCUUUCACUCGAAAGCUUCCAUAUGUGGUUUCUCCCCCUUGAAGUUAGCGUCAUUACCAUAGUAAAAGAACGUGCAUUCAAGCUUUGACUCAAAAUCUUUCAUUUGAAGUUUUUCCUUCUUCUCAUUUGUGUCAUCGCCAUUGUUAAUGAGUACGGAUUCAUGUUUGGACUUGAAGUCCUACAUAAGCGAUUUCUCCUCCUUAUCACUCUGCUAAAUGAUUAAUAUGGAUUCAGGCUUUGACUCAAAGUCUCUCAUAUGCGGUCUAUCCUUCUUUGAAUUGGCAUCAUCUGCGUGGUAAAGGAAGGUGGAACCAGGUUUUGACUUGAAGUCUUUCAAUGUAUUAGAGUGAAGGUGCUAAUUUUGUUCAGUAAAGUUCUCAGGGUUGAUGGCGGGUUCAGAAUGUCCCUGGGAUCCUUUCUUGCUUCCAUGAAGCAUGCAAGCGGCACAUUCAGGGCAAAUGACAUAAUUGAAGAAACAAGCAUCAUUGUGUAUAGGUACCUAAACAAAUAAGGGAGGUAUGUUGCACACCAAAUUAUAGCCUUGUUGGUCUUGCUUAUCUUAAAGUGUCAUUCUACACAGGUGGACCUGCUUAAAAAAUUUUUACGUAAAUCUAGGACCAUUAAUUUCUUGCUCGUCAACCUUACCUACUAUACCAACACCUUCUCAACCUAUCUCUCUACCUCUAUAGUGGAGACAUUGGAGAUGAAUUCCUCUAACCAACGAAAGUAAACAGUUUCAAAAGUCAAGUUACAGGACAUUUAAGUUUCUUAUAGCCCACAUCGGAAUGUUUUGAAAAGGAAAGCUUUAUGAACAUACAACUACAGAGCCACACGUCAGUUUUGCUCUCCUUAAUCUGAAGAGUUUCCGAUACCUCGGUCGGGAUAGUUAGAGUUGAGGAUUAAUGCGUGAAAAGGAAGAAGAAGGCAUUUUCUCAGGUAGAUAGUUUUAAUUGAGAGGAUCAUAACAAUGCCGAAUAAUUAACGUGAUUUAAGUGGGCGUAAGUUCUAACAGUCAAAGAAUCAUUGCUUAUGAACUACUACUUCAAGUAGAGGAUUGAUGUUUGAGAAAUCUUACCAGGGCAGUUGUAAAGAAUGCGACGAGAGCAACAUAUGAACCCAUCCUCCCUUUGAAUAGCCUCAAAAUGUGACUUUGAUAGUGGAAAACUCUUGGGGUUAUUGCUAUUUAUACAGAAAAUGUGACUUUGGAUUGAAGUUUUUCUCAAAAAAUUUUUUACGUUUUUAAUGAUCACAUUUUCUAAUAACUUUUUUCUUACAUACACUAAAUCGCUACAGUAAUUUUUCUAAAAAAAAAAACUCUAAAAAUAGCAAUCCAAACGGCAAGAGUAUAGCAUUGAUGACGUGUCUAGUUGGAUGGCUUCCACAAUUUCCUGUCUUGGUAUUCGUACACCAAUCCAUUACCAACAAUUUUGCAUUUGUCUCUACGGGCCGAAAUUUCCUCAAGUCAUCCGUCCAUUUGAAAUAACACUACAUUGUUAGUGUUUUUAAGACUCAACUUAGCUCAUAGAGAUAUUCGCCAGGUAAUGAUGGAUAAAAACCUUUGAACCCUCCUAUUUGGCCCUUCUCCCUGAUAGAAGCUCUCCUAUGGAAAAGAAAAAAAAAAGACAGAAGCAAGUGGCUAUUUUGAAAAUUUACAGGUGCGUGAAUUUUACAGCAACGAAUAUUGACGUGCAGUUGGAGCCAUCACAAUUUUUCAGUGGGAGCACAAUUCUCUCUGGCGCUAUUACUCAUUAGAAAACAAAUUUAGGCAUCAAAAUACGCACCACCAAACUAUUGGAACAUUACUUGUCAAGGGAGAAUGUGUUCGCUGCCAAAAAUCUCUAUUUUCAGAAGACAAAAAUUGACUUCAAGUGUUUUUAAUAACAUCGCUCUGGCACAAUUAGAUGCCCAUAGUUGACGAUCCAGACAAUUGAAAUGUCAUUUGGGAGUGUAUGUUCAUCUCAUUGAUUUGAAGCACAUAAAUGGCUUGCCUUGCUCUACUUUGCUCGAUUAAUAUGGUUUUCUUUUUACCGGUACUUCGAAAUUCGAACCAGACCAAUUGGUUUAAUUGCUUGAACUCAGAACCCUUUAUUCCCUUAGAUGUUCAGUUCAAGUUUACUGGAAAAAAAAUCAAUUUUUUCUUCUUUUUUGUUGCAUUCUCUCUUUCUUUUUUAUGAGCUUUUAAGUUUAUUAAUUUCUUUGCCUUGAGUUUGAUACUCAAAAAUUUUCACCAUAAUAGUUCUUUUUGAGCUAUGGAUAAAUUCAACAACAAUAAAUGCUCUCAUAAAUUUCUUCUAAAUUUGAUUACAGUCUUGAUUUUUGCCAAAUAAGGCACAUGGAUUUAGUUCUAAACCCGUCUUUUUUAUUUAAAAUUUUAAUGUUGUUAUGCUAUUUUAUGUGACAUAUAAUUCAGGCAUAAUUAUGACAUCUUCCUAGAAUUUAGCGCCAUUAGAUGCUCAUAAUUGAGGAUCCACACAAUUUGAAAUGUCGAUUGGGAGUGUAUGUCCAUCUCAUUAAUUUGAAGCGCGCAAGUGGUUGCCUUGCACUACUUUUGCUCGAUUAAUAUGGUUUUUGCCAAAAUUUUGAAAUUCGAACCAGGCUAGUUGUUCAAUUGCUUGAAACAAGAACCCUGUACUCUGUUAGAUGCUAAGAUCUUUUUUUUUGCAAUAAAAUACAAACAAUUUCUUCUUCUUUUUUGUGUUGCAUUUUCUCCUUCUAUUUUAUGAUCUUUUAAGUUUUAUUAAAUUUUAGGGAAAAUGGCCAAUUUAAUCCUCAAACUUUUUUACUUAAAUCAAUUUCAUCCUUCAUUUUUUAUUUAGAUGCUUUUAGUCCUUCAACUUAAAUUUAGUAGCCAAUUUCAUUCUUUUGUGGCGGUACUACUUUUUGACACAAAAAUCAUCACCUAAUUAAGGGUAAUAUAGGAACUACAAGUUAAAGGUCAAAACAAAAAAACAGAAAAUUGCUAAGGAGUAAAGCAGAAAACAUUUCAUCUUCUUCAAUAAGCAGCUGCAUCUCUGAUUCUUCUUCGGUUAGCUCCUGCCAAACUUCCAAAAACCAUAUGUUUUUUUCUUCUUUAAAAAAAAAAUCUUCAUCAACAUUGUUUUUGUACAUCAUCAUGUGUCUUGUAAUUUUAGUUUACAAUUAAGACUUAUCAACAUAUAAAAUCUUUUGGAUAAACUCAAGAAAAGUAUUCAAAGUAGCAAAUGGAUUAGCUGUUUUCUAAGCAUUCCCUUGUCGAUAGCUACCUCAUCAUCGUUGCAUCAAAGCUUGGAAAAUAACUUCCUUAAAUCAUUAUUUUAAAUUGCAUUUUCACUUUGAACUUUAGGCUUACAAUUCAGACUUUUUCUUCGACUUCUUUAUCCAUCCCCUCCUGCUGCAUAGCCCCUGUCGACAAUUAACUCCGAUGGCAGUAGUAGAUUUUGCUGGGGAAACGAGACUUGACAGUAUUGGGGUUCCAAAAAAUAAAUGAAUUAGCAGCUUUGAGUAAGGUUUCGGGGAUUUGGGUUUGGAAUUCCACUGGUGGAUUGGCUUUUGCAGUUUUGUGGGGCUUCGGCAUUAUCCAGAGGUGGAGAAGAAGAACAAUUUGGGUUAUUGCACCUUUUGUUUUACUCCCCAAAUUAAUGGAGAAUUGGUUUUCUCCCCAAUGUAACAAAAACUAUUUUGCAUUCAUUGUUUUAAAAGUGAUCCCUAUUUCAUAAUUCCUAUGUUGCCCUUAAUUGAUGGUGAAUUUUGUGCCGAAAACAAUUUUACUGGCGGCGAUGCUGCAAAAGGAUGAAAUUGGUUACUAAUUUUAGUUAAAGGACUAAAAUUACCUAAAUAAAAGAGGAAGGAUCAAAUCGCCUUAAGUUAAAAAGUUGAAGGACUAAAUUGGGCAUUUUCCCUAAAUUUUAUUGCCUAGAGUUUGAUACUCAAAAGUUUUCACCAUAAUUAGUUCUUUUUGAGCUAUGGAUAAUUUCAACCGCAAUAAAUGCUCUCAUAAUUUUCUUCUGAAUUUGAUUACAGUCUUAAUUUUUUAUAUUUUUUUCAAAUAAGACUUAUGGAUUCAGUUAUAAACCCAUUGUUUUUCUUUGAAAUUUAAAUGUUAUUAUGCUAUUUUAUGUGAGACAACGAAGCCCGACCUAAUUAUUAAGACGCUUUACCUAUAGUCGAAAAGUCAUGGGCUUGAGUUAUCAAGGAGGUAAGUAGAGAAUUAUUAUUUAUCCUCUUCUAAGAACAAGAAAAAAUGCUACUUUAUGUGAGAUAUGAUUGAUAAAUAUUUAUGACAUCAUGAUGACCUUAUGAUAAUUUUUGGUUUUUCAUAAUAAUGAACCCUAUGAGUGCCAUUCAAGUGGGAUAGAAACUCAAAUUGAUGGCAUUUACAAGUGCCAUUAAAAAAGUGAUAUUUUAUAAUAACUUUUCUUAGAUUGAACUUAAUCGCAUUAGAGAACUGCAUCCUCAUGCAACAAUUAUCUAUGCUGAUUACUACAAUUCUGCAAUUUGAUUCUAUCGCUCACCAAAAGAAUUCGGUAUUGCACUAUCUUUUUACUUCCUAAUUUUGUCACAACUCAAAAUAGUACUCAAAAGUUUUAUUUAGAUACUUUGUCCUCUAGACUUCACUAGUUUAUGUCAUAUCAUCACCUAAUCCGCAUGACCCUCAUGCACCUUUUUUUUGAUAGAAAGAUCAUUUCAUUCAAUAAAUCCGCACUAAUAGUAGAAAAUACAUUAAACGUAACACAAAUACAUAUGGAUUUGAAAUCAAUAGAUAUAACAGGUCUAAAAAAUCAAUACAAAUAAAGAUAACAUUGAUGCUCUUAUAUAUCUUCCAUCCAGAUGAAUUAUUGUAGUUCAAUACAUCUAUAUAUGUCUUUUGACAGUCAGAUCUUAUUAAAACUGGUUCAAAUUCAAAGAAAAAUUUAGAUCUUAUAAUAAUGAAGAAAUUGCAUAAAUGCGAAACUAAAUUCUAGAUCUAUAAAAAGUAGAUAAAGUUGAAUUAACAUCUGUGCACCUUAAAGUGCAAAGUACAUCUAACGUAAAGUUGAUUAACUCUUGCAGCCUCUUGGGGAGCUGGUGGUCCACAUUAUUUUAAAUCAUCUAUGGGUUGUGGCGACCAACAAACAACUGGCUGUGUUGAUAUCCUUUGGCACAUAUUUGCUGGGACGGUAUGCAUUAGACAGAAGCAGCCAACAGAUUAAUAGUUAAGGCUCUAUUUGAAGGACCAUAUUCAACUCCUGUCAUUGAUUUACAACAAAAUAGGUUAUUAGUGUUAACAAGAGUUGUCACUUAAUUUAAAUAUCGUCACUGAAACAAAUCAGUGACAACAAUUCAGUCGUUAUGCUGCCGACACUGAACCAUUGUCAUAGAUGACACCUAUUGAUAUGUUACAAAAAAAGUUGUCACUUCUAUAUAAUGACGACCUCUUAUUGUCAAUAUUGCAAAAGUCUUUAGUGACUAUUGUUUUUGCAAUUAAAUCAGCUAGGUUGUGACUGUUGUUGACCUAUUGAUCAUCACUAUUAGAAAGUGACAUUGACAAGAAGUCAUCACUGUGUUUGAAACAGCAUUAAUGAUGACUUGGCCUCGUCCCAUUUGUCCUUAACAAUAAUAGCAAGUGAAAGGUGCUCUGUUGUCACUCCAUGUAUUGCUGAUAACUUCAAAGCUGUCAUGCAAUCCCUGUUUUCGGUGACAACUCAAUUUUUGUCGAUUAUGCAGUUGUGUUUCAGCUACAUUUGCACCUUACUAGAAAAACCAAUAAACCAAGUCCAAAUUUAUAGGGACUAACAUGAAACCAUAAAUGUGUACUAAGAAAACUAGCAAUUUAUUAGUGAAUUAACACGAAUCCAUGAACCAAAUUCAUAAAAACAUCUAUUUCAUCAAAGCAUCCAAAUCGAUGUACAACAUUGAGUUAUUGAUAUUCUAGUUUUUAGGUAGUUUUUGAAUAGUUGAAAAAAAUAUAUUUUUUUAUGUUUAAAAGAUAAGGUUCAAUUUCACAAACGUUUCUCUUAUUUAUAAAUUGUAACAAACUUUUAUUUCCUGUAAAAUCUAUAAACAGAAAAGAUAAACACAAAGCAUAAAUGUUACCAGUGACCCCCUAAAAUUGGCUAUCAUAUCUGGAUAGAAAUUAACCUUCAACCAAGUUUGAAAUCAAACUGUUCAUUGGUCCAAAAAAAUAAUUGGGUCAAGAAUUAUUGGUUCAACUAUUCAGCUGAACAUAAUUGACUCGUGAUGACAUGAAUAUGUCAUAAAUGUUUUUCUUCUAUAUAUAUAUAUAUAUUCAUUAUUACAAAUUUGCAAGUAUUUGUAGAUAGUUCACUCUGAUGUAAAAAAUGUUCACUUCAAUCCUUUUUGCAUCUUUUAACCAUUGAAACUCAAAAAUAACUUUUUAAAAACUUUUUUAAGCAAAAAUUAGAGUUAUAUAAAGCAUUUUGUCUAAAUUUUGACUAAUUAAAUACAUAACAGUAUAAAAGAAAGGUAUUAAAGAAAUUAAAGCCAAUAAAAAAAUAAAAUACAUUAAAGGGUUACAGAAGAUAUUGUAUUAGUUAGAGGGAGGGUUAAGUUGGGUGGUAAGGUGGGAGGAGUUGUAAGUAAAAGAUUUUGGAUUCAGUCUUCUGCCUUACCAAAAAAAAUUAUUGUAUUAGAUGUAUAUAUAUGCUGAGCAAUAAUUAAGAUGUAAUAAUAUUCUUUUCAACCCUCACUUUUAAAACGAAACAAAUUCAUCCCUGACAUUUAAAAUUGAAUCUAUUACAUCCCUAAAUCCAACUUUCAAUUUGAAUCAAACCAUCCAGUAACUCGGUAACAAAUUUGGGGGAUAGAAUUGAUACAUAACUUAGUCAAUUCCAUCAUAUUCACAUGACAUUUAUUGAACCAAAAAAGGAAAAAACAAUUUAAAAAUUAUAAUAUAAAAAGCCGUUCUUUGUUUUGGAAUAGUAUAGUUUUUUUUUGGAUAAAUCUUUUCAUAUGUAUACCACACAUACAAAAUUUGGUGUUUAAAUUUAAAUUGAAAUGAUGUGACUGGUAUCUAGACCCAUCAGUGUAUAUAAUAACAAUGUAGAAAAGAUUAAUUCUUUUUUUUUAUUUUAUAAUUUUUAUUUUUUAUUUUUGGAUUUGUUAAAUUUCACGUGAAUAUCAAGUUGAGUUAAUCAAGUGAUCUACCAAUUGUAACCCUGAAAUUUGUAAUCGGAUUGUUAAUCAAGUGAUCUACCAAUUGUUGAAUUCAGGGAUGUAAUAGCUUUAGUUUUUAAAUGUCAAGAACGAAUUCGCUUCGUUUUAAGAGUGAGGGACAAAAAGAAUAUUUUUGUGAAAUGUAAGGGAUGAAACUAAUCAUUUUCUACUAUUGCCUAAUUGGUGGAGACAAUUAUGUACAAAAAAUUGGUAAGGUUUAAAUGCGGAACAUAACAUUAAUUAACCAAAUUUGAAAGUUUUUUUGGUCUCAAUUUAAAUUGUGCACUGAAUUGGCUCGGUCAUUAAAAACUGCACUAGUUCAACUAUUAGUUGGCUGAACUCAAUAAUUUUUCUGAUUUAGCCAAAAUUGACCAUUUUUGUAAUAUUACUGGGUUUUAGAGGCUGUUCGGUCUGACAUGAAGACUGAUCGACAAUUAAACCGAUCCAAUUGGGCGGUCCGGGCAGAGUUUUAAAACAAUGCCUUAAACAUGCCUGCCAGCUGGUCUCGAACUUUCCCACAUUUGAUAGUGCUGGGAGCUAAUAGAACCGCAGGAUGACGCAAGAGACUUAUUUCAACUUAAACGAGAGGAAAUCUGGUAGGUGUCGAACCUGUGCAAUAAUAAAAAUAAAUCCUAAUUAUCAUCACAAGUCGUCAAUAAUCAAUUCUAGGUGCUGGAGUAGGGACUUUAAAUGUGCAUUGGGUUACUUAAUCCAUCCUGUUUCUCAAGAGUUUGCUUAAUUCGAUAUUCCAGAAUUAAUUAACUGACAAAAUUUACUAACUAGUAGACAGUGGCAAGUAGGGUCGACUUCUCAGGAACUGGGGAAACGUUCGUUUCCUUUCGAGUCAAGAUAAAAGGGGGGAUUUAGAAUUUUGUACUAAUGAAUUGCUAACUGAAUAAAUUAAAUACGAAAAAGCAAUUAAUUGAAAGAAAUAAUUAGGAGGAUUCUAGUCAAGGGUUGACAAGUCGUCAGCCUGUGCAAUAAUAAAACCUGCUCAAACUAAAGUUAAUUUCUGUAGAUAGUGGUAAGCAGGGUCGAAUCCACAGGGAUUGGGUGUAACUGUUUCUUUUCAAAUCCACAGUAACAAGGGGGGUGUUUUUGUGCAGAAGGUGACAAUCAAAGAAAUUCAACUAAAAUCUAAGAAGCUACUAAAAAUUAAAUAACAAAUUACUAAAAUCAAAUGGGUGAUAAUUAAGGAUCUAACCAAGAAAUAACUUCAAGAAUGGUUCACCUAAUUGAUCAUCGAAACAAAGGCAAUUCUAAUUAUUUAUCAAUAAAUAGCUUAUAACUACCAAACAAACGAUGACAGUCAACCCCUCCAAACUGUGUCGGUGAUUAAGGUACGCCCGUUAAUCACAACUCUAAUUGAGAAAUAAUUCUAGGUACGCCCAUAAGAUUUAAUUUCUCAAUUGCCUUACGUAUUAGAGGAGCCCUAUUCUAACCAAAUAACGCACUACCAGGGUUAUUUUAGAUUAACCCGCGUAUCCCCCUGACACGAAUCUAAUCGUGCCAGUUGUUACUAUUUCAAGGCAAUUAAACAAUUACGGAUUUAACACCUCAAUUGACAAUAGAUUAUUAAAUUAACUAAUUAUCCGGAUCCAAGACAAUCAAUUAAUUAAACAACCAUAAGCACUGCAAUCAGGGAAUAUGCAAAUACCAAUAAAUAAAAGAAAAAAGAUAAAAUUAAAUCGAUCUCACAAUUUUUAGGCGAACCAGAGCCUCCGUUGUCCUUUGACUAGAGUGAGAAAAUUAAUUCAUAUUGGAUGAACAAAAUCCAUCGGAAAUUGGAGAGAAAGUCGCAGUCAUCAAUUGGAAACUGGGUAAACUUAAUUCGAUUGACCACUGACUAGAAAGAAAAGCUACAAAAUACUUGAUUGUUUGUUUGCUUCUGCUCCAUACGAAUGAAGAGAAAACUACCACUAAAAGCUAAAAAGGAGACAAGUCAAAAGCCAAGCUAAAGGACAAAAAAAACUAAGAAGAGAGUCAGUGCUCUUCCUCUGCGCAAUUCCUAUUCUAAUUAGCCUACUGCUCCUGUGCGGCGUCUGCCGCACUAGAGGAAGAAGACUCCCCGAGGUUUGCUUUCUUUUCCUUUUUUCUAAUUGCUGUCUUCGAUCAAAAUUACCAAAAAGGUCUUGCAUCUCCUUGUUCUAAGAAUGCCCUUGAUUGCCUGCUAUUUGAACUCUUUCCCGAUGACUGUCAAAUUGGCUUUGAUUGUGAUAUUUUUAUUAUACUCCCUGAAAUAAAUGCAAAUUACGAAAAGUGAGUAGAAUUUAAUAAUUAAUUCACAUUGGGUUAGGUAAUAAAGGAAAUUAAUAAUAAAAUAAAUGAUAAAAUUGCACCCUAUCAAUUCCCCCCACACAUAAACCAUGCUUGUCCUCAAGUAUGAGAACAACAAACAAACACCAAUAUUUGAUAGUGGCUAUUGCUCUAUCCACCAAAUUGCCAAGAUACCAAGAAAGACAUAGAUCGAGCCUCAGUGAUCAAGAUCCAAGAAACAUCACUCCGGUUAGUUUCUAAAUCACAAACUCCUUCAAUUCCAGGUUAACUAAUCUAAGAAGAAGGAAUGAUCGCUUAACAUCACUAGCAAAUGGUCCAGUUAUUAACCAAAAUCUCAACAUUAAAUCUAUAAAUCGGCAAGCUGACUAUUAUUAUACACUAACACCACCUUCACUUUUUAUCACAUUUUUCUUUUUUCUUUUUUUUUUUGAUUUUUUUUCUUUUUUUUCUUUUCUCAAUAGUAACAAAAGACUUAGUCGCUAGCCAUUGGAGCCUUUUGACGGGAACUCCAACAUUUUUAGAUGAAGGAGCCUGGUUACUCAACUCUUAUCGGUAUACGAUCACAUACUCAUAGAAAGUACUAUCUUUUAACGCGAGAAUCGACACUUUUAGGUGCAGAUCCCCGGUUACUCAAUAGUAACUAAUAGCGGAGUACAGUCAAGUUUAUUUAUAGCUACAAAUCAAAAACUCACUAUAACACAAGAACCAAAAGAGAACUUGCAUCAGCUAGCCUCAUUUUCAAACAUGGAGAACUAAAGUUAAUAACCGGACCACUCCACAUGAAAAAUGCCAACAAUUAUUCCCUAUACCUAGAAAAGUUAAUCAAAAAUUAGAAAAGUCAAUCAAUUACUGAAAUUCACCAGAGGGAUAUUUCUGAACUCAACCACAUUAACUUGAUACCCUUUUAUUACUAAAACUCGGUAAUAGCAGAAAUAGAGACAACAAUCCAACAUCAAACUUUGGCAUCACUUACGAGCUAAUCACUAAAAAGGAAGAAAGAAAUUGAACGAGAGGUGGACAAAUAGCAAAUUAAAAAGAAAGCAAAAACAUCUAAAAAACUAAAAAGCAGAAAAACUAGCACAGCUGCCCCCCACACCUAGAUCCUACAUUGUCCUCAAUGAAGGAAAUAAAGCAAUUAAAGUGAAAAGGACAAUGAAACUUCCCUCUCGAGUGGCUAAGGGGUCGGCAGGAACGGCGGAAGGGAACCGAUGUGGUGAGACAUCAAUUCAACCAGCAAAUGCAAAACUCUGUCCACCCAAAAUCUCAACAAAGUCUCCAAUAAUGUGCUAAAUCCAGCAAUAUUAGUUCAGGACUUUAGUAAUAGUAGCGCAGUCACAAGCCCUUGGCAGUCAAUCAGAUCUCUAACCAAAUAGAGUUAACAAGUACUCGCACCCUUACCAUUGGUGCAAAUCGCAAUUCAAAAUCAAUGAGAUUUCAAUAGCAGAGCAGAUCAGUAGUAAAGCAAUAGCCCCAAGUAUUAAUCUAGUCAGAAGAAAGAUUCUAAACCUCUAAAGAAGAGCAACAGGCGACUAGAAUUCCAAUGAAUAGAGCAAGUAGAGGAACCGUAGGUGGGAACCCAGUCCACCGAAGUCAAUAAACAAACCCAGGAAACAAAUAAGUCCGCAAAUGAGUCAACAAAUUGCACAAAUGAUCAGACCAAAAUCACAGACACUGCUCCUCCAAAUCAGCAAUAUAAACCAACAUCCAGAAUGUCCUUAAAAACUCGAUUAAAAACUACUAAUGCCAACAAGGAAUGCAGUUGCCGAAUUAAAUCAACGAAAAUUUCAACAAGCACAACACUGGCCAAGAUUCUUCCCAAAAUAUCACAGACAAUUGUUAAAAUUCUAGCCCACCCAAGAACUUCAACAAUUCCCCCCAAAAGUUUGAACAAAUGUCCCCCCCCCGGCACUGUGCUAGAGCACAACCAAUUUCAACGAAUGUGCUAAUCAAAGAGGCUAAGAGCAGGGCAACUGUCAAACACCCAAUAACCCAAAACAAUUGAACUCAAAUCCACAAAAAAAUGCAAUAAAUAUUCCCAAGAAUUUGGCCGACCCGAAAUAGCAAGUCAGAAUAUAGACAGUAGUAACAUAGGCACCAUCUCCGCGCUCUCAAUUAGGUAGGCAACAACAGAGAAUGAACAAAUCCGGAGUAAAACACACAGCUGCUAAACGAUACCAAUCAACACCAAAAAAUUUUUGAGAUCGAGGUUGAAAUACCUCUACUGGCCGCCAAACAAAGAACUGGAGUGGUAGUGGCUGGCGCGGCGGCGGCCUGGUGGUGAGAGGCGCGGGAGAGAGGUAGAGUUGCGGGUGGAGAGCUCAGGCUGCAGCUGUGGCGACUGACCGCGGACGGCGGAGCUGCUGCUGGAGUUGCAUGAUUGGGUGCGGCGGGCAGUCGGCGUUGGUAGGAGCUGUGGAGUGGGUCUGGUGGUCGGCGGACAAGCUGGAGUGGAGGCGGCGUGAGUCGCGGUGGCGUGUUGCUAGCGGCGAGCAAAGAAAGGUGAAGUUGGAGCCGAGGUGGAGAGGAGCUGGCAGCGUGGGCGGUGCGCGCGACAGCAGCUCGCGGUGAAGGUGGUGGCGGCGCGAGGGAGGAAGCGGCGUGCGCAGGUGGAAGAAAAGAAGAAACAAGGGAGAAGAAAGAAAGAAAAGAGAAAGAACAAGAAAGAAAGAAAGAAAGAAAGAAAAAGGAAGAAAAGAAAGAAAAGAGAGAAAAAAAAUGUUUUUUUUUAAAUUGAGAAACCGAGCUACAGUUGAAAAAUUUUUCUUCUUUCUUUUUUUUUAAAAAUUUUUCGUUUUUUGUUUUUUUUUGUUUUAAAACUUUUUUUUUUAAAUAAAAAUUUUUUGCAAAUGUUAUUUUCGAAAUUCAAAAUUAGAGAUUAACCGAAAAUCAAUAACCGUUCUUGAGUUUUUUUUUUGAAUACUUACCUUUCCCGCGAAUGUGAAACGGGCGCGUCAUGAGAACAAGAGAGUUCUCUGACCAUGAGCUUUUCAUGGGACUUGACGCGGGCACGUCAUGAGGAUUGAAACCCUUUCUAACGAUUCUGAUCGUGAGCUCUCUAUACGUCAUGACGCGGGCGCGUCAUGACAGAGGGACACCUACAAAUCAUCAAAACGAAAAUUGAAACUUGAAAUCAGUCAAAUUCAAGGAAAAUAUAUUUAAACUAUCACACAAAAUCAAACAAACAAUUAGAAGAAACAAUUGGGUUGCCUUCCAAUGAGCGCCUUUCUUUAAUGUCUUUGGCUAGACAUUAUCAUAUUUUGUUAAUGGAGGAUAAAAUCUUGUGGCUCGUCUCAUUGCUUCCUUCUCUAUAUAGUCUUGAUAACCCUUGUAAAUAGAGUAAUUCUUGGGCACACGAACUAUGGGGCUUCCAUGGACUAGUAAAUGGCGCUAAACAAGUCAACAAUGAUCUGCAUUCUCCACUCACUCCUCCCUCACUUGCAUUUACUGGUUCAAGAUAUUUUGCCAUCGCCACUCUUAAUUUAUUCCUGUCAUGAAAUUUAAAAUUUUCUGGUAUAAUAAAGUCAAUUUCAUUAACAGGAAUUGAAGAAUAAGAGUCAGGAGAAUAUUGAUGAAGGAAUGGAUGAGAUGUCACCGCAUUUGAAGAUUGUUCACUGAAUUCAUUCUCUUGAACAAGUUGAUACUGGGGUUCCAUUUCUUGCACUUCAGCUUCCUUUUCAACUGCAUCUUUAGAUCCGUUUCCUUGAAACUCUUGCAGUUCCAUGUCAUUUGGCGGGAUAACUGCACUCUCAUCCUCUUCAAGGUUGAUAUUGGUUUGUGAGGGCAAUUCUUCAAGGUGAGAAGCUAACCGCUCUAUCCUGGAUGUUAAUUGAUUCAUUUGAUCCGCCAAGUCGCGAAGGCUCGCUCGUUUCUCCUGAUGAAAUCGAUAUGCAUUAGCAGCUAGUAAUUCCAUCAUCUCUUCAAGAGACAUACUUGACACAGAUGAUGGUUGUUGAGACUCUUGCUGUUGAAAAUUCAUUGGCCCGGUCAUAUAAUUAAAAUUGGAAUUGUCCCACCAUUCUUGAUCAUACCCGUUUGAAUAAGGGUCAUACCACGUUUGAUAUUGGGGUGGAAAAUCUCCAAAAGUAUCAAUUGGAGCACUUAGAUUAUCUUGAAAUGCGGGGCAUGUGUCGGUUGAAUAACCUGAGGCAAAAUAAGUUCCACCAUUUGCAACAGCCCAUUGAUCAUUAGGGAAAACAUGAGUCUCAUAACUCCAUUCAGGAAUAACAUCCAGCCUAUCAUCAAAAUACGGAAUGUUAGCAGCCAUAAACUAUAUAAAAAAAAUAAGAGAAAAAUAAAUAAAAAAAUAAAAACAAGAUGAACUCAAAAAGAAACAAAUUAAUCUGGCACCAGUCUCUGGCAACGGCGCCAAAAAUUGACAGGUCGUCAGCCUGUGCAAUAAUAAAACCUGCUCAAACUAAAGUUAAUUUCUGUAGAUAGUGGUAAGUAGGGUCGAAUCCACAGGGAUUGGGUGUAACUGUUUCUUUUCAAAUCCACAGUAACAAGGGGGGUGUUUUUGUGCAGAAGGUGACAAUCAAAGAAAUUCAACUAAAAUCUAAGAAGCUACUAAAAAUUAAAUAACAAAUUACUAAAAUCAAAUGGGUGAUAAUUAAGGAUCUAGCCAAGAAAUAAUUUCAACAAUGGUUCACCUAAUAGAUCAUCGAAACAAAGGCAAUUCCAAUUAUUUAUCAAUAAAUAGGUUAUAACUACCAAACAAGUGAUGGCAGUCAACCCCUCCUUACUGUGUCGGUGAUUAAGGUACGUCCAUUAAUCACAACUCUAAUUGAGAAAUAAUCCUAAGUACGCCCAUAAGAUUUAAUUUUCCAAUUGCCUUACGUAUUAAAGGAGCCAUAUUCUAACCAAAUAACGCACUACCAGGGUUAAUUUAGAUUAGCCCGCGUAUCCCCCUGACACGAAUCUAAUCGUGCCAGUUGUCACUAUUUCAAGGCAAUUAAACAAUUACGGAUUUAACACCUCAAUUGACAAUAGAUUAUUAAAUUAACUAAUUAUCCGGAUCCAAGACAAUCAAUUAAUUAAACAACCAUAAGCACUGCAAUCAGGGAAUAUGCAAAUACCAAUAAAUAAAAGAAAAAAGAUAAAAUUAAAUCGAUCUCACAAUUUUUAGGCGAACCAGAGCCUCCGUUGUCCUUUGACUAGAGUGAGAAAAUUAAUUCAUAUUGGAUGAACAAAAUCCAUCGGAAAUUGGAGAGAAAGUCGCAGCCAUCAAUUGGAAACUGGGUAAACUUAAUUCGAUUGACCACUGACUAGAAAGAAAAGCUACAAAAUACUUGAUUGUUUGUUUGCUUCUGCUCCAUACGAAUGAAGAGAAAACUACCACUAAAAGCUAAAAAGGAGACAAGUCAAAAGCCAAGCUAAAGGACAAAAAAAACUAAGAAGAGAGUCAGUGCUCUUCCUCUGCGCAAUUCCUAUUCUAAUUAGCCUACUGCUCCUGUGCGGCGUCCGCCGCACGAGAGGAAGAAGACUCCCCGAGGUUUGCUUUCUUUUCCCUUUUUCUAGUUGCUGUCUUCGGUCAAAAUUACCAAAAAGGUCUUGCAUCUCCUUGUUUCAAGAAUGCUCUUGAUUGCCUGCUAUUUGAACUCUUUCCCGAUGACUGCCAAAUUGGCCUUGAUUGUGAUAUUUUUAUUCUACUCCCUGAAAUAAAUGCAAAUUACGAAAAGUGAGUAGAAUCUAAUAAUUAAUUCACAUUGGGUUAGGUAAUAGAGGAAAUUAAUAAUAAAAUAAAUGAUAAAAUCGCACCCUAUCAAGGGUACACUUCAGAGAUGAUUCAUGCAACUGAUCAUCGAUUUAAAUAUAAUUCUAACAUUUAUUAAUAGAUUGAUUAUAGCUGUCAUACACGCGAUAAACAGUCAGUUUUUCUUUACUUUUUCGAUAGUCAAGGUAUGACCGUUAACUAUUUCUCUAACUAAGAAAUAACUCUAAGUACGACCGUAGGAUUUAAUUUCUAAAUUGUAUUAAGAAUUAGAAAAACUCAAUCUUAACUAACAAACACGCUACGAGAGUUUGUUUAAAUUAGAUCGUAUGUUCUCCUGAUAUAAACCCAAUUACGCUAGUUGCUACUGGGAUGGAGGUAACCGAACAAUUAUGGAUUCAACUACCCCUAAUUAUCAAAAUAGACUACGUGAAUAAUUAAAUAUUAUGCACUAUUCAAUCAUACACAAUAACUAUAAUAAUUAAAAGCAGAGAACAUAUAAAUACCAAUAAAUAAAAGAAACAGUUAAUUAAUUUAGAUCUCACAGUAAUUAUUGAACCAAAUUUUCAGUUGUCCCCUAGACUAGAAUUAGGAAGUUAGUCCUUCAAUAAUGGAGAACGUGCCAUGUAAAGCAAUUGAGAAAAACUGUCAGCCCUUGUCUCCCCAAAUUCGGUCAAUUGAGAAAGAAAGAGCAAGAAAAAUCGUUGCUUUGUAUUGUCUCCCACAAAAAGCAUAAAAAGAGUCUACUGUACCAAUUCGGUCAAACAAAGGUAAAGAAGUAGGACAAGUCAACAAUUCUGGCCCUCGCGUUUGUUUGCUUCUCAAUUGUGCUGAGAAGCAAAAAGUCAAAGACAAGAAUAAGUACAAUCCCCACUUUUCUGCGUUUCUUCCAACCACAAAAAGGUGAAUCAAUUCCUAGAAACUCUCCUGUUUCCUAAUUUUUCUCCUAAUUAGUUGGUAGCCAAAUACCAACUACUUCCUAAAUAGCAAUUCUAUUACAAUUCAAACUUCUUUAGCUUCUGCUUUCCUUUUUGGAGCGACCCCACUGAUUUUCCAAUUUUAAGCCAGCUACUUCACUCAUAUUUCUGAAGCUUCCCACGCGUGAAUAAUCCCGAGGAUCCGGCUUUGAAGGUUGGAGUUAGGCGUGGGCACACCUAAUUGUCAAAAAAUUUUCUAGAAUGUUGAUUUUCAGCACCUUUUCUUCACCACUUCCUACAACUAACACCAAACACAGAACCUGAGUAGAAUCCCUCAAAUAAUGCAAUAUUUAGUCAAAACAAUUAUGGAAUAUUGGCAAAAAUCCCAUUAAAACGCUCCCUAUCAAAAUUAGAAGAAAAAUUGUAUUAAGGCUUAACUAAAGGAUACUCCUUAAUCCCAUAAAAAGUACAUGACUCUUUGACUUAGCAGCGCAUGCUAUGGUAUGUGAUGUGAUGAAGGUAAAGAGUCACACACGUUAGAUCUAAAUUUCGAUACGCAAAAUUCAAGUUAGAUGACUAUAUAAACAUUUAUAUGACAUUCAAACAUCGUCUCUUAAAUUACCCAUAUGCAUAUAAAAGAAUGUAAACUAAAAAGCGAUCUUUUUUUUUCCCUAAAACUCUAUCUGUUGGUAAAUCAAUUUUAACUAUUAUAAUACUGAAACUACACACUUUGAGAUACCAUGCAUGUAUUGAGUACCCAAACCAGUUUGGGUUUAGGUCUAGGUUAGGUAUAUAUCCUUUUUUUUUUCAAACCAAUAGGGUGUGGAUUUAGAUUGGGGGCCAAAAAAAUUUGGGAGAUAGGAGAUUUGGUUUUGGAUUUACUAGAUCUAACUUAGUGCCGGGCACUAGACCUUGGCCUUCCUACCAUUGUUGGUCGCUCUAAGUCUGAAGUUUUUUCAUCAGUAAAAGUGAGAAUCUGGCAGAAGAUACAAGGAUGGAAUGAACAAUAACUCUUAAAGGCAGGUAAGGAAAUCAUGAUCAAGGCUGUUGCCCAGGCCAUUCCAACAUACUCAAUGUCUUGUUUCAAGUAUCCAGAUUCCUUGCUUUCAGAUAUCUAAUCUAUUAUGAGUAACUUUUGAUGGAGUGAUGGUACAGAGUAGAAACCAAUUCAUUGGGUAAGUUAGGAUAGAAUAUGUUUGUCCAAAAACAAAGGUGGCAUGGGCUUCAGACAACUUAAGGCUUUUAAUUUAGCUUUACUAGCUAAACAGGCAUGGCACAUUGCAACUCAACCAUCUACUCGUCUACAUCAGGUUUUUAAAGCUAAAUAUUUUCCUAAUUCUGACUUUUUUCAUGUCAAGCCUACUUCCAGGCCUUCUUUUAGUUGGAGGGGAAUGGGCAAAGUUCGAAAAUAUUUAGUCUCUGGUAGUAGAUGGCGAGUUGGAAAUAGGAAUCAUAACAAAAUUUGGAAAGAUAGGUGGAUUCCGUGUCCUUCUACUUUCAAAAUUAUAUCUCGUUCUGAUGCGCUACCAGAUGACCCUACUGUAGAUUGUCUAAUUGAUGAAAAUAGCAGCAAAGGGAAAUAUGAGCUGCUUCAAAGCUUUUCUGGCCGGAUGAGAUUGAUAAGUAUAUAUUUUACGUGUUUUAAGUGUGUUUUAUUAGUUAGUUUUGGUGCGUUUUUAACUAUUUUUAUAGCUAAUUAACUUAGAUUCUAGUGAAAAUAUACAUUUUAUAAUUUAAUGUGUAAAAAUUGCAUUUUUAUAGAUUUUAAUGGCGAGUUCAUGUUUUCAUAGGUUUAAGGAUUCAAUCAUCAAAUAGAGUUAUUGGAGAAGAUAAUUGGAUGAUUGAUGAUAGUUUCAAAUGAUAAAAAGAGAAUAUGAAAUGCAAAAGAGGAAAUGCGAUCAAGAAUAAAAGGAAGCAAGUUUCAUAACUUUGACACCUUGUGGUAUUUGGCAAUAUCUUGAGCUACAGGCAUGGAUUGAGGUGAUUGUUAAACCAUUUUGAAUCUAAGAAAUAGAUCUACAUUUGGUAUGGAGACAUCAAAAUCUAGUUCAGUCAUUUUCCUUGUCAAAAAGUCGAAAUACAGAAGUGUAACUCUGUUGUCGGAAGCUGAAAUAGAGCUCUGACUAGUUGAGGGUAUUUUGGUUAGUUCUCAGUCUAUAGAGCUCCAAAUUGAAUGAUUGUUAAGGUAUUGGAAAGCUAACUCAAAGGACUACAACUUUCAUGUUUUGCAGAAGAGUUAGUUCAGUCUCCAUCAUUGAGAAAAUAGCAGUUGAAGUGGUGUUAAAUGCACAGAAUUAAAAAUGCAAGCUACAAAUACGCGACUUGAAAUCGCGUAUUUUUGAGGCCAUGUAUUCUCUUCUAUUUUUUGCAACUUGCUCAUCAACUUGUUUGCUUUCACACAACUUUUUCAACUCAAUUCUAGCUAUCAAUUCAGGCUAUAUCUGAUCAAGAAAAGUGUGGAAAAUUGGAAAGAUAACUCACAAGAGUUUCAAGACUCAAAUAACAAUUACCAGCCUUUGGAGGACAUUUUUACAACUUUGGAAGGCUAGAGAAACUCACCAAAAAUAUAGUCCUCACUAGAAUUUCCUUAAUUCAUCAGUUAGAGCAGUACAGUAUAGUUAGUAUAACUUUUCCUUCUUAUAUUUGUGGCUAGACUUGGAUAAAGAUUUGAAAAGUAAAAAUGGAGAGUUAGAACUCAUGUGACAAGGGUGACUUUUCUCCGUUCACUUUCUCUUUUAUAUUUAAGUUCAUGUCCUAUAAUACAAGUUUGGAUUUGUUUUUCUUUAUGUUUAAUUAAAAUUUAAACCUAGAGUUAUGAAUGAAUUUUUUAUAUUUUGUUAGUGAUAUUUACUUGGUUAUUUGAUGAUAUUAUUUUGAUCAAAUUAUUUAUCACUUUUGAUUAUCUAAUCAUGAUUAACCAGCCAUUAGUUGUAAUUAUUUAAAGGUGUUAAGUUUGCAAUAAGAAUCGGAGUUUAACACUAAUUUAAGGAAGUGAUAAAAUGAAAGUAGAGGGGCACCUUUGUGGCAUAAGUGACUUUUGUCAUGUAAUUUCAUAAAAGAAAUGAACUUGUAGUUAAUUUCAUAACCAUAAGAGUAGGUAUGUCUUAAUUACAAGUACAGUUGAUUCACUACGAAAGUAGGUUUUACAUACAUUAGAAAAUUACGCCAUGACUAGCCAAGAUAAUAAUAUUCACUUAACUAGUAACUUCAUUUGCAAGAGUAGUAAGGAAUUUCAUACCUCUAGAAGCUUUCUAGUGUUAUUUUUAUUACUUUUACUUCAUCUUUAUAGUGUAGAGUUAAUUUCUAGAACUUGUGAUAGUAUAAAUAAUAAAGGAGUUUGAAAAUCUCUGGUAAAUGAAAAUCUUCCCUGUAGAAUCGACCCUUAAUACCCUAUACUCAAUCACGACUCGUAUAUUUGCGAAAAAUCACGUGUGGAGUAUUUAGGAUGUUGUAUAUGCAAAACUUGACUGUAGAUAAACUAAUUGUUAUAUGUAUACCCUGCGCUGGCCAAGUUUUUGGUGCCUUUGCCGGGGAAGGUUUGUCAAUAUCUGUGCUAAGAGCAACUUUAUUAAUUUAGGCAUUUUUACUUAUUUUUCUUAGUUUUGUUAUGUCUAGUGUCUUAAUUGCAGUGUUUAGUGUUUUAUUCAGUCUUUAUUUAUAUGUUUUCAUUUGUGUGUCAAGUCAUCUAUUCUUCUUAACUAAACUUGUUUUUAAAUUAUUUUGAAGACAUAUUUAGGGAUUCAAGAAGAGUAAAAAACAUGAGAAGACGAUGCAUGAGAAGUGGAAGAUUCGCAAUGGAUGUUUAAUACGUACAAAGCUCCUUGAAUAGAGGUAACCAAGAAAUUACCGAAGGCAUGUCAUUUAAAGAUGGUUUAAGGAGUUUAAAGGUUAAACUUGAUGUUAUAACAUUAAAAGUUCAAUUAGACACCAUUAUGCAUGAGAUUGAGUAAAAGAGGAAUGUUAAUGCUUUUAAUUCUUAUCAUAUGAUUUGUGACUUGUGUGAAGAUUAUCAUGCUACUUAUACAUGUAGACAAGCACAAAAUAUAGAUAAUUAUGGUGCUAAUAGGGGCAAUUCUUUUAUACGGUUGGGAUAAUCAAUGUGUAUAUGGUGAUUCUCCUUGUUUACAUGAUUACCAAUCCGAAUGUGUCCAAUUUGAAUCUAAACCAUCUUGAAAAUUGGCAAUAGAAAGGUUAGUUAAUGCACCUUCACUUUUGGAAUUAGAAAGUCAACCAUUAGUUAAUGAUUCUAAGCCAUCUUGAGAAUUAGCUAUAGAAAAAUUAGCAAAUGCAACAUCCGACCGUUUUUAUAGGGUUGAGAAAAGAUUAAAUGAAUUAACUUCUUACUUUGGUAGAGUAGAAGACCAAUUACAUGCAUUAUGUGAAGUUAUUUCUUCUACUCAUAUACAAAAUGAUCCUAACAUGAAUGGUGAGCAUGUUGCAAGUGAAAAUGGAUUGCAUUUUGAUGAAAAUGAUGAAUCUCAAUUAUGUUUUAAUGAGAAAAUGUCCAUUUCACAUGAUAGUACCUUUGGACCUAAUCUUGAACCUUAAGCGGUGAGUCUUAACAACUCAUUUUCACCUCUUGAGGAAUGUAUUGAGAGUAUAGGUUUUAAAGGUAUUAUUCCUCAAGAAAGCCAUGUGGACGUUCCUUUGGUGAGUUCUCUAGUGAUGCAUAUUUAAGGUAAUAUCUAUGAAACACUUGAGAUAGGUAAGCCACUUCUACCUCUCAUAUCAUUAGAACAUGUGGCUAUUGCGAUUGAGCCACCGUUUACUGAUCCAUCAUGACCUAAAAUAGCGGAUUAUUCUUUAACAAAGACUUUUUGAAAAAUGAGGUGAAAUAGUCAAGCUAAUGACUAUAAAGAAGUGCUUUUUGGGAGGUAACCCAAUAUUUUGGUAUUUUAUUUCAAUUUAGUGUGAUUUUAGGAUUUUUGUUAUGUAUUGAUGUUAUUUUGUUUUGUUUGUUUUGUAGGUAUUGGAAAUGGAAGCAAAAGUGACCAAAUGAGAUAAAAAAGUCAAAAUUCGAUUAAGGAACUCCACCCCUUGAUUUGAGUAAAAGUUGUUUUUAAUUUGUUAAAAAGGGUUAAAAUACAUGUUUUGAUCAUUUUACAUGUUCAUGCAUUGAUUAUUUUGACAAAAGAAUGAUCUAAGAUACAUUUUGAGUAAUUGGGAUACCAUGUAUAAUUUUGAAAAGUUAACAUUUUGCAAAAUUUGCAGAAGAAAAUGCGAUGCCCAAAAAAAUGCAACUACAAGCUGCAUAUUGCAUUCUGCAACUUUUGCACUAAAAACUCGAUCAUCAAAACGCGACUUCAGGUCGCGUAUUGCUGAAGUCGCAUAUUCCUUUCUACAUCAUUAAAGCAGAAAAUGAGCAUCGAAAAUGCGAAUUCAUGGUCACAUUUUCUGCAGUCGCGUUUUUAGGGUUUUUUUUAAAGAAAAAAUGCAGGCUCCUUGUUCAUUCUCUUCCCCUUCUUUUCCUCAUGUAUUUCAUUGUACCUUGUGUAAUUUCUUGUAUAUUUUCUAUGGGUGCAUCACCAUGACAAAGGCGUAUAAGUUACGGAUUGCCGUUUUACGUUUAUUAAUGCCUUUGUUAUGACUUUUGUUUCUCAUUUUCCAUUCUUAGGUUGUAUUAUUAAUGGUUAUCCAAUGGAACUCAUGAAGUAUUGGAGAUAAGUGGACAACUCUGCGAAACUUCAUAAUUGCGCGCUUUAAUCACAUCAUUAGGAGAGUAUUAUUUUCUAUAUCUUGGUUUCCCUUUUUACACAUUAAAGACAAUGUGCAUAUUAGUGUUGGGGGGAGGGGGAGAAUUGAAAUUAUAUAUGUUGGUUGUGAUGUGAUUGAAAUAAUUUGGACUUGUGUUUGGAAAUGUUAUUGUGCUUAGAAAUUUUUCAAAUUUGGGUUUGUUGGCAGGGAGUUUCGUCUAUUUAUAAGAGGAAACUCUGUCAAAAUUUUUCUAAAAUCUUGUCCAAAUUGUAAAAUUGCCCCACAAAGUUUCAAAUUUUUUUCAAUUCUAUCCAAAGGGCAACAAGUUCCACACCAUUAGUUAUUCAAAUGCCUUUUACUUUUGAGAUAAAUAUAUAUGAUUUGACAAUUUCUUUUCUCAUUUAACUUGAAAAUGACUAUUAUGUUAUUAUAAUUUGUACAUUAUAGGGAAGUAUAUCGUGUAAAGUGGAGAAAAUUAUGCCUACAUUUUGCAUAUUUGAUGAAAUUUCUUCUAUUUACUUGAUUUUUCGUAGUUAAGUGAUGAAUAUGGUCACUAAGUGUAAUACUCUUCUCAUGAUUAUUCUUUUGAGGGAAUAAUUAUUAUCUUUGCUUCAAAAAAAAUAAAAGUAAAAAAAAGAAAAAAGAAUGAAAAAAAUGAAAAAGAAGAAAAAGAAAAAAAAAGAGAAUAAAAAUUGUUCUACUCCAAUGGUUCUUGUACUUACUAACCGGAAGUCUUCAUCUACAAAUGUCGAAUUUCACAUAAAAUGGUAUUUGAAUUAAGAGUAUGCAAGGCAACUUGAGAUUAUGAAAUAUUGAAUAACCGGUGAUUUGCAUCUAAAAAUAUCGACCGUCGGGUCAAAAUAUAUUUUCACAAUUUAAGUAUAUAUUUUGUUUUGUUAUAUGAAUAAAUCCCUCUUCAAAUAUGAAUAAGAAGAUGAUCACGAGUUUAGGAAGCAUUUUUAUUGACCAUAUGACUUACUUGCUUGUAAAAUUGGAAAAGGAUGAGGAAUUGAAUUGAACUAGUUAAAAUUAUGAUAUAAUUAACUCUCCUUUACUUGAUAUUAUGAGUAUUUGACCUUAGUUGAAUGAUUGCAUAAUAGUUAUUUACCUUGUUUUUGAGGAAACAAAGUUGAAUGGUGCGCAUAUAUUUAUUUUAGAAAUUUUGGAUCAUUCUUGGUUUGUAUUUCUUAUUGUUUGAAGAGAGGAAAUGGUUCAAGUGUGGGGGAGUUUGAUAAGAAUAUAUGUUAUGUGUUUUAAAUGUGUUUUAUUAGUUAAUUUUGGUAUUUUUUAACUACUUUUAUAGUUAAUUAACUAGAAUUCUAGUGAAAAUAUAUAUUUUAUGGUUUCAAGUGUAAAAAUCACAUUUUUAUGGAUUUUAAUAGCGAAAACUUCAUGUUUUCAUAGGUUUAAGAAUUCAAUUAUCAAAUGAAGUUUUGGAGAAGAUAAUUGGAUGAUUGAUGAUGGUUCGAAGUGAUAAAAAGAGAAUAUGAAGUGCAAAAGAGGAAAUGCAAUCAAGAAUAAAAAGAAAUAAGUUUCACAGCUUUGACACCUUGUGGUAUUUUGGUAAUAUCCUAAGAUACAGGCAUCAGAUUGAGGUAAUUAUUAAACCAUUUUAAAUCUAAGAGAUAGAUCUACAUUUGAUGUGAUAUCAAAAUCCAGUUCAAUCAUUUUUCUUGUCAAAAAGUCGAAAUAUAGAGGUGCAACUUUGUUAUCGAAAGCUGAAAUAGAGCUCUGACUAGUUGAGGGUAUUUUGGUUAGUUCUCAGUUUACAGAACUCUAAAUUGGAUGAUUCUUGAGGUAUUGGAAAGAUAAUUCAAAGGGUUACAACUUUUAUGCUUUGUACAAGAGAUAAUUUAGGCUCUAUCAUUGAGAAAAUAGUAGUUGAAGUGGAGCUAAAUGCAUAGAAUUGAAAACACAAGCUACCAAUACGCGACCUGAAGUCGUGUAUUCCUGAGGUCGCGUAUUCGCUUCUAUUUUUUGCAACUUGCUCAUCAACUUGCCCUGCUUUCACACAACUUUUCCAACUCAAUUCUAGAUAUCAAUUCAGGCUGUAUCUAAUCAAGAAAAGUGUGAAAAGUUGGAAAGACAACUCAUGGGAGUUUAAAGAAUCAAAAAUGACAACUAGAAACAACUCAUUUGACUCUUGCAUCUUUUAUAAAUAUCAACUUUUGGAGGACAUUUCACAACUUUGGAAGGCUAGAGAACCUCACAAAAAAUGUAGUCUUCACUAGAAUUUCCUUCGUUUAUUAGUUAGAGUAGUAUAGUAUACUUAGUGUAACUUUUCCUUCUUGUAUUUGUAGCUAGACUUGGAUGAAAAUUUGAAAAGCAAAGAUGGAGAGUUAGAACUCAUUUGACAAGGGUAAUUUCUCUCCUUUCACUUUCUCUUUUGUAUUUAAGUUCAUGUUUAACUAUAAUACAAGUUUGAAUUUAUUUUUCUUUAUAUUUAGUUAAAGUUUAUGCCUAAAGUUAUGGAUGAAUUUUCUAUAUCUUGUUAGUGAUGUUUACUUGGUUAUUUGAUGAUAUUAUUUUGAUCAAGUUAUUUAUCACUUUUGCUUACCUAAUCAUGAUUAACUAGCCAUUAGUUGUAAUUAUCUAAAGGUGUUAAGCUUGCAAUAAGAAUUAGAGUUUAAUACUAGUUCAAGGAAAUAAUAAACCUAGAGAGUUCACUCACGAAAGUAAAGGAGCACAUUUGUGGCAUAAGUGACUUGUUUCAUGUAAUUUCAUAAAAGAAAUGAGUUUGUAGUUAAUUUCAUAACCACGAGAGUAUGUAUGGCUUAAUUACAGGUAUAGUUGAUUCACUAGGAGAGUAAGUUUUACAUACAUUAAGAAAUUACGCCAUGACUAGCCAAGAUAAUAACAUUCACUUAACUAGUAACUUCAUUUGCAAGAGUAGUAAGGAAUUCCAUACCUCUAGGAGUUUUCUAGCGUUAUUUUUAUUACUUUUACUUCAUCUUUAUAGUGUAGAGUUAAUUUCUUGAACUUGUGAUAGUAUAAAUAAUAAAGGAGUUUGAAAAUCCCCGGUAAAUAAAAAUCUUUCCUAUAGAAUUGACCCUUAAUGCCCUAUACUCAAUCACAACUCGUAUACUUGCGAAAAAUCUUGGGUGUGGUAUUUAGAAUGUUAUAAAUGUAAAACUUGAUUGUGGAUGAACUAAUUGUUAUAUUUAUACCCCGCGUUCAUUUAGAUAUCGAGCUGAUUAUGAGUUUUUCGUUGGGUGACAGUCGAAAUCAAGAUAAGCUCAUCUGGCAGUACUCUAAAAAUGGCUUCUUCACAAUGAAAAGUGCCUACCAUCUUGUCAAAACACAAUCUACAAACUAGCAGGAUGUAGCUUCAAGCAGUAAUGGCUCUGUGCAUGAUAUUUGGCCUUGCUUGUGGAAAUUCAACAUACCAAGUAAAGUUAAAAUAUUGUUGUGACGAAUUUGCAAAGGUAUUCUACGUACAACUUCCCAGUUAAAUAGCCGUGGAGUUUAUUUUGAUCCUACCUACUCUUUAUGUAAGGCCCCUGUUGAAGAUGUUAAUCAUAUUUUUUUUAUGCUCUCCAAUAGCAAUUCAAGCUUGGGCCCUCAGCUUUCUUACACUGAAGAUAAGAUUAGACUUUGUCGAUCAAAUUUCGUCUUGGUUGCCUGGCCUUCUUCGUCUUUUGAAAAUGUCAAACAUGGAAUUGGUAGCCAUAAUUCUUUGGAAUAUAUGGCUUAACCGAAACGGUGCAUUAUUUGAUGGUUCCUAUUGUGAUCCUCUUAGUCUGGUCUCUCUCUAUCUAUCAAUUUCUUACAGAAAUACCAUGAAGCAUACACAUUUCCAAACAUCCCAAUAUGCUCUUCCACUACUCAACUUCAUUGGAAAAAGCUCCCUGUAGGUUUUCUAAAGCCAACUUCAAUGGUGCAAUAUUCUAUGAAAACGGCUACUCUGGAGUUGGAGUUGUUGUGAAGGAUGAAUGAGGCAAUUUUGUUGCAGGUAUUUCUCACAAAAUCUUAGGUAUCCUUUCUCCUAAGGUAAUUGAAGCCUAUGCUGGAAAAUUUGCGAUUUCCUCCUCACUUAAGUUAAAGAUUCUCAAGAUUAUUUUGGAGGGUGACUCUUUGAAGAUCAUCAACAUGCUUAAAAAUAUGAAAGCUGAUGAUUCAGCCUCGGGGGUCCUAUUAGAUGAUAUUCUUAUUAGUUUACAGAAUUUCAUCACUUGGGAGGCAAAUUGGGUCCCUAAGAAUCUAAAUGUGCUUGCUCAUUUAUUAGUUAGGAAUGCUAGCUCUAUUUCAGAUAUUUGUAGUUGGAGAUAUUUUCCACCAUAUUUUCUUUCUUCCACAAUUACUGCAGAUCUAUCUUCACCAUAAUAAAAUUUUCCAAUUUUUUUCUAUCAAAAAAACUCAACGUCAGGUUCUACCCCAUUGACAUGCUAUAAAUAGAUGUAUUUUUCAAAGGAUAAAAUUGUAUUUGUUUGUUAAGAACCCGUUUGGGGUUGCAAUAGUUUAUCAAAAAAGACUUCACCUAAUAGAACUUUUAAUAAAAGUCCUUGUUAAGUAAUUAAGUAUUUUUAAGUAUACUGUUUGAAUACAUAGUUCAAUAAAUACUUAUUAUAUUCGAUAAUGUGUAAUUUGAAAAUUUUAAAUAUAUUUAUCUCUUUAUUUAGUUCAUAAUAUAGGAUAAAAUGAUUAAAUUUAAUAUUUUAUUUUUAAAAAUUCAAAAAUUAUUUUAAAAGCACUAAAUUUAAACUUUUGCCAAAAGUACUUUUAAUACCAAAGUCUCCACUCCGGAUUUUAUAAAUUGAUAUUCACCAAAUGCCUCAAAUGUACCUUUGGCAUCCAAAAGUACUUUUUAACCAAAACCACCGCAACCUCAAACCAGCCCAAAAGAAGAAUCUUUUAAUCGGGCACACUUUAUUGUAUCCAUUUGCAUUAUUUGCUUAUGCUUUUGUAAGAACCAUCAAAGCGGAGCUGCAAGGGAAAUAAUACCUAGCAACUGAUGGAUUCCAAAGCAUUUGCUUCUUGUAUUCUCCUCCUUCAUCUGUUGAUUGCUCUAGCAAAUUACUUUGCCAUUAAUUGUUUUUCGUGAUAUAUAUGUCAUGGACUUGAUUCUCGCUGUCUUACAACAAUAUACAACCUUUACAGGGAGCUUGUGAUAUUAUAACCAAGGAUAGUACUAAUGCAAUCAGACUUCAGGGCAUAGAUGUUAAUAAUUCUGACCGAAAUGAUAAAAGACAUGAUAUUGCUCACGUCCAUGAAAAGAAUUCAAUGCAUGAUCCUUCUCAUUCCUCAUCCCACAUGAUGCAUCAGAUGGAUCCAAGAACAAAUCUCAAGUUAGGCAAAAGAAUAAGUAUCUUUUUCCUGACGGAGAUCCUAGUCCCCUAUCCUCUCCUUAUCUCUGGCCUAGAGAACAAGCUGAUGCUAUCCCCUUUUCAUUGGCAAAACUCCCACAAAUUCUUCAACACUUUUCAUUCCCUCAAGGAUCUCGCAAGGCCCAAGUGAUGGAACAUACACUCUGAGCAUAUGAGACUAAGCCUAUGAACGGAGAAUCAAGGCUUGUGCCACAUCCUAUGAGUCAUUGGUAGAUUUUGCGUGAAAGACCUUGGGAUUGAAUACCAAUAUGGAAGUUUUAUCAACACAUCGCCUCUCAAGAUCUAAUGUUGCUACACUACAAAACUAUACAAUCAUAGAAUCUCCUAAAAGAAUUUCAACUCUAAAGGUGAUCGGCUGUCACACAAUACCAAUGGGGCGGGCGCAUGUUGCCCUGCCCCCCACCCCGUUUUAAGGCUGGGGGAAUUUGCCCCCGACCCCGCCCCAUUCCCCGCCCCAUUUCUACCCCUACAAGCACCUGCCCUCGUUGCCACCCUUAAUCUCAACAUAUCGGCUGCAGUAUCGACGAAAUGCAAAUUUUGAAGCAUCUAAUAUUCUAAAAAUUGUGAAAAAUAUUUUUUAAAAAAACUAUGCUAAACAAAAAUAACAAAAAAAGUUAAAAAAAUGAGUUCAUGAGCUACAUUUGUGAGAGGGUAAGGUCAAGAUUUUAUCCUCAAAUACUGCUCUACACCCAAUAAAACCGAUUGCAAGUUUAACUUUAUUCUUCUAAUUUUAAGGAAAAAAAUUAAUUUAAGCUAAAAGCAUAACAUGCAUUUUAAUUACUUAAAGUAGAAUAAAACACAUAAACAUAGCAUGAUAACUAGAAAAAACCAAUAAGAAUGAGAUAAUUAGUUCCAAAGCUUCUAUUGGAAAAGCCACGAAACAAUGCUUUCAUAUCCCAUUAUAUCACAUUCGAUAACAAUUAAAAGUAAUUAAGAGAAAAAUAAAAAAAUGAAAGAAAAAUAUAAAAAUAAAAAUACAAUAAUUAAAUGCACCUAUGCCCUAUAUCGGUGACAUCAUUUCCAAAAGGAAAAAUAAAAUUAAUUACAACUUAAUUUGACAAAUGACAAACUAAUUAAACUAACAGCCAACUAGUUAAUUGCUAAGGACCUAAUUGAAAACAUUAAGGUAAUGUUUUGGAGUCGAAUUAGAAAGUACAAAAACUCGGGAGCAGAAAUUAAAAGUGAAAGAAACUAAGGGGGCUAAUUCUGGAAUUUCAAACACUGAGUCAUCUUUCCCACGGGAAACUCCUGCCCGCUACUGCACUGGUUCCUUCUUCACUGACGAAGUUGUCGGAAGCUGGAAAUCAUCAACUCUGGCCAGCAUUAGACCGGCCGGAAUUUUCCCUCUCUCCCUCAUGCACGAACACACAACACACACACGCUGAAAUUCUUACAAAAAGCGCAGCAAAAUAGGAAACGGCAAAAAAGAAACAAAAGCUGGGAAAAAAUUGGGGAUGACUUGGUCAACUCGCCCGUUUCACUUGGUCUCAGAGACAAUUUGGUCUGAAUCAGUCGAGUUUUUCUCCUAUUCUCAGUGAUUCUUUCAUCUCCAAUGUGACGUGAACAAUCGCAGAGUGGAGUCCUCCGUUCCAUGACAACUCGGCCAAGUCAUUUCGGACUCUCCCUAGUGUUUGAACCAUGGGCCUACUGCCUAGUACCGAGAACAAUAUCCUUUUUAGUCACAGUUCUUUAGCAUUAUGCAAAAGAUGCAGUCGAAUUUCAGAAUAUCCCUUCCAAAUCUUGUCUGCUUUUCCUUCCCAUGGAUGCUGCAUAUGAGAAAUUCAUUGAGUAAUUUUCUACUACGUCUCUCCCAUAUACCGAAUAGAUCGAAAGCUUAAGAAGUCAAAAGGGUAUUUUUGUUUUCAAGUGGACACUGAUCACGAAAUAUAAUGGCGAAGCCCAAUUGACCAGGACUAUUCCAGACUUUUUACCAAAAAAAAAAAAGAAACAAGAAAAAAAGAGAGAGAGAAACAAAGAUGCACUAAACACAACUAAAAGUUUCACCGUCCUAAAUCAACACAGCAUUUAUUUAAUAGAGGAAUUGCAUUACACACGAGACAUUUUCACUCCAACACUAAGAAAAUAAGACCAACUACAUUUAUUCUUGACAGAGCAAAAAUCCAGUCUCAAGCAAAUUGAAUUUCUCUCAUUUGGGGGCAACAUCACGACAAUGUUACAAAAGCAGCGAUAUAGACCUUCACUUCACUUUGAGUCUUUCAUGUUUGGUUUAUCCUAAUUUUGCUUAGCAUCUGAUAAGGAUUUAUUUUACGGAUUUUUAAGUGUAUUUUAUUAGUUAAUUUGGUUUGAUAAUUUAGUUAUAUAACUAAAAUAACUAAGGUUUUGGUAAAAAUCUACAUUUUAUGUUAAAGUGGCUAACAUUGCAUUUCUAUUGAUUUUUUAUGGUAAAAACUUUAUAUUUUGUAGGUUUAAUGAUUCAAUCAUCAAAUGAAGUGCAUUGAGAAUAUAUUUGGAUGAUUAAAGAUGGAUUAAAGUGGUGAAAAUAAAAUAUGAAGUGUAAAAGAAGAAAUGCAAUUUGAAUCAAGAAAAGUCAGCUUUGACAACUCUGACACGUUUUGGUAUUUUAACUAUAUCUGGAGCUACACAAAUUGGAUUGAGGUGAUCUUUAUACCAUUUGAAGGUAAGAGAUAGAUCUAAAUUUGGCAUGAAGACAUCAGAAUCCAAUUCAGCCGUUUUCUCAGUCAAAAGGUCAAUACACCAAAAUUCAACACUGCUGUCCAAAGUUGAAAAUACAACUUUGACCAGUCUUCAGUAUUUUGGUCAUAUCGUGACCUACAAAGCUCCGAUUUGGAUGAUUUUUGAAGCAUUGAAAACUUAAUUCAAAGAGUUAAAACUUUUGUAUUUUGUACAAAAGCUAGUUCGGCCUCCAUCAUAGAGAAAAUUGCAUUGGAAGCAAGGCCAAAAAUACAGAGUUGAAAACGCGAGUUGACAAAACGCGACUCCAAGCCGCAUUUUGUGUAGGCGCGUUUUGUAGCCGAAAUUCUGCAAUUUGCUCAGCCAUUUCUCUUGUGUUCAGACUACUUUCCAGCUAUAAGUUGCAAGGGAAUUCGGUGCACAUGCUUCAGAAGACAAAAGGGCAAGAAAGGUGGCUUAUUUUCAAGUUAAAAACACUUGUUAUUGACUAUCUUAACAAUUUCAGAUUUGGGAAUCAAGUGUGGAAAGUUUGACCAAUGGAAAAUGAGCUUUGGAGUAGUUUAUAUGCAGAGACAUUUGGGAGGUUAGAAGAGGAUACGGGGAGAAGCUUGAAAUUGGCAGAAAUGUAGUUCUUCCAUUUCCUUAGUGUAGGAUAGUUUUAGCUAGUUAGUUCAUCCUUCUUUUAUAUUAGCUAGAUUAGGAUAAAGAUGAAGGAUGAAGAAGGCAAGGAGAUGAACUCAUAUGACAAGGGUUACAUUCCUUCCAAAUUCUUUAUCUUUUGUACUUGAUUCUAUUGUUGGUUAAUAUAUAAGUCUGGAUUUUAUGUUAUUUAUGUGUUUGUAAAGUUUAUGCCUUGGGUUUGGUUGAACUUUCUAUAAUUGUUAGUGUUUAUUAUUUGGUUAUUUGAUUGCUAUGAUUUGAGCAAAUUAUUUAGCACUUUGGCUCUUUAAAUCAUGAUUAAUCUGGUACCAUUAAUUGUGAUUAUCUAAGGUGUUAUUUCUGCAAUGAAAAUUGAGAUUUAACAUUAGUUUAAUAAGUGCUAAAUAUAGGGAAUACACUCACGAAAGUAGAGGUGCACCUAUGUGGUUUUUAGUGAUUCAUUUCAUAUAAUUUUACUGAAAAAAUGAACUUGUAGCUAAUUUCAUAACCAUAAGAAUAGGUAUGGAUCAGUUAUAAGUAUAAUUGAUUCACUACGAAAGUAGGAUUCAAAUGCAUAAGGAAAUUACACCAUAACUAGCCUAGAUGUAGUACUCAAUGAUUCAAAUAUAGCACUUGCAUGAGUAGUUAGGGAUACCACAACCUCAGGAGCUUUUAUUUGUUAUUUUGUAUAAUUUCAGUAAGUUAAAUUUGUUAUAAUUCAUUGAUAGUCUAAAUAAUAGAGAAACUUUAGUAAUACCGGUAAUUGUUCACUCUUCCCUGUGGGAUCGACCUGAUAUAUAUCCUAAACUAUUAGUUGAUCUGUAUACUUGCAGUGAACGGGUGUAAUUCGGUUUUUAACUUGUACAUAUAUGUAAAAUACCCGUCAAGUUUUUGGCGCCGUUACCGGGGAAGAUUUGGCAAUAUCGGUGUGAAGAGCAACUUUAUUAGUUUAGACAUUUUAUUAGUUAUAGUGUAAAUGUUAUUUUCUAUUAUUUUAGUGUUUUAAAUGUGUAUGUGUUUUAUCACCAAUUCUUCUUACAAAUUUUGCUCUUAAAUUGUUUAAAAGCAAUUUUAGGUGAUGAGAAUGAUAGGUCAAUUUGGAGGACAAUGCUUGAGAAAUGGAAGAUUGGCAAUGGAUGGUUACCAAGUGCAAAGCUCCUUCAACAGAGGCAACCAAGAAUUUAUUGAAUGUAUAUCUUUUGAAGAUGGUUUAAGGUGUUUAAAGGCUAAAUUUGAUGUUAUGAUGUUACAAGUUCAAAUGGACACAAUUAUGCAUGAAAUUGAGCAAGAGAGGAAUGUUAAUACUUUUAAUUCUUAUCAUGUAAUUUGUGACUUGUGUGGAGGUUAUCAUGCUACUAACACAUGUAUGCAAGUACAAAAUAUGGAUUAUUAUGAUGAAUUAGAGCAUUAGAAUCCCUGUUUUGAUCGAUAUAGUGCAAAUGCUUAUGGUUGGAAUAAUCAAUAUACUUAUAGUGAUUAUUCAUAUUUUUAUGAUUACCAACCUGAAAGUGUCCAAUAUGCAAUAGAGAAGUUAGCUAAUGCACCUCUACCUUGGGAGUUAGAAAAUGAACCAUUAGCUAAUGAUUUUAAUGCAUCUUGGGAGCUAGCUGUAAAAUUAUUUUUUAAUCAAUUUGAUUUAGCAAUAGAAAAGCUAGCAAAUGCAACUUCCGACCGUAUUGAUAGGAUUGAGAAAAGAAUAGAUGAAUUAGCUUCUCACGUUGGUAGAAUACAUGAGCAAUUGAAUGCAUUGUAUGAAGUUAUUUCCUCCAAUAAUUUGCAAAAUGAUCAUAGCAUGAAUGGUGGGAAUGUUGUAUGUGAAAAUAGGUUGCAUUUUGAUGAAAAUGAUGAAUCUCAAUUGUGUUUUAAUGAGCAAAUAUCCAUUUCACAUGAUAAUAUCUUUGGAACUAACUUUGAGCCUCAAGAGGUGAGUUUUAAUGACUCAUUUUUCACCCCUCCUAAGAAGUGUCUUGAAAGUAUAGGUUCUAAGGGUAUUGCUGCCUAGGAUAUUUUCAUGGCAUUUCCUUUGGUAAGUUCUCAAGUGGUGCAUACUCAAGAUAAUAUCUAUGAUUCACUUGAGUUAAGUAAGCUAUUUCCACCUCUUAUAUCAUUAGAACACGUGACUCAUGUGAUCGAUUCACCUUUUAAUAAUCCACCACGUCCAAAAAUGGUGGAUUAUUCGUUAACUAAGCCUCCUUGAAAAAUGAGGUUCAAUAGUCGAGCCAACGACUAUAAACAAAAGCGUUUGUUGGGAGGCAACCCAAUGUUUUAAUACUUUAUGUUAUUUUGGUGUGAUUUUAUGUUUAAAUUAUAUGUGUGAGUUAUUUUAUUAUUUUUCAUUUGUAGGUAUUGAAAAUGGAAGUAAAAGUGACCAAAUGAGGUGAAAAACGCGAAGUUUGAUCAAAGAACUCAACCCCUCGAUUUGUGUUAAAGGUGUUUUUGAUCCGUUAAAAGGGAGUAAAAUGCAUGUUUUGAUCUUUUUACAUGUGCGUGCAUUGAUAAUUUUGACAAAAGAAUGAUCUAGAAUGCAUUUUGAGCAUUUGGGGUAAUAUGUGUAAUUUUUUAAAGUUGGCUUUUCUGCAAAAAUUUGCAGCAGAAAACGUGGAUGAAAACGCUCCAUCGGCCACGUUUUGGAAACGCUCCAUCAGCCAUGUUUUACACUAGCCACGUUUUCAAUUCUGCAAAUUUUGUAUAGAAAACAUGGAUGAAAACGCUCCAUCAGCCACGUUUUGAAAACGCCACGUUUUGAAAACGCUCCAUCAGCCACAUUUUACACCAGCCACGUUUUCAAUUCUGCACCUUUUGUACAGAAAACAUGACUUGAAAACGCUCCAUCAGCCACGUUUUAUACGAGCCACAUUUUCAGUUAUGCCCAAAAGGAAGAAAACGUGCCUCACACAAAACGUGGCUCGAAGGCACGUUUUGUCAAAUCACGUUUUCCCUUCCUUUUUCGAAUGCUAAAAACGUGAGACCUGAUUCAUUCUUUAUUCUUCUUCUUUUCCUCAUAUAUUUUCUUGUACCUUGAGUUGCUUAUUGUGUAUUUUCUAUAGGUACAUUACCACCACAAAGGUUUAGGAGUUACGGAUCGCCGUUAUAUGUUUAUUAAGCCUUUGUUAUCACCUUUGUUUUUCAUUUUCUAUUUUUAGGUUUACAUUACUAAUGGUUAUCCAACAGAACUCAUGAAGCAUGGGAGAUAGGUGAACAACAUAUCUUGAAACUUCAUAUUCAAUCCCAACAAUAGGGGAGUAUUACUUUUCUUUAUCUUGAUUUUCUUUUUUUACAUAUUGAGGACAAUGUGUAUGUUAAGUGUGGGGGGAGAAUUGAGAUCAUAUACAUUAUAUGUGAUUGACUUAUUAGUUGCAAAUAUUGGACUUGUGUUAAAAUUCAAAAUUUUUCUAACAUCUUGUCCAAAAUUACAAACUUGCCCCAAAAAUUUCUAAUUUUUUCGAUUUUAUCCAAGGGGUAACAAGUUUCAUACCAUUAGUAGUUCAAACUCCUUAUAUAUUUGAGAUAAAUAUAUGUGGCUUAAGCACUUAUUUUGUCAUUCAAUUUGAAAAUGACUAUUAUGUGAGUAUAAUUUAUGCAUUGUAGGAAAGUAUAUCUUGUAAAGUGGAAAAAAUUAUGCCUAUUUUUUUUCCAUAGCUAAUGAAAUUUCUUCUCCUUAUUGAAUUUUAUAAGUUAAGUGAUAAAUAUGGUUAAUAAUUGCAAUACUCUUCUCAUGAUUAUGAUUUUGAGGGAAUGUUAUUAUCUUUACUUUAAAAAAAAUAAAAAAAAAUGAAAAAUGAAAAAUGAAAAAAAUAAAAAAAGAAGAAAAAAGGAAAAAAGAAAAAAAAAGAAUAAAAUUUGUUCUACUCCAAUGGUUCUUGUACUUAGUAACCGGGAUUCUCCAUCUACAAAUGCCAACUUUCGCGUAAAACGGUACUUGAAUUAAGAGUAUGCAAAGCAACUUAAGUAUGUGAAGCGUUGAGUAACCGGCGAUCUUCAUCUAAAAAUGUCGAUUUUCGCGUCAAAAGACACUUUCACAACUUAAGUAAUAUUUAUCUAGAUUAUAUGAAUAAAUCCCUCUUUAAAUUUGAAUAAAAAUGAUAAUAAGUUUAGGAAGCAUAUUAUUGACCAUAUGAGUUACUUGCGUAUGAAAUUGGGUAAGGAUGAGAAAUUGACUUGAAUUUGUUAUAAUGGUGGUAUAAUUGGCUCUCCUUUACUUGAUAUUAUGAGUACUUGAGGAUUAAUGAAAGAUUGCAUAAUUGUUAUUUACCUUGUUUGGAGAAAAUGAAGUUGAAUGGUGCACAUAUAUUUAUUUUCAAAAUAUUGGAUCAUUGUUGGUUUGUAUUUCUGAUUGCUUGAGGACAAGCAAUGGUUCAAGUAUGGGGGUAUUUGAUAAAUAUUUAUUUUACGUAUUUUUAAGUGCAUUUUAUUAGUUAAUUUGGUUUGAUUAUUUAGUUUUAUAACUAAAAUAACUAAUGUUUUGGUAAAAAUCUACAUUUUAUGUUAAAGUGGCUAACAUUGCAUUUCUAUUGAUUUUUUAUGGUAAAACUUUAUAUUUUGUAGAUUUAAUGAUUCAAUCAUCAAAUGAAGUGCAUUGAGAAGAUAUUUGGAUGAUUAAAGAUGGAUUAAAGUGGUGAAAAUAAAAUAUGAAGUGUAAAAAGAGAAAUGCAAUUUGAAUCAAGAAAAGUCAGCUUUGACAACUCUGACAUGUUUUGGUAUUUUAACUAUAUCUAGAGCUACACAGAUUAGAUUGAGGUGAUCUUUAUACCAUUUUGAAGGUAAGAGAUAGAUCUAAAUUUGGUAUGAAGACAUCAGAAUCCAAUUCAGCCGUUUUCUCAGUCAAAAGGUCAAUAUACCAAAAUUCAACACUGCUGUCCAAAGUUGAAAAUACAACUUUGACCAGUCUUCAAUAUUUUGGUCAUAUCUCAGCCUACAAAACUCCGAUUUGGAUGAUUUUUGAAGCAUUGGAAAGCUAAUUCAAAGUGUUAAAACUUUUGUGUUUUGCACAAAAGCUAGUUCAGCCUUCAUCAUAGAGAAAAUUGCAUUGGAAGCGAGGCCAAAAAUACAGAGUUGAAAACGCGAGUUGACAAAACGCGACUCCAAGUCGCGUUUUGUAGCCGAAAUUCUGCAAUUUGCUCAGCCAUUUCUCUUGUGUUUAGACUACUUUCCAGCUAUAAGUUGCAAGGGAAUUCGGUGCACAUGCUUCAGAAGACAAAAUGGCAAGAAAGGUGGCUUAUUUUCAAAUAAAAACCAUUUAUUAUUGACUAUCUUAACAAUUUCAGAUUUGGGAAUCAAGUGUGGAAAGUUUGACCAGUGGAAAAUGAGUUUUGGAGUAGUUUAUAUGCAGAGACACUUGGGAGGUCAGAGGAGGAUAUGGGGAGAGGCUUGAAAUUGGCAGAAAUGUAGUUCUUCCAUUUCCUUAGUAGAGGAUAGUUUUAGCUAAUUAGUUCAUCCUUCUUUUAUAUUAGCUAGAUUAGGAUGAAAAUGAAGGAUGAAGAAGGCAAGGAGUGAACUCAUGUGACAAGGGUUACAUUCCUUCCAAACUCUUUAUCUUUUGUACUUGAUUCUAUUGUUGGUUAAUAUAUAAGUCUGAAUUUUAUGUUAUUUAUGUGUUUCUAAAGUUUAUGCCUUGGGUUUGGUUGAACUUUCUAUAAUUGUUAGUGUUUAUUAUUUGGUUAUUUGAUUGCUAUGAUUUGAACAAGUUAUUUGGCACUUUGGCUCUUUAAAUCAUGAUUAAUCUGGUACCAUUAAUUGUGAUUAUCUAAGGUGUUAUUUCCGCAAUGAAAAUUGGAAUUUAACAUUAGUUCAAUAAGUGCUAAACAUAGGGAGUACACUCAUGAAAGUAGAGGUACACCUAUAUGGUUUUUAAUGAUUCAUUUCAUAUAAUUUCACUGAAAAAAUUAACUUGUAGCUAAUUUUAUAACCAUGAGAAUAGGUAUGGAUCAGUUAUAAGUAUAAUUGAUUCACUACGAAAGUAGGAUUCAAAUGCAUAAGGAAAUUACACUAUAACUAGCCUAGAUGUAGUACUCAAUGAUUCAAAUAUAGCACUUGCAUGAGUAGUUAGGGAUACCACAACCUCAGGAGCUUUUAUUUGUUAUUUUGUAUAAUUUCAGUAGGUUAAAUUUGUUAUAACUCAUUGAUAGUCUAAAUAAUAAAGAAACUUUAGUAAUACCGGUAAUUGUUCACUCUUCCCUGUGGAAUCGAUCCGAUAUAUACUCUAAACUACUAGUUGAUUUGUAUACUUACAGUGAACGGGUGUAUUUCGGUUUUUUAACUUGUAUGUAUAUGUAAAAUACCCGUCAGCAUCAUCUCUGAAUUCUUUAUGGUAAAGGAGUAUUGAUCCACGCUUUGACUCGAAAUCUUUGAUAUGCAGUUUUCCCUCCUGCAAUUUAGCUUUGUCACCAUGGUAAAGGAGAAUGGAUUCGGGCUUUGAUUCAAAAUCCUUUAUGAGUGGUUUCUCUUCCUCACCGCUGUGGUAAGGGAGUAUGGAUUCAGGCUUUGACUCAAAAUCCUCCAUAAGCGGUUUCUCUUCCUUGUUGCUAUGGUAAAGGAGUAUGGAUUCAGGCUUUGACUCGAAAUCAUUCACUGGUGGUUUCUCCUCAUCGCUGCAGUAAAGGAUAAUGGAUUCAUGUUUUGACUGAAAUUCUUUCAUCUGUGGUUUCUCCUCCUUCAACUUAGCUUUGUCACCAUGGUAAAGGAGAAUGGAUUCAAGCUUUGACUCGAAAUCAUUUACAAGCGGUUUCUUCUCAUUGCUAUGUUAAAAGAAAAAGGAUUCAGGUUUUGACUCAAAAUCCUUCAUCUGUUGUUUCUCUUCCUUCAACUUAGCUAUGUCACUAUGGUAAAGGAGAAUGGAUUCAGGCUUUGACUCGAAAUCCUUCAUUUGUGGAUUCUCUUCCUUCGAGUUAGCAUCCUUUUGGUACAAGAGUAUGGAUUCAGGUUUUGACUCAAAAUCUUUCAUUUGUGGUCUCUCUUCCUUGCAGUAUGGAUUCAAGCAUUGACUCGAAAUCUUUCAUUUGCAGUUUCUCCUCCUUUGACUCAAAAUCUUUCAUUUGCAGCUUCUUCUCCUUUGAAUUAGCAUCAUCACCAUGGUAAAGAAGAAUGGGUCCAGGCUUUGAGUCGAAGUCUCCAAUAUGCGGUUUGUCCUCCUUAAAAUUGGCAUCAUCUGCAUGGUAAAGGAGUAUGGACCCAGACUUUGACUCUAAUUCUUUCAAUGUAUUAGACCCAAGGUGCUUAUUUUGUUUAGUAAAAGCAUCAUGACUAACAGUAGGUCGCAAAAUGUCCCUGGGGUCCUUUCUUGCCUCCAUGAAGCAUGCAAGCUACACAUUCCGGGCAAAUGACAUAAUUGAAGAAGCCAGCAUCAAUAUAUAUUACGUAAACAAAUAUAUCGGUGGAGAUAGGCUGCACAUCAAAUUAUAAGCCUUGUGGGGCUUGCUUGAGUGUCAUUCGAUGUAGGUGAACCUAGCAUAGCUUAAAAAGAUUUUUAUGUAAAUUUAGGACCUUUAAUUUCUUGCUCCUCAACCUUACCUAUUAUAUCAAGACCUUCUCAUCGUAUCUCUACCUGUAUAAUGGAAAUAUUGGAGAUGACUUCCUCUAACUAAUAAAAGUAAAGUGUUGAAAGUCGAGUUACAGUGACAUUUAAGUUUCGUACAGCCCACAUUGGAAUGUUUGAUAGGGAAGCUUAAUGACCAUAGAACUAGAAAGCCACCAAGUCAGCUUUGCUCUCCUUAAUCAGAAGAGUUUCCAAUCCCUUGGCGGGGAUGGUUAGAGUUGAGGAUAAAUGUGUGAAAGCAAAGGAGAAGGUAUUUUCCCAAGUGCAUAGCUUUAAUUGAGAGGAUCAUAAUAAUGCUGAGCAGUUAACGGAUUUAAGUGUGUCUAACAAGCAAAGAAUUAUCUCUUAUGAACUCAAAUAGGGUACUGAUGUUUGAGAAAUCUUACUAUGGCAAUUGAAAAGAACACAACGAGAGCAUCAGAUGAACGCACCCUAUCUUUGAAGUUUGAACAGCUCAAAAUGAAACUUUGAUGGUGUACAAACUCUUGGGGCUAUGGCCAUUUAUACAAGAGGAUAGCCAAGUGAAGCUAAUAAGACUAUAGCAUGGAUUAGAGAAGUUACUACCCUCGUACACCAAUUGAUAGGUCGCAAUUCUGUCAUUUAUUUUGUAAUUAAUUCCCUCAUAUUAUCUUACCAAUUGUGCGUUUUUGGGCAGAUUUUAUUCACUUUUGGAAAUCUGUGCUGAUUGCAGGGAGUUGAAACAAAAUAUGGUAAAAAGGCGCAGAAUUCCUCACUACAUUGGCUAAUUGAUGCGGGACAUCCAGAGUUGCAAAACGAGGUCACGAAGUUUGCCAACUGAUACAAUUGCUGGCCGUAUAUCUUCGGUGAGCAUGGGAUACACAGGAUUAAUUCUUGUGGCAAUAAGUAAAAGAGUUUGAGUAGUAGUAGGAAAUGGGAUACCAAGUUAGGAUUGUUUCCUUAUCUGAUGGUCACAAUACGGCAGGCUAAGCGCUAUUUUCUUGGACUCUCCCUUUUUCAUCCUUUGGUAGUUUUCAAAAGAGAGAAGUCAAUUGAGACUAGGAAACUACACUAGCUUUUCAAGAGCCGGCCGCAAUAAGCAAGAGAUAGACUUGCUAUUGUCUGGUUCCACGGGAGAUUCAUCACCCCAAUUAGGAGAUGGCUGGCUCUUGUGUUGUUCUUUUUAUUUUUAUUAUUCAAUCAAUUUCAUCAUCAUGGUUGAAGAAAAAGCAUUCGACAAUGGACUCUGCAAUAUUGCAUGAGAUUGUUUCGACCGAGAUGAACUAAAUCUCUUUUUUUAGUCAAGGAACAACAGAAUCUUUGGUUUAUCUAAAAAAUUAUUAGACCGAAUUAAUUUUAUCUAUUCCUCUUAUUUACUGGUAUUUGCCUAUUUUCUGAUUGUAGUGUUUAUGGUUGUUUUAUUAAUUGAGUAUCUUGGGCCCAAACGUUGAAUUAAUUUAGCAACCUAAUAUCAAUUAAAGCAUUAAAUCUGUAAUUAUUUAAUUACUCUAAAAUAAUAGCAACUGACAUUAUUAGGUUUGUAUCAGGGGAAUACGCGGUCUAAUCUAAAAUAAUCUUGGUAAUGUGUUAUUUAAUUAAAAUAGAACUCCUCUAAUACGUAAGGCAAUUGGACAAUUAAAUAUUACGGUCGUACCUAAGAUUAUUUCUCGAUUAGAGUAGUGAUUAAUGGUUAUAUCUUAAUCACCGACACAGUAAGGAGGAGUUGACUGUCAUGACUUGUUUGGCAGUUAUAACUUAUUUACUAGUUAAUAAUUGGAAUUAUCUUUGUAUCGAUGAUUAAUUAGGUGAACCAUUGCUAAAGUUAUUUCUUGGUUAGAGCUUAGUUAUUAUUAAUUUGGUUUUAAUAAUUUGCCAUUUAAUUUUUAGUUGGUUAUUUAUUUUUAUUUGAACCAUUUAAUUAGUACAAUUUUUAUAAAAAAAAUCCCUCUUUGUUAGUUUGAAUUUCAAAAGAGAUAAAUAUCCCCAGUCCUUGUGGAUUUGACCCUACUUAACACUAUCUAUAGAAAUUAUAUUUUAUUUAAACAGGUAUUUAUUAUUGCACAGGUUCGACAACCUGUCAAUUUUUGGCGCCAUUGCCGGGGACUGGUGUUAGUUAUUUUGUUUUUUUUAAAGUUCAUUUUCGUUUUAAUUUUUGGUAUCUUUUCUAAUUUAUGCCUCAUUCUUCUCAUAUAAGUGAAUUAAUUUUUGAUCAUAAAGUAGAUAAGACCGCGCGCCGAACGUGAAAAGAGACCAAAUAGCUCAGAGAAGAGCAAAUCUAGUGCUGCAUCUUAGAGACUUGAUCCAAAAGCUAAAUCAAUAAGUUCACUUGGUGAUAUUUCGAGCAACCUAGAUCGAGAAGAAGUCACUAUGGCUAAUGCACAAAAAUUAAGGAAGUUGACUGCUCCUAAUUUAAAUCAGCAGCUCUUAUGCAUUACUUUUUCAAAUUUAAAUGAUAAUACCCCAUUUGAGUUAAAAUUUGGUCUAAUUCAUCUUUUUCGAGAAGAAGACACUAUGGCUAAUACACAGAAAUUAAGGAAGUUGGCUGCUUCUAAUUUAAAUCAGCAGCUCUUAUGCAUUACUUUUUCGAAUUUAAAUGAUAAUACCCCAUUUGAGUUAAAAUUUAAUCUAAUUCAUCUUUUAUUAUCUUUUAAUGGUUUACCAAGUGAGGAGCAAGCAUUGCAAGAAUUUGAUGUUAUUUGCAACAGUAUGAAACCCUCGAGAAUUUGGAAGAAUAAAUAAAAAUGAGGGCAUUUCCCUUCUCUUUCGAAGACUCGGCAAAAGACUAGUUGUACUACCUACCUCCAGGUAGUAUCACUACUUAGGAGUAGCUGAAGAAAAAAUAAAAAAAAUAUUUUCCUGUGUCUCGAGCUGCGAGUCUGAGAAAGGAGAUAUGCAGUAUCAAAUAACAUUCAGGAGAGUCGCUCUAUGAUUAUUGGAAGAGAGUCAAGAAACUAUGCAUCAAAUGCCAUCAACACCAAAUAAGCGAGCAAUUACUCAUCCAGUACUAUUACGAGGGACUAUUUUUUCGAGACAGUAGUAUUAUUGAUGCUGCAAGUGGAGGGAUGUUGGUGAAUAAGACUCCUCGAGAAGCAUGGGAGUUGAUUGAAGGGAUGACCGAGAAUUUGCAGCAGUUUAAUACAAGGGAGAAUGUCCCGAUACGUAGAGUAAAUGAGGUAGAAACAUCCUUUAUCCAAUAACAGUUAUUCGAGUUAACAUUUUUUGUUUGGCAAUUGGCUGUAGGAAAUGCUCUACAAGCCAAGGUAUGUGGGAUUUGUACUACCAUGGGUCAUUUUAAAAAGAUGUGCCCAAUGAUUCAAGAAGAGAGUGCGGAACAAGUAAAUAUGAUUGGUCACGCUUCCGUGCCAAGAAAGCCAUAUGACCCAUAUUCGAACACGUACAAUAAGGGCUGGAGAGAUUACCCUAACCUCAACUAUAGAGGAAAUAGACAAUCAAAUUUUGUACCGAAAGAUAGCAAGAGUAUCAACAGCAAUAUCAACCCCGGCCGUCACCACCUCCUCCAAACUCAAACCUGUCUUUAGAAAAAAUAAUGAAGCAAUUAAUUACUAGUAAUACACAAUUUAAACAAAAGAUGGAAUCUGAUUUACCAAGUCUAAGGAAUCAAAUGGAACAAAUGCAAAUAAUAUAGAGUCAGAUGAAAAUAUUAAUCAACCGUCUAGAGUCUCAAGUUCACGAAAAAUUGCUAUCCCAACCUAAACUGAAUCCAAAGAAUAUAAGUGCAAUGAUCUUAAGGAGUGGAGAGAAAAUUCAGAAACCCGAACUCUUGAUUUCAAAGAACAAGAAUAAAGAAAGAAUUGAGAAAGAUUUUGAGGAAGAGGGCAGAAACAACAAAAAUUCAGUGAUACUUCCUGACCCAAUCAUUGAAAUUAAAACUAAUCUGCCUUUUUUUCCUAGCAAGUUGGAAAAAUCAAAGAAACAUGGCAAUGAAAAAGAGAUCUUGGAAAUAUUCCGCAAAAUAGAGAUCAACAUCCCCCUACUAGAUGCAAUCAAACAAGUGUCAAAUUAUGCAAAGUUUUUGAAGAAUUUGUGCUUCAAUCAAAGAAGGUUGAAAGAAGAUGAAAGAGUUAUUGUGGGAGAGAACGUAUCAGCGAUUCUAUAGAGAAAACUCCCACCAAAAUGCAGGGAUCUAGAUAUGAUUACUAUUCCCUGUAGGAUAUGUAAUACUUUGUUUAGAAAUGUCAUGUUAGACUUAAGAGUAUCAAUCAAUGUAAUGUCUAAAUCUAUCUAUACUUCUUUGUGUCUAGGUCCGUUAAAUGAAAUUGAGAUAAUAAUCCAAUUAGUUGACCGAACGAAUGCAUAUCUUGAUGGGUUGGUCGACCAUGUGUUGGUUAAAAUUAAUAAAUUGGUAUUUUCAACUGAUUUUUAUGUAUUUGACAUGGAUGAUGAUUAUUCCCCCGACCCCUCGUCUUUGCUAUUAGGCAGACCCUUUUUAAGUACAAUCCAGACUAAAAUUGAUGUUAAUAAGGGUACAUUGUUCAUGGAACUUGAUGAAAAAAUUGUCUAUUUCAAUAUCUUUAAAACCAUAAAAUACCUCUCGAACUCCAAUUUUAGCUUGACUUUUUCUGUGAGUGCUAUUGACCCUACGGUGCAGGAAGUAUUUGAAAUUAUUAGUAGAGAUGAGUUACAAAUUACUUUAACCACACAUCUCGAGUUAGAAACAACUUAUGAAGUAGAAUUAAGUGAAAAUUUGAAGUGUACGAUUGAGAUGUUGCAAUCGUUGCCAACCAUGACGACAAGUAUGAGCUCGCAUCUAUUUUCAUACCCGAACCUCACCAAAGGGUACUACCGUCUGUGGUGUAGGCACUUAUGCUAGAGUUAAAUCUCUACCGAAACACUUGAAAUAUGCAUAUUUGGACGAGAAGAAAACACUUCCGGUGAUUAUCUCGGCAGGAUUGUCAAAAACCCAAGAAGACAAGUUAAUCCGAGUUCUUAGAGAGUAUAAGAAGGCAAUAGGAUGGAUCAUCGCCGAUAUUAAGGGAAUUAGCCCUUCUGUGUAUAUGCACCGAAUAAGGCUCGAAGAAGAUGCCAAACCUAUACAGCAAAUUCAAAGUAAGCUUAAUCCCCUCAUGAUAGAAGUGAUGAAGAAAGAAAUAGUAAAGUUGCUAGAUGUGGAAAUUAUAUACGCAAUAUUAGAUAGUCCAUGGGUAAUCUCGGUACAGGUAGUCCUAAAGAAGUUAGGAGUAACAGUAGAGGCCAACCAAAAGGGUGAACUCAUGCUAGUGCGCAAACCCACCGGAUGGCGGCAGUGUAUCGACUAUCGAAAAUUAAACGCGGUCGCAAAAAAGGACCAUUUUUUUCUUUUAUUUAUUGACCAAAUGAUUGAGCGAUUAGUUUGUCGAGCUUAUUAUUAUUUUUUAGAUGAGUUUUCAGGGUAUUUUCAAAUCGCAAUCGUACCGAAGGAUCAAGAGAAUACCACCUUUAAGUACCCGUUUGGAACUUUCGCAUAUAGGCGAAUGCCUUUUGGAUUGUGUAACGCUCCUGCCACAUUCUAAUGAUAUAUGGUGAGUAUUUUCUUUGAAUAUGUAAAAAAAAAUUAUUGAGAUUUUCAUGAACGACUUUAGUGUAUAUAGUGAUAGUUUCGAUAAUUAUCUAGAUAACCUGAAAUUGACUUUAUUGAGAUGUAUAGAAGUUAAUCUCAUGCUUAACUGGAAAAAAUAUUAUUUUAUGAUUGAGCACGGGAUAGUUCUAGGUCAUGUUGUAUUCUCUAAGGAUAUUGAAGUUGAUCAGACUAAAAUAGACAUUAUAUCUGCUUUACCUUACCCUGUGAGUGUACGGGAAGUGCGUUUUUUCUUGGACAUGCAGGUUUCUACCUAAAGUUCAUCAAGAAUUUCUCGAAAAUUGGAGUCCCUCUGUUCAAACUCUUAAAAAAAGAUAUGGCAUUCAAGUUCAAUAAAAAAUGUGAGAGAGCAAUCGACAAAUUAAAUGAGGUAUUAAUAUCGCCACCAGUCAUCUAACCCCCUGACUAGAGUCUACUUUUUGAAAUCAUGUGUGAUGCCAGCGACCAUGCAGUGGGAGCAGUAUUGGGGCAGAUAGUAGGAAAAGUAGUCCAUGCCAUCUACUAUGCAUCAAGGGUUUUAAAUGGAGUCCAAUUGAAUUAUUUCACUACGGAGAAGGAGCUUUUAGCAGUUAUUUUUGCUUUAGAAAAAUUUAGAUCAUAUUUAUUAGGAGCUAAAGUUGUUAUAUAUAUAUAUAUAUAUUUUUAAUCAUGCAGCUUUGAGAUACUUGAUGAUAAAGAAAGAUGCAAAGCCGCGGUUGAUACGAUGGAUACUACUCCUACAGGAAUUUGACCUGAAAAUCAGAGAUAAAAGAGGAGUAGAAAAUCUAGUGACAGAUCACUUGAAUCGCGUACCAGUCGUCAAAGAAGAAUUUCCAUUAAAAGAAGCCUUUUCUGAUGAACAUUUAUUUUUUGUCAAUUUUUUUUUACCUUGGUAUGCUGAUAUCGUGAACUAUCUAGUGACUAAUAAAUUUUCUAGAGGAUGGUCUGAGGCACAAAAGGACAAGUUGAAGAAUAACGUCAAAUAUUUCAUGUGGGACGACCCUUACCUAUGAAAGAGAUGCGCAGACCAGGUAAUGAGAAGAUGCAUAAGUGAAGUUGAAUUUCAAUUAAUAUUAACUUUUUGUCAUACUUUUGCAUGCGAAGGUCAUUUUGGACCAAAACAAACUACGCAUAAGGUAUUGGAGAGUGGAUUUUACUGGCUUUUGUUGUUUAAAAAUGCAUAUCUAUUUUAUAAAUCUUGUGAUCAAUGUCAAAGGGUAGGUAAUAUAGUUCGUAGAGAUCAUAUGGCUCAAGUCCUGAUGUUUUUCAUAGAAAAUUUUGAUGUUUAGAGUAUAAAUUUUAUGGGACCUUUUCCAACAUCAUUUGGUUAUAUAUAUAUUGGUAGCAGUGGACUAUUUUUUCAAGUGGGUGGAAGCUAGAACCACUCGGACUAACGAUUCGAAAAUGGUUUCAGAUUUUAUUAAAUUCAAUAUUUUUGUGCAUUUUGGGAUGUCAAUGGCCAUUGUUAGUGACAGGGGGACGCACUUCUGUAAUAAGACCAUAGCUACUCUAUUUCGAAGAUAUGGUAUACUCCACAAGAUCUCGAUAUCGUACCACCCUCAAACCAAUGGUUAGGCGGAGGUUUUGAAUAGGGAGAUUAAGUCGAUAAUGAAAAAAAUGGUUCUUCCCAACCAUAAGGAUUGGAGUCUCCAAUUAGAGGAUGCGCUUUGGGCAUAUAGAACUGUGUGACCCCUAUCGGGAUGUCACCCUAUAGGCUGGUAUUCGAAAAACUGUGUCACCUCCCAAUGAAGUUCGAGCAUAAGGUCUUUUGGGCGAUAAAGCAGUGUAAUAUGAAUUUAGAAGAGACCGGUGUUCAUAGAAAGUUGGACUUGCAAAAAUUGGAGAAAAUCUGGAACGAACCAUAUGAGAACGCAUUAAUUUAUAAGGAGAGGGGUAGGACAUUCCAUGACCAACAAAUCUCUAAGAAGACCUUUGAAGUUGGCCGAAUGUUCUCCUAUACCAAUCCAGGCUUAAGUUGUUUUCAGGUAAACUACGUUUCCGUUGGAUCGGCUCUUUUAUUGUUACUCACAUCUUUUACCAUGGUGUAGUAGAAAUUCGGAGUACUAAAAUGGACAAAAGGUUUGUGGUGAAUAGAUAUCGUUUCAAACAUUAUUACGAGAAUUUUUCAAGUGGAGAUAUGGAGAUGAUACGUCGGGAUACACCAAAUUUAUCGAAUUGACGAUACCGAGCCAUGUCUAGCCAAAAACGUUAAUGAAAGACGCUUAUUGGGAGGCAACCCAAUUUAUUUUAGUUGUUUGUUCAAAUCCUAUUUGUUGUUUCAAUAUGUUUUCUUAGAAUUUUUUCAUAUUUCUUGGUUUAAUUUUUGAUUUUUGGUGAUUAAUAGGUGUUCCACCGACAUGACAUGCCCGAGUCAACAAGGCAUGUGGUAGUGUGCAACUCUUAGGUGCUUCAUCAGAAGGAUUUCUAACCACUUAACGUGCCCGCAUCAAGUCACCUGGAAAACUCUUUCUUUGAUUCUGGAGCGGACUAACUGACAUGAUGCAUGGUAAUGAGCAAUCCUCGAGUUCCUUAUCAGAAGGGUUUCUGCCCUUAUGAUGCGCUCGCGUCAAUAGGAUGCGUGAUAACUUUUAAUUCACCAGACCUCCAUCAGAAGGGUUGUCACCCUCAUGACGCGCCCGCGCCAUCAGGACAAAUGAUAAUGAACAAUUCUUAAAUUCUUCAUCAGAAAGGUUCGUACCUUCAUGACGUGCCCAUGUCAUGUUUGAUGGAAAGGUAUGUAUAAAAAAGGGGGAGAAAAAAAUACAAAUAAAAAAUUUAAUUUUCGUUUAAAUUCAAAUUUUAAAUUUCAAAUCUCUAAUUUUAAAUUUAAAUUUUAAAAAAAAAACUACAACCUAUUUCUUUUUUCCUCUUCUUUCUUUCUUUUUUUUUCUCUCUCUUUUCUUUCCUUCUUCCCCCUAUUUCUCUUUUUCCCUUUUGGCCGAAACUCCCCCAACGCACGCCACGGCCAUUUCUCUCUGCCCGCUGCAUGCCUUAUUACGGCGGCCCGUCUCUCUUAGUCGAGCACCCCAAGUGCCAUUUCCAUCACCACCGCAGCUGCCGUCGCCACUGUUGUUCGAUCAAUACAGCUCGCGAUUCCAUCUCGUGUGUCGCGACAUCCGCUGCAGCUGCUCCGCCAUCCGCUCGACCCAUGACCGCGAAACACCCACGACCACAUCAUGUGCCACAACUCUCUCCCCUCCUUCAACUUACGAACGCCGCCGUCACAGCCACAAUAGUUGUUGCGUCUCCACCUGCGACGUCGUUGCCUCAUCCUUCACUAGCACCGUCAAUCCUAACCGUUCACCGCACUUCAUUGCCCCUCUCCUUUCUACAUCUACGCAGUCUGCAACCACCCAGGCGUUGCCCUCCCAGUCACCAUCGCCUCUCUUUACCGCUCAUUCAUCGUCGAGAACUGUUGCCGGUCGAUGGUGUGACGGCAUUUCUUUAUCUCAAUCCCUUGGAAGACUCCUAGAGUGUUAAUUUUUGCAGUUGCAUUCUGGACUUCACUAAGAAUCAUUUUGCCAAAUUAUUGUGUUGAAUUGCUGGAGUCAAUUUCUGGACUCAACUGAGGAAUAUUUUGCUGCAUUAUUAAUUGAUUGAAUUGAAGUGAAUUGUUGGGCGUAAUCUACCUUGAGUGUCAAUUUGUUUGGGACAUUUGUUGAGAUUUUGGUUAGAAAAAUUCUGUAUUUGACUAUUAAAUUGGGAGACACCAGUGGCUAUUAAUUUGCUUGUUAACUUCACUAGAGAUAGUCCCAAGUUCUGGUUUACUUGGUUGCUAUGUUCGUUGGUAAUUUUGUUUCUUUUGGUGAUUUGAUUGACUGGUAGAGACUAUGGUUAAGCAAAAAUUCACCUCUAAGUCUAGAACUUCUAGAUCUCAACCUACCAUUUCUGUUAAUGAGCCUACCAAUCAACGAUUUUUUUCGGAUGUCCGAACACGUCUAAGUAGGGAUAAGAGUGUCCACGGUGCUACACCCUUGCACUUUGGGGAUCAUUUAAACUUCAUUAAGGCCGUCGAUAAGCAGCGAUAUGCUAUAUGUUGUGAGUGGCAAAUUAUCUCCUGUAAAUGUCUUGACAAUCUUACCAUGGGUGCACUGGGUAUCAGGAAAGAGGUUGAGCGAAUGUUUACAGCUAUCGGUUGGGGACCUUAUGCCAAAAUCUUUUGUCUUGCGUUUGUCGAACUGGUUCGAGAGUUUUACUCCACUUUUGAAUUUGACUUGCCUACGGGGUAUACUGUCGAUACCCUGAAUGUGAUUCAUUUCCGUCUAAUGGAUCAAGAGUUCAAUUUCUCUAUUACUCAAUUCAAUUUGAUAUUUCGAUUAAUUACUCGAGAAUAUGUUGAAACCAGGGAAUACGCUGAGAGUGCUUGUAACUACAUAGAAUCAUUUUUCUCUCACUAUCCCGAUAUUUGGAGGGAAAUGUCUGUUGACGGGGACCGUUACGACCCUUCUAGAUCCAGGAGUUCUUAUCUUAAGGACCCAAAUUCUCGAUAUGUUCAGCGAUUCUUAGCUUACAGUUACUCGGGUCGCAAGAAUAACUCCGGUAUACUUUCUAGACUCGAGUUCUUCUUUAUCUGGUAUAUAAAACACAAUAUUAAAGUGAAUUUGGAUUGUUGGUUGGCAUCUUAAUUUAAGACUGUCAUGGCCAAGAAAAAUAAACCGUUGAUACUUGGAUCCUAUAUCACAUACCUGGCAGUCCGGUUAGACGUUCUUAAUUUUCAGAACCAUGAUCUCCAUUUGGCCUUUGACAUAAAAUAUUUAGAUGCGAUUGGUCUAGAAAAGAUGGGCGUUAUAGAGGAGGUUGAUGGCAUAUUUCAGUUUACACUUCCCGGUCCCAUUUGAGCACCAGAUCGACGCCCCCUACACGAGCAGGUCCCUCUUCUGCCCCUGGAUCAGCCGAGAAUACAAUUGGAACCUCUUCUUCUGUGCCUCCUCCACCGCUAGUCUCUGAUUCUGAGUGGCGAUACCUUUGGGUACAAAUUCACCAUGUGGAUGAGCAAGUGACGAAUAUCGUUGAUCAGGUUACCUAGAUGUCUCAGAACUUGGCCGCCUACUUCCACUAUGUUGGUUUCAUUCCACCUAUUCCCACCUAUUCCAUAGCCACUCAAUAGAGAAGUUUCUUUGUCCUACUUCUUUUAUUUGCUUUAUGACCUCCAUUGAGGACAAUGUCGGAUCUAAGUAUAGGGGAGGAGGGGGAGUUGUGGUAUAGCUAGUAUUUUUAGUUUUUAGAUGUUUUUUCUUUAUUUCUUGUUAUUUGUUCUAUUUUUUUCUUUUAUUUUAUUUUUAUUUUUAUUAGUGAUCAGCAUUUCUGUGACUACCAAGAAUUGAUGAUAGUUGAUUGACUCUAAUUCUCCUAUUGUCAAGUUUUAGUAAUAAAAGUGUAUCAAGUUAAUUUGGUUAAGUCCAGGAACAUCUCUUUGGUGAAUAUCGAUGAUUUUGUGUCUCUUAUAAUUUUUAAUUAACUUUUCAAGGCAUAGGGAAUAAUUGUUUGGUAUUUUCAUGUGAAUUGGUCCAAUUAUUAACCUUAGUUCUCCAUGUUUGAGAAAAUGAGGCUAGUUGCUGUUAUUUUAUGUGAUAUUUUGAGUUAUUUUGUUGCCUAACUGUAAAUAAAAGGUGGCUGUACUCCACUAAUUAUUACUACUGAGUAAUCGGGAAUUUUUACCAAAAGUGUCAAUUCUUGCGUCUAACAGCAGUAAUAUCUAUGAGUACGUGAUCUUAUAGUGAUAGGAGCUGAGUAAUCGGGCUUCUUCAUCUAAUAAAUGUUAGAGUUCGUGUCAAAAGGUUCUAGUGGCUAGAGGUCAAGUCCAUUAUUACUACUAUUGAAAAAAAAAAAAAAGAAGAAAAGCGCAAUAAAAAAGUGUGAAAGCUGUGUAAAUGUAUGAUUAAAGUUAGCCUGCUGAUCUAUGAGUUUAAUGUUAAGAUUUUGGUUAAUAAUUAGACCGUUUGCUGAUAAAUGUUGAUCGACCAUUCCUUUUUCUUAGAAUAGUUAGCCAUAAAUUGGAGGAGUCUACAGUUUAGAAGUUAACUGGGGUGAUGUUUAUUGGAUCUCGAUCAUUAAUGCUUGAUAUGGGUUUCCUCGGUAUUUUGGCAAUAAGGUAAAUGGAGUGAUGGCCAUUGUCAGGAAUUGGUAUUUAUUUACUGUUAUCAUGUUUGAUGACAAGGAUGGUCUAGGUGUGGAGAAAAUUGAUAGGUCGCAAUUCUAUCAUUUAUUUUGUAAUUAAUUUCCUCCUAUUAUCUUACCAAAUGUGAGUUAUUGGGCAGAUUUUAUUCACUUUAAGAAUUUGUGCUGAUUGCAGGGAGUUUGAACAAAAUAUGAUAAAAAGGUGCAAAAUUUCUCACUACAUUUGCUAAUUGAUGCGAGACAUCUAGAGUUGCAAAACGGGGUCACGAAGUUUGCCAACUAAUACAAUUGUUGGCCAUAUGUCUUCGGUGAAUAUGGAAUACACAUGAUUAAUUCUUGUGGCAAUAAGUAAAAGAGUUUGAGUAGUAGUAGGAAAUGGGAUGACAAGUUAGGAUUGUUUCCUUAUCGGAUGGUCACAAUACAGUAGACUAGGAACUAUUUUCUUGGACUCUUUUUUUUCUUCUAUUGGUAGUUUUCAAAAGAGAGAAGUCAAUUGAAACUAGGGAACUACACUAGCUUUUCAAGAGCCAGCCGCAGUAAGCAAGAGAUAGACUUGCUAUUGUCUGGUUCCAUGGGGGAUUCAUCAUCCCAAUUAGGAGAUGGCUGGCUCUUGCGUUGUUCUUUUUAUUUUUAUUAUUCAAUCAAUUUCAUCAUCGUAAUUGAAGAAAAAGCAUUCGACAAUGGACUCUGCAAUAUUGCAUGAGAUUGUUUCGACGGAGAUGAACUAAAUUUCUUUUUCUAGUCAAAGAACGACAGAGGUUUUGGUUCAUCUAAAAAUUAUGAAAUCGAAUUAAUUUUAUCUAUUCUUCUUAUUUACUGGUAUUUGCAUAUUCUCUGAUUGUAGUGUUUAUGAUUAUUUUAUUAAUUAAGUAUCUUGGGCUCGGACGUUGAAUUAAUUUAGCAACCUAAUGUCAAUCGGAGCGUUAAAUCUGUAAAUGUUUAAUUGCUCUAAAAUAUGGACAACUGGAAUGAUUGGUUUUGUGUCAGGGGAAUACGCGAGCUAAUCUAAAAUAACCCUGGUAGUGUGUUAUUUGAUUAGAAUAUGGCUCAUCUAAUAAGUAAGGUAAUUUGAGAAUUAAAUCUUACAGUCAUACCUAAGAUUAUUUCUCGAUUAGAGUAGUGAUUAAUGAUCGUACCUUAAUCACUAACACAGUAAGGAGGAGUUGACUGUCAUUGCUUGUUUGGCAGUUAUAACUUAUUUAUCAAUUAAUAAUUAGAAUUAUCUUUGCAUCGAUGAUCAAUUAGGUGAACCAUUGCUAAAGUUAUUUCUUGGCUAGAGCUUGUUAUUAUUAAUUUGAUUUUAAUAAUUUGUCAUUUAAUUUUUAAUUGGUUAUUUAUUUUUAUUUGAAGCAUUUAAUUAUUACCAUUUUUUAUAAAAAAAAAUCCCCUUUAUUAGUUUGAAUUUCAAAAGAGACAAAUAUCCCCAGUCCCUGUGAAUUCGAUCCUACUUAUUACUAUCUAUAGAAAUUAUAGUUUGUUUGAGUAGGUAAUUAUUAUUGCACAGGCUCGACAACCUGUCAUCAAUCCACAAAUUACCAACAAUUUUGCAUUUUUACCGAAGGGCCAAAUUUUCCUAAAAUCAUACAUCGAUUUCAAAUAACAGUAAAAAUUUGGCCCUUCGGUAAAAAUGCAAAAUUGUUGGUAAUUUGUGGAUUGAUGACAGGUUGUCGAGCUAUGCAUAAUCUGAAUAUUUUCUUUGAGAACUUUUUUGAAAUUUUCAAAACAAAAAUUCCCUUCCACGUAACAAAAAAAUAACCAAUUCACUGCAAUUUGAGAAAAAGAUACAAGAUAAUGAUUUGGACAGAAUAUAACUGUAACAAUAUGAACUUAAAUUCCAUGAUUUGAUUUUUCUUUCCUUUUCUUUUCCCAUGAAAUUUGAUGAUUUGAUUUUUCCUUCUUUUUCCUUUUCCCAUAUAAAAUUCGAUUGAAAAGGUUUGGCUUUUUUCAAAUCCUCCAAAUUACGAUAAAUAUGGUAUGUUAAAUUGUGCUUAACCAAGGUUAAGAUGCUGGUUAUAAGCAAAAGAAAUCCUGCACAUUGAAUUCAAAUUGAACACAUGUCAAAAUCGUAAUGCUAUAUCGAGGAGAACUAAAGAAAAUAAGUAACGAAAAGGAGCAGGAUCCGCUUGACAAUGACCCGUAUCCUAUCCUAUCAAAUCUUUCCGGUCCAAAAUUCAAAAAAAUUGAUUUAGGAUUUGAUAAGGUCUUGAAAUUUAUUUGGUGGCGUGUAAAUUAGCAUGUUCCGUCUUUUAAGUACAUAAUUUGUGAGACAAGAUUUGGGGACAGGUAGGCGUGCAUCUUUCAUAAGAGAAGAUUGUGAAAUUGCCAUAACUAUAUCGAUAUAUCCUUUAUGCAUUAAACAUAAAUACUCGCGAGUCUAGAUGCAUACCAUUUAUAUAAAAUUUAAUGUUCAAAUUUAAAUUUAAAUUUAAAUAAUGUGGCUAUGUCCAACCCCAUCAACAUAUAUACUCACAGUAUAAGAAAGAUUAAGAUUUUGUUUUGCUGAUUCUACAGGCUUAACAGGAGUAAAACAACUAGUAUUGCAGCCCGUGCUUUGCACGAAUUUAUGUUUAAUAUAAUAAUAAUAGAAAAUGAAUUAUUUAUAUUAGUUACAUGAAAAAAGAUUAAAAAAAUUAAAAGAAUGCUGUUUUAGUAUCUGAUAUAUAUUAUAUUUAUGUAUCUUAUCUAAAACCUUAACGUAUAUCAAAACUAGGGUUUGCUUCCCACGCAAGGCGUGAGAGCUUUAGACCUGUUAGUAAGGUUCCCUGCCAUGCAAAAGCAGUAUAUAUUAGUUGAUAAGAGCAGCUGAGUAUUGAUAGAAAAGAUGCUUGGUUAGCACGCAAAAGCAAUAUACAUUAGCUAUGUACUGAUACAAAAGAUGGAGGUACUGUAGUGAAUAUUUUCUCCUGAAUGAUAUCCUUUGGCUAAUAUUUUCUACUGAAUAAUAACUACAGUAGUGCGAUGCAAAGGCACAUUAAAAGGCAUAAAUCAAUAUAUCAUGAUGCAUGCUUCAUAGAGGGUCAUAGAAACCUAAAUAGCAAAGGAUAGCAAUAAAGAACAAUUAGGCUCUGUCUUCUUUAAAAAUUGUAAAUCAACAUAACUAAGGCUUUUGCUAAUUUUUUACUACAUUUUGACAUCAUCUCUCUUCUAAUAUACCACAGUGUACGUAGAUUAUCCAAAUGUGAAUGUUGAAGAUCUCGUAAUUCUUCGAAGCCGAUAUUUGUUGCACUUAGUAAAAUGCUACCAAAAUCCAGCAACAUAGAUCUCAGGAGAGGGGGAAGAGGAGAAACAAAGUACACCUGAUAUUUGAAGUUAACCAGAAGUUGUAGCGUCAAAGCCCAAAGUGCCCUAAAAAAUGUUCAUGUGAUACCCAUUGAAGCAAACGAUUAUAACAGCAGGGUAAUUAAAGCAAAGUCCAUGUCCAUGCGCAAAACCAGAGAAACAAAUAUAACAAAGAUAGCUGCAAAAUAAUUGAAGAGUGAGAUAUGUUAAAAGUCUCUAUCACUGCAAUUACGGUCUGUCUAGUGAAUAAUCCCCUUUCAAAGAACCAAGUUAUGGAACUUAGAAGUGCUUAUCUAUGCCAGAAAUUAAUCAGUGUAUGACCAGCAUCAACUUCCUAAAACCAAAAUUAAAACAAAAACCAAAUUAUAUCAACCAAAUGAUGAUUGACUGCAGAUUCUACUUAUUGAUCCCAAAACAUGUGAAAAAUUAAUACCAAGACAGUAAGAGCUGAGAAAGUACUCUUUAAUUGGUCUUUGGUCCUAACCACGAUAGUCACUAACAUGACAAUGCAGUAAUCGUCAAAAUUAAUGUUUCAUAAAAUAUAAUUGGUGCAUAAAAUUUCGUGGUCCCUCUUGGCUUAAUGAAAUUGAUGCUUCUAGGUCUAUCAAUAUAUUGUUUCCAAUGGAAUUCAUCCAACAAUAAAUCAACAUACCGCAAGACUGGAACAAAAACAAUCGAGUAAUUAAAAGAUAUAGAAAAGAUACACACAAUGAUCAAUCAGGCUCAAAUCUGUAAAAAGAAAAAGCAAAAUGGAGGGAGGCACCACCAUGGCUACAAAUUCCUAGUUGCAUAUGCGAAUGAAUUCCAUCUCAUCCCAGAAGCCAUCUGGGUUGCCCAGCUAAGAUAAGGGUUUGAAUUUAAUUUCGCCAUCAAUAACUCAAUAAAAGAUUUUCAUCAUCCUUGCCAGGACAUAUACACAAACCUCAAUGCCCAAGAGCAAAAAAGCAUGAAUAAUUAUGAUUAUACAGCAAAUACCAGAGGAAAAAAUACAUGAAACUAUUUAAAAAGAUGAAAUUGAAUUGAAUAUACCUCUCUUAGCUCUCUCUCUCUCUUAGUCAAAUGACACAAAUGUCCAGUUUAAAUGACAUGGCAGAUUGAGGUUUCUUGGGUGCUGAUAAGUAUGGCCACUAUAAAAACAAAUGCCAACCCAAAAGAGUUUACCAACAAAAUUCAAACUAAUAUAGAAAACAUUAGCAUCUAGAUGAAAUCAGGUGAAUACGGCAAACUUAGAGCAUGAGUUUCGGAGCUGACGCAAUCUACAUACCAUAUUCAUGAAGAGGAGCAUCAUAAUCAUAGCUAGUGGUAAUAAAUUGUCCACCAGCUAUCCUGCAAAAGUUUGUUCCUCCAUGAUAUUGCCAUAAAGAGAAGAAACUAAGAAGACAAUCACAACAGUAAUUUAGUAGCAAUUUGAGGAAAAAUAUUUUUUAAAGCACUAAACUUUACCAUGUAAUAGUUAAUUAAAAAGCCCUGUUUUCAAUAAAUUAUGUAAGAGAAAAAGCCAAGUCUUCAGCCGGAUGGUAAGGUAUUAUACCUCUGAAUUCAAUAAACUUGGAAAAAAAAUAGAUAAAAUAGGUCACUUUCCUGUCAUAAAACUCCAAGAAUUACGUGUCUCCCUAUAUAUAAAAAAAAAAGUAACCACUGACCAGCUUGUUCAAGCUUCUGUCCACAUCUUGGGUUUAUAAGCCUUAUUUGGGGAGUAGUAGUGCCAGUAGAAGCCGUUGCAUGUAUUUGCCUGGGCAAAAGUAAAACAGACAUAGUAUUAAGAUAUUCAUUAUCCUCUGCUUCUUGAACAUACUAUAAGGACAUUUAUAAAAGUAUAAGCUACAUUGUACUGGGCUGAUACAACUUGAAAAAUUUUAUUUUAUGCAAAUUGUGAUAUUUAAAUAAAUAAUCCCCAUUAAUUUUGGAUUUCACAUUAUCUACACUCUAAAUGAAGCAUAAGCUCAACUCAAUGCUAAGCUUAUAGGAAAUGUCUACAAGGCAUAAGCUAUUCAACAAAGUGCUUUUCAAUGUGCAAUUUCAUAAGCUAUAGUACUAAUCCUAGCUCACCACCCUGUACAUCACAUAUAAAUAAAAUACUAUGACUUACCAUCAUUUUUAUGAUAAACUAUUACUAUUAACCUAUUAUAAAAUGUGACUUACUAUCAUUAUCUAGUGAUAAGUUACUAAUGUUAUUAAUACACCAGGUAACAAUGCUAAGUAAUACACAUAAAGCAUCUAACAAUUUUCUUGUUAUUUCAAAAAGUUGUGCAUGGCCCAUGAGUACAAUUGCUGGAAAAGUAGUAGUUCAAUCUUAAAAUCGUGCCUCUCGCACACUACUUUGUCCGUUAAGGAACACUAAAUCAAAGAAAAGUUGUAGAGAUUUUUUUAUUUCGAGAAAAAUUAUUUAUGCACUUUUGUUCACUGAUUUGAAAAUGGUCUGGCUCUAUUUUACUGAGCAUUCAUCAUGGUCCACUUAAUCACUCAAUGGGAACUUAGAUCUACUUAAUUAUGCAUAGCUACACACAACUUAACAAAGGCAUUUUGUGAAGGUUCCAACAACAUUGGCUAAAUAAUGGUAGUUUUUCAUAUUAGUGUCAAAGAUUUAGGAAUCUUUCUUAUCUCAAAGGAUAUAAGGAAGGCUGAUCAAGGUGUUUCAUUCUAUUGUUGGGAAUGUAUUGACUAAUUCUAAUACUCUAUGUCAAAUAAUUGAUCCAUAACUUGAAAAUCAGUUUGUUGUGUUUGACAAAUAUGUUGAAAUAACUGUCUUGGAAGCUAAAAAAUAUGUGUAAUACAUUGAAGCAAGCAUAUGUCCAUUUUUAAAUGUGUGUAUCAGUGAAUUGAUCUCAAUCUGCUUUUGACAAAAAUAUAAUUUUUGAGGACCAAAUAGAGUCAUGAACAGUUGAACACUCCUAAGGUUGUGGUGAAAGUCUUUAAAGCUUAAAUUUCUAUGAAAAUUAGUCUAAAAUCCAAAAUGCAUUUCUAUUAGCCAUCAACGGAGAGUUUGAAGAUAGGCCUUUUGUUCCCCUCCAAAGAAAAACCAUCACAAAAAUAAGAAGUUAGAUAUAAGGGACUCUUCCAGUUUAGCAUAAUUUAAUGCAAAAUUAAUCGUAUGCAGUAUAGCCUUAUUAAGGGAGAAAUAAAAUCAAACCAAAUAUUUCUUUUUUCCUUAAAGAGCUAGUAUACGGACAUAGGUUCGAGAAGGCAAACUUAUAGGUUUGUGAAUAUGCAUAUCUGAUUCAUGAGUAUCGCUUCGGGUAGAAUUUCCAUAGCAGUAUAUAAAAGUUGGGGGAAACUUUCUUAUUUGCGACAAAUUUCCCAAAAUAACAAUACUAAUAAGAAAAGUAGAACAAGGACAAUUUACUUGAAUAGUAAAUCUUUUUUUUUCUUUUACAAAAAGAAAAAGGGAGGGAGGGUAGGAGAGGUAGAGAGGGAAACUAACAGAACUCUUGCUUCUUUUCGUGGAAGGUGCAUCAAAGGAAAACUGAAUUGGAAGAUUUAAAUCAAUUCAAACAGUAUAUGAUAUGACAAAAUGCAUAACUAAAAAUCUCAAAUACACAAAAAUAAAAUACUUGAAAGAAAUUGUAAAAAAGAAUUCAACUUCCUUAAUCUCACACGGUGAGAUUUUCUAUACCCUAACAUGGUAAAAGAGUGCGAAAUAUAUAGUGAAAAAAAUUAAAAGAAGAAAAAAAAUCCCGUUCGAAUCAUUAAACUCCAAUUUUUUUUUUUUAAAAAAAACUGAGACUAAUAGCUACCAAAAGUAGUCCAACUUAACAGCUACAAUUUAACUAUUCACGAAGUAGAGAUAUCCAAACAAACGAAAGCCAAAUAUUUACCUCUAAAUUUUCUAGUAAAGGUGUUUAAGUCCAAACCAUCUGCAGCAGAAAAUUAGAAUCCUAAACAUUAGAAACAAAGGAAAUCUGAUAGUAGCAAACUAACAAAACAAAUACCCAUUCAGCAGAUACAAGUUUUCUGAUAGGUCAUAAUUUGUUGCUAAAUUUAUAAUUAUUCUCUCCUUGAUUUUAACCAAAUAUUAUUUUAAUUGUCAGAUUCUACUUAUAUUUGGUAUUUUGUGCUUAUUUCAGGAGCGGGAAUGCAAAGUGCUUAAAUGAAGAUUUUCUAGUGAAAAAAUCUGAUGGUUUCACGGGAGCACACCUAAGUUCACUGCUCAAAACCGAAAAGUCGGGAUUGAUAUUGGGCAAUCUCCAAAUCUGAAUCAAUUUCCUAAUUUGAUAGUCAUCAGUCCAUCGCUUCACCUGAUGAUUGGUCUCCUAUCUCUAUUGGGACACUAGUCUAGUUUAUUUAUCUUAACUUUGUGGAAACAAUCUCUUAUCUAGUAGGGAUUUGAUUUCGAUUAGUAGAAGUAGUCUAAUAGUAUUAGGAAACAAAACAGCAGAGCAUCUUUAUCGUUUCUUUAUUCCCUCUUUUAGGAAGACUAGUUAGUAGUCAGUGGAUACUUUUUGCUUUUUAGUUAGUCGCAAGACACAAGAAAAAACUAUCUUAUCUUUUCUUUCACUUUCUUUGAAUAAAAAUACAUCACUUUUGGGGAAGAAGAGUCACGUCAAUUAGUUCGACUAAUUGGCUUGGGAUUUCUUCAACGAAGAUGAACUAAACCCCUAAUUCUAGUCAAGGGGACAACUGACGAUUUGGUUCGGCAAUUACUAUGAGAUCUAAACCGUUUUUAAUUGUUUCUUUCAUUUGUUGGUAUUUAUAUGUUUCCUACUUUUAAUUGUUAUAGCUCUUGUGUAUGAUUGAUUAGUGUGCAAUAAUUAAUUAUUCAUAUAGGCUAUUUUGCUAAUUAGGGAAAUUGAAUCCGUAAUUAUUCGAUUAUCCCUAUCUCAGCAGCAACUGGUAUAAUUGGGUUUAUGUCAGGGAAACAUAUGAUCUAAUUUAAACAAACCCUCAUAGCAUGUUUGUUUGUUAGGAUUGGGUCUUUUUAAUUAUUAAUGCAAUCUAGAAAUUAAAUCCUACAAUCGUACUUAGUAUUGUUUUUUGGGUUAGAGAAAUAGUUAACGGUCGUACCUUAAUUAUCGAGAAAUUAAGGAAGGGUUGGUUGUUUAUCGCGUGCAUGACAACUAUAACCAAUCUAUUAAUAAAUGUUGGAAUUAUUUAGGAUUCAAUGAUUAGUGUCUGAACCAUUUUUGAAGUGUACCAUUGGCUAGGGCUGUCCUAAUUAUUUCUUUUAAUUAAUUAUUUUUUGCAAUUAAAUUAUUUAGUUAGCUUUUAAUUCUAAAAUCCCCUAUUUGUUUUGAUUCAAAAGGAAAUAAAUUUCUCCCCAGUUCUUGAGGAGACAACCCUACUUGUCACUGUCUACUAGUUAGUGAAUUUAGUCAGAUAAUUAAUUCGGGUAUAUCAGAUUAAGUAAACUCUUCGAAAACAUGGUGAAUCAAGUAAUCUAUUGCACACCUAGAGUCCCUGCUCCAGUACCUAAAAUUGAUUAUUGGCUACUUUGGGUGGUAGUUAGGUUUUAUUUAUUAUUAUUGUACAAGUUCGGCACCUGUCAAUUUUUGGCGCCGUUGCCAGGGAUUGGUGCUUAAUUAAUUUGUUUCUUUUUUAGUUCAUCUUGUUUUUAUUUUUAUUUUUAAUUUUUUAAUUUUUCUCUUAUUUUUUUAUAUAUAGUUUAUGGCUGCUAACAUUUCGUACUUUGGUGAUAAACUGGAUUUUAUUUCUAGAAGGGGUUAUGAGACUUAUGCUUUUUUUAAUGAUCAAUGAGUUGUUGCAAAUUGUAAAACUUAUUUUGCCUCAAAUCAUUCAACCGACAUAUGCCCUGCAUUUCAAGAUGGUCUAAGUGCUCCAAUAGAUACUUUUGAAAAUUUUUCGCCUCAAUAUCAAACGUGGUAUGACCUUUAUUCAAACGGGUAUGAUCAAGAAUGGUGGGAUGAUUCCAAUUUUAAUUAUGAACAAAGGUCAAUAGAUUUUCAACAGCUAGAGUCUCAAGAACCGUCACCCAUGUCAGGUAUGUCUCUUGAAGAAAUAGUUGAAUCACUAGCUACUAACAAAUAUCUACUUCAACAGGAGACAUAUCUACUUUAACAGGAGACACAUCAAUUUCAACAGGAGGUACGUCAAUUUCAACAGGAGAUACAAAAGAUGAUUAAAGAGAUUGAAGAAGGAAGACGUGAAUGGGCAUCUACAAUGAGCAAAUUGAUUUUUCUAAUUUAUGAAGAAUUGCCCUCACAGACCAUCAACGAUCUUAAAGAAGAUGAGAGUACAAUUAUCCUGACAAGUGACAUGGAACUGCAAGAGUCUUAAAAAAAAGAAUCUAAAGAUGCAGUUGAAAAGGGAAUUGAAUUACAAGAAAUGGAACCCCAAUAUCAAAUGGCUCAAGUGAAUGAAUCCAGUGAACAAUCUCCAAAUGCGGUGACAUCUACUCUAUUCUUUGAUCAAUAUUCUCUUGACUCUUAUUUUUCAAUUCCUGUUAGUGAAAUUUAUUAUACCAGAAGAUUUUGAGUUUCAUAACAGGAAUAAGUUAAGAGCUGCAAUGACAAAAUAUUUCGAACCAGUAAGUAUUCGUGAUGGAGGACUAAGUGAAGAAUUAAAUCCUUGUUGACUUGUUUGGCGCCAUCUACUAGUCCAUGGAAGACUGUAGCUCGUGUGCUCAAGAAUUAAUCUAUUUACGAGUGCUAUCAGGAUUACAUAGAAGAUGAAACACUGAAAUGAGUUACAUGAUUUUAUCCUCCAUGAAUAAACAUGGCAAUGUCUAGUCAAAAACAUUAAAGAAAGGCGCUACUUGGGAGGCAACCCAGGGCCUUUGUUUUAGUUUUCUUAUGUUUUUGGAGUUUUUGUUAAGUGUUAGUUGCAUUUAGUGAUUUGUUGUUUUUGUGGCAGGAAUUUGGCAGUUAGACUUGCCCACGCCAGGUGGUCACGCCUAAGGAAGGCAAUUCACGUCCGCGGGCAGAAGACUCUCUAUUAGUUAAGCGUGCCCACGCCUGAUGGUCACGCUUAAGGAACUCAAUUUCCAAAAAUUGGUCAGAAGACUCUCCAGUAGUUAAGCGUGCCCACGCCUAGUGGUCACGUUUAAGAAACUCAAUUUUCGAAAAUUGGUCAGAAGACUCUCUAAUUAUAGGCAUGCCCACACCAAGAGGUCACGCUUAAGGAUCUUAAUUUUCGUGGGUUGGUCAGAAGAUUCAAGGGCAGUUAGGCGUGCCUACGUCUAAAGUAGUGGUUUCAAAAAAAAAAGAAAUUUCCUUUCUUUUCUUUUUCUUUUUCCUUUUCUUUUUCUUUCUUUCUUUCUCUCUUUUCUUCUUCUCUUCCUUUCCUUUUUAUUCCUUUCUUUUCCUUUCCAACUACAAGACCGUAACCAAAGGACUUCAAAUUCCACCGCCACCGUUGUGCUAUUCAACGUGGGUCGUCAGUUCCUGAUUAUCACUGCUCAUCGCUCGUAAUUCUUCCUCAUCCAUCGUGAGCCACCUGACAUCCUUAGCUGCCGAUCAUAGCUUUCAUCGUCAUCAGUUUUGCCAUCGAGCUCUACAUGUCUUUUGUCGCUCACCUACAGCUAUGCUACAACCUCCCUUGAUGAUCAGGAAAGUUUCGUUAUCCCUUUUUACUUUAAAUUUUAUUCUUUAUUACUUACAUUGGGGACAAUGUAAGAUUUAGGUGCGGGGGGAGUUGUAAUUUGGUAUUUUAUUGAAAAAAUGCAAGUGUAAGCAUUUUUUUGGAAUUUUUUUUGUUUAACUUUAUCGAAUUUUGUCCAAUUUUUGCCUAUCUUUGUGAAUAUUUGUGAUUAUUCCUGAUAAACGAUGAUUAGAUGUCUCAAAUUUUUCUAUUGUUAAAAUUUUACAAUUUAAGGUGUUGAGUAUAACACGAUUAAGUUUAAGGGUUUCUCUUUGGUGAAUAUUUGAGAUUUUGUGACUUUUACACUUUUUGGUUAAUUUCUCUAAGUAUUGUAAAUAUUUGUCUAACAUUUUUUAUGCAAAUUGGUGGUUCAGCUAUUAAUCUUAGUUUUCCAUAUUUAAGAAAUGAAGCGGGUUUGUGUGAUUUUUAAUUUUAAUUUGGUGCAUAUUUAUGAAUAGUAUUCAGCUAUACUCCGCUAGUAUCGUUACCUAGUAACCGGAGGUUUUUACCACAAGUGUCAACUUUCGCAUCAAAAAACGACGAUAACUAUGAGUAUGUAGUCUUUUAGCGAUAAAAGCUGAGUAACCGGACUCCUUCAUUGGGCCAAUGUCGGAGUUCGCAUCAAAACACUUAAAUGGCUAAAAACUAAGCAUUCCCCCCUGGAGAAAAAAAAAUCAAUUAAAUGUGGGGAUAUUUUAGAAAAAAAAUGCUAAUAGUAAAAAAUGUGAAUGAAUUGUUAGCCCGCUGAUCCAUGAAUUUUAAUGUUGAAAUUUUGCUUAAUAGUCGAACCAUUUGCUUAUGGAUGCUGGUUGAAUAUUUUAUAUUCUUAGAUUAGUUGGUCAUAAAUUGAAAGAGUUCUUGAUCUUUGUAGACACCAAAUUUUUGUCAAUUUUUAAUAUUUUCUCAAGAUUUUUCUAUUUAAUAAUUUAUUUAUUUUCUUACAUUUUAAUGUGCAUUUUUCUUAUUUUUUGCAGAAAAAAAAAAUCAACUAAACCCAUUUGACAAAAUCUCUUGGUUCCCUCCUUAUUCUCAGGGACUGAAAAAAAAAAAAAAGGAGGAACGGCACUUUUUUUGGGGCUCAAAAAACAACCUGACACAAAAAAAAGGACUCCCUCAAUUCACUCUCUCGAGACACACAAGAAAUCAGACAAGCAAAGACAAAAAAAAAAAACUAACUCCUCACUCUCUUACUCUCUCGGCUCUCUCUUGGAAGUCAGAGACAAGAAAAAACAAAGAAUCACUUUCCACUCCUCACUCUCUUACUCUCUCGGCUCUCUCCCACAGGACAGAAGACAAGCCAUAACAAAAAAAAAGAAAAACUCCUCUCUCCAUUCGGCUCCCUCUCUUUUCCUAAUAUACACACACAGAAUCAAACACAAGAAAGCAAGCAAUCGGACGUGAGGAGAUUGGAAUUUCAUCAACAAUUUUAACUAAGGUCACAAGAGGUAUCAACACUUCCAUUGAAUUAUUUCCCGUUUUUUUUUAUCAUGUUGAAUUCAUGUAUUAUUGGUUGUUCCUGCUGUUUUCUUGUUGUUGCUGCUGGUGUUGUUGAAAUUUUGGGGUAAAGCCAUGAAUAAACAUUAAGGAAAAGAUGAUUUCUGUGAAUGCAUGUUAAUUGUUUGAAAAAAUGCCAAAAAGAAUUUUAGGGACUGUUUUGCCUUAAUUCAGCCUUUUUAUGUUGUUUUCUUGUUCAACUUAGAGUAUAGUUGUAAUGUAGAAGUUAUAAGGAGGGUUUUGGUAUAAUUUUUAAGAUUUUUGGUGAAGAUUAUAGUGUUUUAAAAAUAAAAAAAAAACUGGACUGGCUUUUUGCUUUUCGGCCACCUUCGGGUCAUCUUUUGUAAAAAUUAACUCCGGAAAUGGAAUCUACGCGAAAAAUCGAGUGAGAGGGUGUGUUUUGAGAAAAAUUUGGUGACCGGAGAGGUCGCCGGCGGCUGCCGGCGGCGGCGGUCCGGUGACGGCGACGCCACCGGCGGCCACCAUGGCCGCCAGCUGAAGCUUCCUCAGCUGGCCGAAGAAGAAGGAAAAAGAAACGGCUGGAGGUGGAGGAAGAAGAAAAGAAGAAGAAGAGGAAGAAGAAAAGAAAGAAAAGAAAAAAAAAAGAUUUGGGCUAAUGUUUUAUUUCGGUUGGGCCAAGGUUAGUUUUGGUUGGGUUUUGAAAAUAGGUUUUGGUUUAUUUCUUUUGGGUUUCGGUUAGGCUAGAAGGUCAGAGCCCAUGCCUUUAUUUUUGGUUGGGUCUGAGUGAUAGAAGACGGGCUGGCCUUGUGUUUUGGCUUGGACUUUCGGUUGGGUUUAAGUAGUGUCCGGCCCAAGGAAAUAAAAUGAUGGCCUGGUGGCCCAUUUCUUAAGAAUAUCAUAAACCGAUUUUUGUACUUUAGCCCCUGAUUUUUGGAGUAGUUUCAUCGUGGCCUAGAACAUUUUUAAUCUCUUUCACUUAGGUCCUUAAAUUAAUUGCACUUUGGUCCUUGAAUUUUAUCUUUUAUUUAAUUUUGACCUCUAAACUUUGGAAAAAUAUAAUUUUUAUCCCCAAAGGUUUUUCAAUUUUUGCAAUUCAGUCCCCGAUGAAUUUUGACUCUCUUUAUUAUGAUUGUUUCUUUUCUUUAAUAGCUAAUUAUGUUACUUUUGAAUAUAUUUAACUUGCAAUUUUUAGAUGUUCUUAAAUUUCUUUGCUUUGACAUGUUAACGUGUAUUUAGUAUUUUAACAUUAUUAUUAUUUUUCAAUUAAAUUGGUGCCAUGAUCCUUUUGUUCAUUGUAAGUAUAAUUAGGACAAUUUGACUCCAUUUAGUCACCACUUCAAACGGGAGGUACUCCUAUUUUAUUAUUUCAAUGUCAAUUACGUGCUCUUAUGUGCUUCUAUGUGUUCCUAUGUGUUUAUAUAUCUUUAUAUGCUUUAUUUAUUUGAUUUAAAUAGUCAUUCAAAUUUUCUUAUAUAUAUUUUAGUUAGUUUUUAUAAUGAUUCGAGAGGUAUUUAAAUACCUCAAAAAUGUAAUAGAUAGGAUAAUUAGAUUUGUUUUAUUAUAUUUUUCCCUCCUAGAUUGUAGUUAGGCGCUCCCCGAUGUAAUAGAUAGGUUGCGUGUUUAUGUGGCUUAUGUGUUAAGUAUUUUAUCCGCUUUUCUUAGGAUUUUGGCAUCUAGAUAUUAUGCUUACGUGUUAUGUGUUACGUGCUCUUAUGUGUUUAUUUGUUUUAAUUUAUGCUUUAUUUGUUUCACUAUGAAUUGUUAAUGCAUAACGUCACCACACUAGUCCAACGCUAGUUGGGGCUUCUCUCUUCGCUUACUUGCUAGUCCAACGCUAGUAAGGAUUUUUAGAAAUGGGCUGGUCCAACGCUAGACCUUUUAGGCCGUCUUGCGUUAGAUCCAUCUUUGUGUGCUAUUCACUACAUCUUCAUGCAUAUUUUUAUUUUUAGGAUCUUUUCUCAUUUGCAUGAUAUUCCCUAUUAUAUUAUCCCCUACCCUCUAUAGGCGCUGAUCAUGUCAUUUAGAAUUACAUCUCAUUUAAGCUAGUUCAUUUGCUUGUUCAUGUUAGGAUAAUUGUUUUUCAAACAUGGAAAAUGGGUGAUUAUACCUUUUUAGUUUAAAUACCCAAUUGAUCCCUGUAUAAGAAAAUUAUGUCACGAGUUUUUGCCUCCCAUACCCUUUAUGUUGCAUUCCCUUUUUCUUUGAUCACUUAUAUAUGUAUAUAAUUUAAUUUCUUUUCUUUUAUUUUAAUUUCAUCAUUCGCAUACUCGUGACACUUUCAAGGAAUCAUUUUGGCAUUCGCAAUUAAUGCGAUUGGUUCAAUUAAAUCCUUGAAUGAACAUUGUGUCCCUUUCGAUAUUUUUAUAAAUUUAGAUUUGCAUCCAUGUAGGUAACAUCCAAAUAUGAUAAAAUUAAGGGUUAGAUUAGGAAAAUUUUGACUAAACAUCGCAACUAGCUUAGACUAGGUUGAAAGGGUGCCUUAGGUUUGAGUUAAUCGAACCUUUGCCUUCCCUUUCUUCAACCGUGACUCCCGAAUCCAUUUUCUCUUGUUUUCAAAAAUCUGGAGUUGUCAAAAAGGGUUUUAUUUUAUUUUACUUUAUUUUUUGGGUGACUUGGUACACCAAAACUUCAUACCAAGUGGCGACUCCUAUUUUUACUAAAAACCCUUUUGGACUAAAUUUUGGACCCAAAUUGUCGCAUUCUUUUUUAAGUCCCAUUCUAGGUUCUUUUUCAUUUAUCAUUAAUAAAUCACAUCUUUUUUUACAAACUCCUUUCUUUCCCAUCGCGAAAAAUGGGGCGCGACAACUUGGCGACUCCACUGGGGACGCUAGAGAGUCCAAGCACUUGGUUUAGUUGUUCUUUUCUCUUUUUAACCCUUUUACUUAUCAUAUUUGGAUGUUUAGGUUGCAUUUUUCUGUUUUAGGAUGUUUUGCAUUUCACACUCGUAUUCGUUCCUCGUAUUUCAUGUAUGUGAUGAAUGGAUUAUUUAUUUACUUAUUCGUAUCGCGCUUUGCAUUUGGGAUGGGGAUAUUACCCUAGAGUCUCGCAUUGGUUCUCGAUCCCUCCCCUCCAAACCUAGCACUAGCAUACGUGCAUACGUUCUAUUUUUUAUCCCUCAUUUAUUUUUUUCUUUUAGUGGCUUGUCACGCCACUCCACCCUAUUAGGAUUAGGCGACCCACUUGGACGUCUGAUCGUGACACGAUGUGUGCGUAGCAUGAUCCCAGGGGUCACUCAAUCUUCCGCUUUAAACUUUGGGUUAUAGCCUUUAGCUUUUAGUCGAAGGUUGAGAAUUUUUGAUAGAUUCACUCAAACACGUAGCCGUGGCACGAUGUGUGCGUAGCAGUGUUUGGGGAAUCGCUCGAGCCACCGACAAAGAACCUUGGGAUUGAUGACCUUUGAUUUCCAAGUCUGAAGGCUCGGGGACCUAAAACCUAUCGAGUCUAGAUGUAUUAGUGAGCCAAUACCUCAUGCAUCCAUGAUAGUUUACCUAAGGUAGAGUCUGCCUUACCCUAUUAGGGACACUAUCCACGAAGGGAGGGAUCCAACCCCUCUUUUCCUUUUAUUGCUUUAUCUCUUUGUAUUGUUUUACUACAAUGUGUUAUGUGUAUAUUGUCUGAUUGAACUAACUUUUCUUGGUUUUUCUCUCCACUGCAUUCAUAAGCCCUAGAAAAUAAGAGUUCUGGCAUGGUACUCUGUAGGAGUCUACCCUAUUUGAUAUGACACGUUUAAAUUCAAUACUUCGCAUUUGCAGCAUGAGUACAUUUCAUUUUAGGCUUACCUCGGCAUUUAAAUGGGGCACUUUUAGAUCAUAUGUCAAUUAUUUCAUUGCAUAUUUAACCGCUUUAAUAAACUGGCAUCAUGCAUCAACUAUAAAGGGAAUGCCGUAUAGGGAAUCCCGCGUUAGGAAUAAGCCACCUUUUGUCUCGGCUAUAUAAUCCAAUGAGACUUGCACGUUUAUAUUUUUUGUACAAUCCAAAGGGGUAGUGCACAAGGUAAGGUAGGAUUCGAUCCCUUUUGUGUGACGGCAUUGAGAAUGAUGGAACAAUUUUUACGCAUUAGAAUAUGAGCCUCUAAUAAUCACUUUUUGGCUAUUUUAUUAGAAUUGGUAAAAAUCCCUUGCGUAAAGGAUAUUAAGUUGAAGAAAUUCACAAAUUCCUCAUUGUUGAGAUGAUAAGUAUGUUAAGGCCAAAUCUUGAUUUCCGAAGGCUCAUAGACUAAUGAAUCACAAUGAAAUUUUUUGAAUCUACCAAUGGGCAGACAAUUCCAUCAAUUUUGAUAAAUUAUCAAUUUCAUUCAUUCCAUUUUUACAUCUAAGAUGAUUGAGUCGAUUUUUUUUAUAGAUCAUUCGAUCCAUACAAUUUUGCUCAUUUUUAAUUUCAUUUUCAUUCAAUUUCAUUUUGGAUAAAUCAUGAAUUUCAUUCUGUUCGUUUGGCCAGUGAUUCAGUCGAUUUUUGAAUAAACUGUCAAUUCUAUCCAAUUCAUUUGAUCAAUUUAUUCAUUUUUAGGACAAUACAAUCAAUUUUGAAUAAAUCAUCAAUUCCAUCCAAUUCACUAUUCAUUUAGUCAACUUUAUUUUUGUUGAAUAAAUUCUCAAUUUCAUCCAAUCCAUUUGAUCAGUUUUAUUCACUUUCAGGAUAAUCCAGUCAAUUUUUGAACUAACCAUCAAUUUCAUUCGAUUCAUUUAUUCUUUUUUUUGAAGUUUCGAUCUAUGGUUCGCCGAAGAAACUAGUCGAGACAUUUCAAUCAUUUCAAAAAUAAGUUUAUCAUACUUAAUUGAUUUUGUUUAUCACUUUAUAGGUCAAUCAGAGCAAUCAAUCCAUUUGGAUUUUGUCCUCAUUUUAUUAGGACAAUUUUUCUUUUGUCACUCUAAUUAGCCAAAUUUUUCCAAAAUUGUCUUUUAUUCGAAUCUUAAUGAGCUGAUUGGAUCCAUCAGGUAUUGUAUGGUGCCCACCCCAGAGGAUUGCAUUUUUCAUACUAGAGUAACCCUUGGCAUAAAAGGGUUUCCCCCAUAGGUCAUGCAUUCGAAUUUUUUGGAUAUUUACUAACUCUUAUCGUUUUUUUUUUCUUUCUUUAUUUUAUUGGAAAAUCUAAGUGAGAGCUAAAUCUAAAAGGCAAUUCCUUUCAACAUUCUCAGGUAAUAUUUAAACAUAACUUCUCUUUGAAGCCUCAUCAUAGCACGAUCCCGUAGUCAAACCCAGAAGAAUCGUAUAAACAUGAGUUCACAACCGGAACCGUCGGAUAGGUCCAUUACUACAGCUCAACCUGAAACUACAAAUUUGGGGGUCCAGCUAACCGAGAUGCUUGCUAAGUUUAGCGAAAUGACUACCGAGAUGGUGGCCCAAAGGAAAUUGAUUGAUGAGUUUAUCAGCAGCGAAGUUCAACCCGAACCUGUACCCGUCAGACAACCUGAGCAAGAACCAUUUGUCAUACCUUCGACUCAAACUACAUUUAUUCCAUCCUUCCCUAUUUCACCCGAAGAAACUCUCACUUAUGCCACCACAAAUUUGCCAUACACUUACCCUCCUAAUCCUUCUUUUCUUCCUACUCACAUGCGAGGUUCACACCCCCAAAUUACUUCGAAUAUACCUCCCGAACCACAUGGUUUUUAUCACACUACCGCAGAGCCCUUACUGCCAGACCAUACUGUCCAAGCUAAACCAGAGGUAGGAGAAUCUUCUGCUCUUGUUGAUAUGAAAUUGCUCAAGCGCCUAGACCGUUUCGACGAAUUUAUGAGGAAAAGUCAAGGGCUAAACAAGCAAGGAGUGCUGGACUAUGAUGAACUUUGUCUCUUCCCAAAUGUGCAGUUGCCUGUGGGGUUCAAAACCCCAAAAUUUAACAAGUACGAUGGAAUGGGUAACCCUAAGACACACCUCCGACUGUUUGCUAACAAGUUGGGAAGGCCCAUAGAUGACGAGAAUCUGCCUCUAAGGCUGUUCCCAGAAAGUCUGGAGGGUGAUGCACUCGACUGGUAUUCCAAUUUGAAACCCGAGGAAGUAAAGACCUGGCUUGACUUGUCCAAUGCUUUUGUGAGGCAGUACGAGUACAACUGUGAGUUGGCUCCGACACGAACCACGUUGGAAGGAACGAAGAGAAAACCCUCUGAGGACCACAAAACCUAUGCUAAGAGAUGGAGGAAAAUAGCUGCAAAGGUUGAGCCACCAAUGACUGAAGAUGAAAUUAUCAGCACUUUCAUUAAGGCACAUGAUCCACCGUACUUUGAAGAAAUUUUCCGCAUGACUGGAUGUUCGUUUGCUGCUAUUGUCAAUAAGCUUGAAGAGUACGAUGACUUCGUAAGAGUUGGGAAGAUCGUUAAUGUCUCUGUCCUCAAAUCGCAGUUGGAUGCUUUGCAAGGACAAGUGAGCAGUGGACAAAAGCCGCAGUUUAAAAAGGAAGAGGGGGAAGCUGCCUUCAUCUGGGAUCAAAACCCUACACCAAGACCCAGAUUUCAACAUAAACCAACAUAUUCACCGCCUUAUCCCUACUAUCCAAGUCUUCACCCUGUCUACAAUACCAAUAUCUCCCACCCCCGACCUCGCCUAAAUUACGCCAAAUCGCCCACAAUCCCUUUUCAAAUAUCUCAACCCAAUUUUCAACAAACUCGUUCUCGACUUUCUUACAACCAGAGAUUUCCCCCACCAAACGGACCCACCUAUAACUAUCCCCAACCCACUGAAACCUACAAUCAAAGUCGUACCCGAACCUUCACCAACCUAGGCAGGCCUUUGGACCGAGUGUAUGAGCAGUUAAGGGAUGCCGGUAAAAUAGGUGUGACCUUUAUGGCAUGCCUGCCGGAUACAAUCCGCAGUCCACUUGUGCCUAUCAUUCGGGAGCACCUGGCCACUCAACCGCUGAUUGUAAAGCCCUUAAGCACAAAGUUCAAGACAUGAUCGAGGCAGGGGAAAUAGUGCUAAGGAAAAAGGGUGAACAAAGACCGAGCAUAAGUACAAAUCCUUUUCCUGAACAUAAAGACACCUUUGAGGCAUCCACCUCCAAUGAAGAAAUUUGAAAAUCUUGAAGGAAUUUUGCACAAUUGGAUUGCCGAGUAUCUUCCCUCUUGAAGGGAAUUUCGAUAAAAUUUGGGGGUUGUCAUUUGCUAAAAUUCAUAAAAAUUGUCACUGGUUUUGUGUAAAUAGUUUUGGCUAAAACAAUUUUCGCAUUAUCAAGCUCCUGUGUUGCUUUUUGAAUUUUUCAACGGAGUGCAUAGUUACAUCUUUUCAUUAUUCUUGCUUGUUUGAUACCAUUUUGUUUAUAUUGGUUGAUUGUGUAUUGUUUUAAUUUCCUUUUACAUUCUUUUAGAUAGCCAAAAAUAAAAUUAUUUGACCUUUGGAUAUCACUGUUCUGGAAUCCGGUGACGGCAAUCUCGAUAUCACUCGCGACUUUGACGUUAUGGAAUCUGAAAUUCAAAACGAGAGUGAUAAUGAGGAAGUAUCUGGUUUUUUUCAAAAGGUUUGAACAAUAUGAAGAGAAAUCUAAACCGAACCUAGAAGAAACAGAGAUUGUUAACAUUGGCACUGAGACUGAGGUCAAAGAAAUAAGGAUAAAUAUACAUCUGAAUGAAGAGCAGAAAAGAAAUCCCCUUCAUUGCGUAUUCUAAUGGAAGCCAAGUUAGAAGAAGCUGAUUGGUUGAAGUAGAGACUUUUUAACAAUCGGCUCUGAUUGAUGAAAAGCGUCUGAAUGCUAUAUGUCGCGGCCAAUGCUACCAAAAACGCAUGUCCCGUGCUUACAACAAAAAUGUCCACCGGCGAUCCUCCGAAGAAGAAGACAAAGUGCUAAAGCGAAUUUUGCCAAUACAAAAUGAAGCCAAAGGCAAAUUUGCUCCAAACUGACAAGGCCCAUUUGUCGUUCAAAAGGUGCUACCGGGCGGAGCACUUGUUUUAGCAGAGAUGGAUGGACAGACAUUCCCUCAACCUAUCGACUUAGACAUGUGUAAGAAAUUCUUUAUUUGAUUAUGCGAAUUCCUUUUAGAAAUCACGCAAGGGACGAGACAAAAGUCAGGCCAUCUUCCUUUCCAAUCAAAACAUUUCAUCCCUAGUCAUCCCCUUUGAGCUAUCAGAACAAUAAUUUUCGUUUGACAGCCCCUGAGAAUUGCAAACCCCACACUGGGGCAAAUUCAUUUUGAAAAAGAUGAUCCAGAAGAGGAAAAGGAAAAGAAAAGCCCCCCACUGGGGCAAAUUUAUUUUGAAAAAAAUGAUCAGAAAGAGAAGAAAGAACCCCACACUGGGGCAAAUUUAGUUUUUGAAGAAAAAUGCAAAAGUGAGAAAAAUGCAAUGAAGAAAAUGCAAAGAGAGAAAAUUCCAAUCAAACUGGGGCAAAUUUUCCUCGGUUUCAUUCAAAAAUUGGAGAUUAUUUCAAAAUGAUGCAAUCUCAGAUUAUUUCACACCUCUCAUCAAAAAAAAGAAAAAUUACUUUCAAGCCUCAACUUUCUUGAAAAACACCCCACCUGACCUCAUUACAAAAACCCAAAGUCUUGGAUUUCGUCACUUGCUGUAUUUCUAUUAGGAAGUUCGCUAAUCAAUUGGCAAGUGAUGUCCAUUAUGCCUUCGCCUAACCUUGUAGGGGAAGCGUAUUUUACUGAUGCCAGCUAUCUUCAACUCACAUGCCGGAGUUGAUCAUGGUCGAGAUUUUCUAUUGUUCCUUAGGUGAAAACUUGAAAGGACACCUUAAAAAAAGGGAAAAGAAAAAAAGAAAAGAAAAAAAAAACGGUGGGGGCAACCUUGGUGAAAAUCCGAAAGGCGCCAAGGUAGGGUUCUGCAGUAAGCGAGCACGAGGAGAAACAGUUGGUGACUUUGGUUCAUUUGAAUUUCUCUUCGUUUUGUUAUACUUCUGCCAAUGUUGAAUUCCGGAACAAAGAUAUCCAGAGAUUCGAAUAUGACAUCCGUUGGCCAAAAGCUGUGUCACGUUGUAAAAAUGUUUUUUUGCAAUACAUUCUUAUGAAACUCAUCUUUUCUCAAUUGCUUGUAUUCAUGGCAUUUUGUAGGUUUAAAGCCCAAUUAGUUGCAUUUGCAUUCUUUUGCAUAUCCAUUUCUGCAUGAUAUGCGAAAUUACCUUGCAUACUUCAUUUAUUUAUUUAUUUAUUUAUUUUAUCAUUGAAUUUUGGUGAAUGACAAUCCCUAUGGUUUAUUCGAAACAUAUUUAGAUUCAGUCAUCUUUUGAAAAUGGUUGAAAUUCAGCAAAGCUGGCUACGCAGGUUUCACGAUAUGGCAAAAGGCAUACCUGGUUAGUCUGAAAAAAUGCCACAGCAAAAGUGGAUGAAUGCAUCAAAAGACUCAUGUUUACACGAUUCUCAAAGGGAAACGGAUUAAAUAAUGGUGGCAAUUUCUUUGUUCUUUCUCUUUUGCAGAAAAAUUUCAUGCAUAGAUGAAAACAAUCACAACUUGCACUGGAGUCGGUAUCGGAAGGAGUUCUCCAGUGAACAAAGGCGGAUCGAAAAAUAUUGCAAGCAAAUUUGAUCAAAAGGUGCAACAACAUGGCAAUGCAGAAUCAACUAUUGGCUUAGGUGCAUAAACUUAACCUCUACUGGGGCAAAAAAAAAAAUAUUGGGUUAUUUUCAGGUAAGUAUACUUAAAUUUCUCGUUCGGGUCAGUCCCAUGUUCAAAUUCUUGUUCGGGUCAGUCCCAUGAUAAAUUCUGGUUCGGGUCAUCCCGUGUUUAAUUACCUACUCGGGUCAGUCCCAUGUUUAAAUUCUUGAUAAAUUCUGGUUCGGGUCAUCCCGUGUUUAAUUUCCUACUCGGGUCAGUCCCAUGUUUAAAUUCUUGUUCGGGUCAGUCCCAUGAUAAAUUCUGGUUCGGGUCAUCCCGUGUUUAAUUUCCUACUCGGGUCAGUCCCAUGUUUAAAUUCUUGUUCGGGUCAGUCCCAUGAUAAAUUCUGAUUCGGGUCAAUCCCAUGUUUAAUUUCCUGGUCAGGUCAGCCCCGAGUUUAAAUUUUUGUUCGGGUCAGCCCCAUGUUUAAAUUCUCAUUCGGGUCAGUCCCAUGUUUAAUUUCUUAUUCGGGUCAGUCCCAUGUUUAAAUUCUCAUUCGGGUCAGUCCCAUGGUAAAUUCCUGUUCGGGUCAGUCCCACGGUAAAUUCUGGUUCGGGUCAGUCCCGUGUUUAAUUUCCUACUCGGGUCAGUCCCAUGUUUAAAUUUCUUAUUCGAGUCAGUCCCAUAUUUAAUUUCUUGAUCGGAUCAGUCCCGUGUUUAAAUUUCUUGUUCGGGUUAGUCCCAUGGUAAAUUCUCGAUCGGGUCAGUCCCAUGUUUAAAUUUCUGUUCGGGUCAGUCCCAUGGUAAAUUCUUGUUCGGGUCAGUCCCACGUUUAAAUUCUCGUUCGGGUCAGUCCCACGUUUAAAUUUCUGUUCGGGUCAGUCCCAUGGUAAAUUCUUGUUCGGGUCAGUCCCACGUUUAAAUUAUCGUUCGGGUCAGUCCCAUGUUUAAAUUUCUUGUUCGGGUCAGUCCCAUGAUAAAUUCUGAUUCGGGUCAGUCCCAUGUUUAAUUUCCUGUUCGGGUCAGUCCCGCGUUUAAAUUCUUGUUCGGGUCAGCCCCAUGUUUAAAUUCUCAUUCGGGUCAGUCCCAUGGUAAAUUCUUGUUCGGGUCAGUCCCAUGUUUAAUUUCUUAUUCGGGUCAGUCCCAUGUUUAAAUUCUCAUUCGGGUCAGUCCCAUGGUAAAUUCUCGUUCGGGUCAGUCACAUGUUUAAAUUCUCGUUCGGGUCAGUCCCGUGUUUAAAUUUUCGUUCGGGUCUGUCCCGCGUUUAAAUUCCUAUUCGGGUCAGUCCCAUGGUAAAUUCUGGUUCGGGUCAUUCCCGUGUUUAAUUUCCUGCUCGGGUCAGUGGUAAUUUCUUGUUCGGGUCAGUCCCAUAUUUAAUUUCUUGAUCGAGUCAAUCCCGUGUUUAAUUUCCUACUCGGGUCAGUCCCAUGUUUAAAUUUCUUGUUCGGGUCAGUCCCAUAUUUAAUUUCUUGAUCGAGUCAGUCCCGUGUUUAAAUUUCUUGUUCGGGUUAGUCCCAUGGUAAAUUCUCGAUCGGGUCAGUCCCAUGUUUAAAUUCCUGUUCGGGUCAGUCCCAUGGUAAAUUUUUGUUCGGGUCAGUCCCACGUUUAAAUUCUCGUUCGGGUCAGUCCCAUGUUUAAAUUUCUUGUUCGGGUCAGUCCCGUGUUUAAAUUUCUUGUUCGGGUCAGUCCCAUGUUUAAUUUCUCGUUCGAGUCAGUCCCAUGUUUAAAUUUUUGUUCGGGUCAGUUCCGUUUUAAAUUUUUUGUUUGGGUAAGUCCAUUUUAAAAUUUUGGGGUCAGUUCUCAUUUCAAAAGCGUCAGUCGUUCGAAUAGCUUGCAUUCGAACUAAGUUUGACCUGAUUCCCAUAGUGGGAUACGUAGGCAACUCUACAUGAGUUCGGUCACAUUUUCUGCAAUGUUAUUACAUCUUUUGUUCACUAAUUUCAGACAAGUGUUGCUUUUCUUUAUUUUAGCUCAGGUGCAGUUAGAAGAGACAGGUAAGUAAUUUGAUGUCUACGUCUUUGUCUUGAGUUUCUUUGAAACUCUAGACAAAGAGGGGCAAGCUGUAGACACCAAAUUUUUGUCAAUUUUUAAUAUUUUCUCAAGAUUUUUCUAUUUAAUAAUUUAUUUAUUUUCUUACAUUUUAAUGUGCAUUUUUCUUAUUUUUUGCAGAAAAAAAAAAUCAACUAAACCCAUUUGACAAAAUCUCUUGGUUCCCUCCUUAUUCUCAGGGACUGAAAAAAAAAAAAAAGGAGGAACGGCACUUUUUUUGGGGCUCAAAAAACAACCUGACACAAAAAAAAGGACUCCCUCAAUUCACUCUCUCGAGACACACAAGAAAUCAGACAAGCAAAGACAAAAAAAAAAAACUAACUCCUCACUCUCUUACUCUCUCGGCUCUCUCUUGGAAGUCAGAGACAAGAAAAAACAAAGAAUCACUUUCCACUCCUUACUCUCUUACUCUCUCGGCUCUCUCCCACAGGACAGAAGACAAGCCAUAACAAAAAAAAGAAAAACUCCUCUCUCCAUUCGGCUCCCUCUCUUUUCCUAAUAUACACACACAGAAUCAAACACAAGAAAGCAAGCAAUCGGACGUGAGGAGAUUGGAAUUUCAUCAACAAUUUUAACUAAGGUCAUAAGAGGUAUCAACACUUCCAUUGAAUUAUUUCCCGUUUUUUUUUAUCAUGUUGAAUUCAUGUAUUAUUGGUUGUUCCUGCUGUUUUCUUGUUGUUGCUGCUGGUGUUGUUGAAAUUUUGGGGUAAAGCCAUGAAUAAACAUUAAGGAAAAGAUGAUUUCUGUGAAUGCAUGUUAAUUGUUUGAAAAAAUGCCAAAAAGAAUUUUAGGGACUGUUUUGCCUUAAUUCAGCCUUUUUAUGUUGUUUUCUUGUUCAACUUAGAGUAUAGUUGUAAUGUAGAAGUUAUAAGGAGGGUUUUGGUAUAAUUUUUAAGAUUUUUGGUGAAGAUUAUAGUGUUUUAAAAAUAAAAAAAACUGGACUGGCUUUUUGCUUUUCGGCCACCUUCGGGUCAUCUUUUGUAAAAAUUAACUCCGGAAAUGGAAUCUACGCGAAAAAUCGAGUGAGAGGGUGUGUUUUGAGAAAAAUUUGGUGACCAGAGAGGUCGCCGGCGGCUGCCGGCGGCGGCGGUCCGGUGACGGCGGCGCCACCGGCGGCCACCAUGGCCGCCAGCUGAAGCUUCCUCAGCUGGCCGAAGAAGAAGGAAAAAGAAACGGCUGGAGGUGGAGGAAGAAGAAAAGAAGAAGAAGAGGAAGAAGAAAAGAAAGAAAAGAAAAAAAAAAGAUUUGGGCUAAUGUUUUAUUUCGGUUGGGCCAAAGUUAGUUUUGGUUGGGUUUUGAAAAUGGGUUUUGGUUUAUUUGUUUUGGGUUUCGGUUAGGCUAGAAGGUCAAAGCCCAUGCCUUUAUUUUUGGUUGGGUCUGAGUGAUAGAAGACGGGCUGGCCUUGUGUUUUGGCUUGAACUUUCGGUUGGGCUUAAGUAGUGUCCGGCCCAAGGAAAUAAAAUGAUGGCCUGGUGGCCCAUUUCUUAAGAAUAUCAGAAACCGAUUUUUGUACUUUAGCCCCUGAUUUUUGGAGUAGUUUCAUCGUUGCCCAGAACACUUUAAAUCUCUUUCACUUAGGUCCUUAAAUUAAUUGCACUUUGGUCCUUGAAUUUUAUCUUUUAUUUAAUUUUGACCUCUAAACUUUGGAAAAAUAUAAUUUUUAUCCCCAAAGGUUUUUCAAUUUUUGCAAUUCGGUCCCCGAUGAAUUUUGACUCUCUUUAUUAUGAUUGUUUCUUUUCUUUAAUAGCUAAUUAUGUUACUUUUGAAUAUAUUUAACUUGCAAUUUUUAGAUGUUCUUAAAUUUCUUUACUUUGACAUGUUAACGUGUAUUUAGUAUUUUAACAUUAUUAUUAUUUUUCAAUUAAAUUGGUGCCAUGAUCCUUUUGUUCAUUGUGAGUAUAAUUAGGACAAUUUGAUUCCAUUUAGUCACCACUUCAAACGGGAGGUACUCCUAUUUUAUUAUUUCAAUGUCAAUUACGUGCUCUUAUGUGCUUCUAUGUGUUCCUAUGUGUUUAUAUAUCUUUAUAUGCUUUAUUUAUUUGAUUUAAAUAGUCAUUCAAAUUUUCUUAUAUAUAUUUUAGUUAGUUUUUAUAAUGAUUCGAGAGGUAUUUAAAUACCUCAAAAAUGUAAUAGAUAGGAUAAUUAGAUUUGUUUUAUUAUAUUUUUCCCUCCUAGAUUGUAGUUAGGCGCUCCCCGAUGUAAUAGAUAGGUUGCGUGUUUAUGUGGCUUAUGUGUUAAGUGUUUUAUCCGCUUUUCUUAGGAUUUUGGCAUCUAGAUAUUAUGCUUACGUGUUAUGUGUUACGUGCUCUUAUGUGUUUAUUUGUUUUAAUUUAUGCUUUAUUUGUUUCACUAUGAAUUGUUAAUGCAUAACGUCACCACACUAGUCCAACGCUAGUUGUGGAUUCUCUCUUCGCUUACUUGCUAGUCCAACGCUAGUAAGGAUUUUUAGAAAUGGGCUGGUCCAACGCUAGACCUUUUAGGCCGUCUUGCGUUAGAUCCAUCUUUGUGUGCUAUUCACUACAUCUUCAUGCAUAUUUUUAUUUUUAGGAUCUUUUCUCAUUUGCAUGAUAUUCCCUAUUAUAUUAUCCCCUACCCUCUAUAGGCGCUGAUCAUGUCAUUUAGAAUUACAUCUCAUUUAAGCUAGUUCAUUUGCUUGUUCAUGUUAGGAUAAUUGUUUUUCAAACAUGAAAAAUGGGUGAUUAUAGCUUUUUAGUUUAAAUACCCCAUUGAUCCCUGUAUAAGAAAAUUAUGUCACGAGUUUUUGCCUCCCAUACCCUUUAUGUUGCAUUCCCUUUUUCUUUGAUCACUUAUAUAUGUAUAUAAUUUAAUUUCUUUUCUUUUAUUUUAAUUUCAUCAUUCGCAUACUCGUGACACUUUCAAGGAAUCAUUUUGGCAUUCGCAAUUAAUGCGAUUGGUUCAAUUAAAUCCUUGAAUGAACAUUGUGUCCCUUUCGAUAUUUUUAUAAAUUUAGAUUUGCAUCCAUGUAGGUAAAAUCCAAAUAUGAUAAAAUUAAGGGUUAGAUUAGGAAAAUUUUGACUAAACAUCGCAACUAGCUUAGACUAGGUUGAAAGGGUGCCUUAGGUUUGAGUUAAUCGAACCUUUGCCUUCCCUUCCUUCAACCGUGACUCCCGAAUCCAUUUUCUCUUGUUUUCAAAGACCUGGAGUUGUCAAAAAGGGUUUUAUUUUAUUUUACUUUAUUUUUUGGGUGACUUGGUACACCAAAACUUCAUACCAAGUGGCGACUCCUAUUUUUACUAAAAACCCUUUUGGACUAAAUUUUGGACCCAAAUUGUCGCAUUCUUUUUUAAGUCCCAUUCUAGAUCCUUUUUCAUUUAUCAUUAAUAAAUCACAUCUCUUUCUAAAAACUUUCUUUUUUCCAUCGCGAAAAAUGGGGCGCAACAAUCUUGAAAGCUAAUUGGGAGAUAUUUCUUGCAAAUUGCCAACUAAUACUUGACAUGUGUUUUAAUUGUAUCUUAACAAUAGAAGAUUUGAGUAAUACCAUUGUUUGAAUUUGAUUACUUGAUUCGCGUUCUCAUGCUUGAGAACAAGCAUGGUUUAGGUGUGGGGGAAAUUGAUAGACCAUAAUUUGUUGCUAAAUUUAUAAUUAUUCUCUCCUUGAUUUCAGCCAAAUAUUAUUUUAAUUGUCACAUUCUAUUUAUAUUUGGUAUUUUGUGCUUAUUUUAGGAGCGGGAAUGCAAAGUGCUUAAAUGAAGAUUUUCCAGUGAAUAACAUCUGAUGGUUUCACAGGAGCGCGCCUAAGUUCACUGCUCAAAACCAAAAAGUCAGGAUUGAUAUUGGGCAAUCUCCAAAUCUGAAUCAAUUUCCUAAUUUGAUAGUUAUCAGUCCAUCGCUUCACCUGAUGAUUGGUCUCCUAUCUCUAUUGGGACACUAGUCUAGUUUAUUUAUCUUAACUUUGUGGAAACAAUCUCUUAUCUAGUGGGGAUUUGAUUUCGAUUAGUAGAAGUAGUCUAAUAGUAUUAGGAAACAAAACAGCAGAGCAUCUUUAUCGUUUCUUUAUUCCCUCUUUUAGGAAGACUAGUUAGUUGUCAGUGGAUACUUUUUUCUUUUUAGUUAGUCGCAAGACACAAGAAAAAACUAUCUUAUCCUUUCUUUCACUUUCUUCGAAUAAAAAUACAUCACUUUUGGGGAAGAAGACUCACGUCAAUUAGUUCGACUAAUUGGCUUGGGAUUUCUUCAACGAAGAUGAACUAAACCCCUAAUUCUAGUCAAGGGGACAACUGACGAUUUGGUUCGGCAAUUACUGUGAGAUCUAAACCGUUUUUAAUUGUUUCUUUCAUUUAUUGGUAUUUAUAUGUUUCCUACUUUUAAUUGUUAUAACUCUUGUGUAUGAUUGAUUAGUGCGCAAUAAUUAAUUAUUCAUAUAGGCUAUUUUGCUAAUUAGGGAAAUUGAAUCCGUAAUUGUUCGAUUAUCCCUAUCUCAGUAGCAACUGGCGUAAUUGGGUUUAUGUCAAGGAACAUAUGAUCUAAUUUAAACAAACCCUAGUAGCGUGUUUGUUAGUUAGGAUUGGGCCUUUUUAAUUAUUAAUGCAAUUUAGAAAUUAAAUCCUACAAUCGUACUUAGGAUUGUUUUUGGGUUAGAGAAAUAGUUAACGGUUGUACCUUAAUUAUCGAGAAAUUAAGGAAGGGUUGGUUGUUUAUCGCGUGCAUGACAACUAUAACCAAUCUAUUAAUAAAUGUUGGAAUUAUUUGGGAUUCAAUGAUCAGUGUCUAAACCAUUUUUAAAGUGUACCCUUGGCUAGAGCUGUCCUAAUUAUUUCUUUUAAUUAAUUAUUUUCUGCAGUUAAAUUAUUUAGUUAGCUUUUAAUUCUAAAGCCCCCUAUUUGUUUUGAUUCGAAAGGAAAUAAAUUUCUUCCCAAUCCCUGAGGAGACGAUCCUGCUUGUCAUUGUCUACUAGUUAGUGAAUUUAGGCAGUUAAUUAAUUCGGGUAUAUCGGAUUAAGCAAACUCUUCGGGAACAGGGUGAAUCAAGUAACCCAUUGCACACCUAGAAUCCCUGCUCCAGUACCUAAAAUUGAUUAUUAGCUACUUUUGGUGGUAGUUAGAUUUUAUUUAUUAUUAUUGCACAGGUUCGGCACCUAUCAUUUUCACAGUAUGACAAUAAAGCAAAAAUUUCUUUUAGAAACAAGAAACACAUAUGACCUUGAAAAUUUUCUCGUAGCAAUAUAUGCUCAAUAAAACAACGAAUAUCAAGCUGAUGUGUGUACCUUCUCAGAAGUAGAUGCACAGGCUUGGAGCAGGCUACUUCGUUCUCCCAAACUCAUUGGGUUUUGUUUAUCUACUCUUCCACGUCCUAUUCCUCUGCUUCCUGCACAUCCAAAAUACCAAUAAGGAAAACUCUAAACCUUUUUUUUUUUUUUUUUUCAAAAUCAACAGCAUGAUUACAAAAUCAAGCCCUUUUUACAAAAAAGAGAAACAAAGAAAGUUAAAUUUCUUUAUCUACAAGAGGAGAAUCCAUUGAAAAAAUGAAUUUUUUUUGUCCAAGAAAGAAACCAAUAACAUAAUCAAAAUUUUUGAAAAAAAGGGGGACCCAAUGCAUUAUGCAUUAGAAUCUGCAAAGAAAUGAAGGAGAAAAUUACACUACAAUCAGAGAGGUAGACAAAAUUUGCAAGCCCAAAAAUAACAGGGAGAAAAAAUAGGGUUCUGUAAGGCAUUAAGGAAACCACCAGGAUAAAGUAGAAGCUUAUAGGUAGAUGCAGAAAACGAAAGUAAAGAACAAAAGUAGUGGUGGAAAGCUUACGUGGAAAUGACCCUCUUGAACAAGAAUUCAAAACAUUUAGUCCAUUCAACAAGCAUCUCUAAGGAGAAAAUUGUAAUUAAAUAUUGCAAAACACUAUUCACUGAUUUAACCUGAGCAUCAAAUCUCAUUAAUGCUGUACAACAACUGAUGCUCCACUAAUGCCUGCUACAGCCUUAUAGAAUGGGCAUAAUUGUAAUAUGACCAUAAAACAGAGCAAUAAAUACUCGUACAGAAGGCAUAAAAUCCGGUACAAUAGACUCAUACUGACGACACAACCCUUAUCCUUAGCAUAUAAAGGGCAGAAGUGACAUAUUCUCCAACAUAGAAGCAACAUCCUGUUGUACGAGCCCCAACAAAAGUAGCAGCUAGUAGGAUGAAAUGACAAACAGGCCCCCGGGGAGAGCAGAUGAAAUGCAAUGAACAAUAAUCCAAAAACGCCUUCUUAUAUAUUAUAAAGAAAUAUGAACAAAUGUCACAAAAAUAUCUAAAGAAAUAUUAAAAGCACACCAAGCACAAAUUGUUACCCCUUCCUUCCAUGUUUUCUUUUUUGUACCAUUUUCUGUUAACAUUCCUCUACUCUUCGUUACCCUAUUCCUCACCUUUCUAACCCAAACUUUUCACAUCCCUCCAAAUCUUCUCUUUCCUACAAACUCUACCUUUUGUUCACUUUACCCUACUUCUAUCAAAUUAUGCAAUCCCUUACCCAAUUUCACAACCUAUUUACCUCCUAUCAUGUUACUCUUCAUAUAUAAUUGUAAAUAAUGACCAAUUUUCAACCUGCUAUUCAACAAAUGAGUAUGGGUAUACAAUUUUAUUAACUUUAAAUGGGUAACCCAAUUAAACUCAUUAAUUAGUAGCUAUUAAAUGGAUAGAUUGGAACUACCUAUUUAGACCUAAUUAAAUUAGACAUAGAUUCAAAUUCAUUAGUAUGUAAAUUUAAAUCACUACAAAUUCAAUAAUAAUAUUCUACUUUUUGCAAAGGCAUUCUUUUCCUAUUCAUUAAUUUUUAUUUUUCUAAUUUUUGUUAAAUUUUAUCCAACUUUCUCCCUCCCUUCCAUCAAAGUUUUAAUUAACUCAUUAAGUGUAAAUUGAUUUUUUGCAUUCACACCUAAAUUAUUUUGAGAUUCUUGCAGAGUGACAAAAUUAAAACUCUUUAUGAUCACCACUACUGGUUUUCUAUGUAAUGUUUUAGGUAAAAAUUUAUUUAUUAAUGCAAUGUGUUCUUAGUUUUGUUGAUUACAAUGAUAUCUUAUUUUGUUGCUCAAAGAAUAUGGGAGAACAAAUAAAUAAAAGUUUUUAGUGGAUUGUAAAUGGGUAGGACAACCAAAACCAUGUAAAACUACAUUCAUUUAACCAACAUAAAUCAUCCAUUUUGAUAGUUUCAAUAUAACCUACAACUACCGUUUCCUUGACUUUCCUAUCUUUAUAUUCCUUUUACUAUUUACGAUUCAUUACCUUACUUUUACCCUUCUCAGCCCUAUAGUUCAAUCUUUAUAUUCCUUUUAUCAUUUAGGAUUCAUUACCUCACUUUUCAAAUUUUUUUUUCAAAUAAAAGUUAGAAUUAUAGUUGUGAAAGAAAAGUAAUUGUGUAUAACUUUGGUGAAAUACUACUAUUUUUUGUAACGAUCACCCAAGAUAAUCAUUUAAACAAAUAUUUGUUUUAAAAAUUUUUUGAUAAACACUAAAAAAAACCAUCUAAAUGCGCUUUUUAUUAAUUUAAAAUUCAUAUCAAAAUUUUAUUUUAUGUACACUUUCUGAUGUACGCGUUAUAUGCAAAAUUAUCUAGAUGAAGUUUUGUGCAAGUAAAAAAUAAUCUAGAUGACGUUGUAUGUCAGAAUGUUUAUUUCAUUGGUUGGAAUCAUCGUCUAAUAGAAUAAGUUUAAAGCUAAAAAAAUUAAUUUAGUUGCAAAAGGUAAAAUGGUUAAAGAAUGGUUAUAAUUGGAUAUGUUAUCUAAAUGUUUGACAAAUUUAUGUAUAUACCUAGAAGCAAAGUGCUAAAAAUAUUACUAUAUAAAUGAUUAAAAAUUCUGAGAUUUGACAAAUCAAUCUUAUUAAUCAAGGAAUAAAAUGGGCUAAAGUGAUAAAGAUGAAAUGGGGUGAAUGAUUUUAACACGGGACUAAUCAAACUAUCCAAAUUUAUAUUCUUUAUUUAUGGAAGGAAAAAGGGGUUAAAGUUUGAAAACAAACUACAAACGAUUUAUUAAGCACUCAUUUUAAGUGACAGAGAAAGUUUUAAAUUUUAAAUUUGAAUUGUCAUAGGAUUAGUUGUAAAUCACACUAUUUCAAACUUUUUAAUUGAAUUUAUGUAUUAAAAUAAAUGAAAAAUCUAGAAAAAAUGUAUGAAAAAUUUGGAAGUCAUCUAGGAGGCCUCUACAAAAACCUCCCCUGCAAUAUAUAUAGAUAUUUGAUUUAUUUCUUGUCCCUGUCUGGCAUCUUGCUCAUUUUGAUGCAGUCUUAACUGAUCCAAACAAGGUUAACAUGAUGCUUUCUCCACAUCAAUUCUUUAGCACCCAUAAUUUUUUUUCGAGCUCUGAGUUGGCUUAGUUGGUGGGUACUGCCUAGAAAUACCCAAGAGGAUUGAGGACCUAAUACAAAUUUGUUAUUGGGUAUUUUUACGUGGUAGUUGCAGUUGUUGACCACAUGUUUUUUUUUUUCUAAUGUAUGUGAGGGAUUCGAAGUUGAGACCUUUCAUUUACAAUUCUUUUUCCAAAUCAUCCAAUCAAUUCCUCUCUCUUAAUCACAUGGUUCUGAUAGCUUUCACGUGCAUGGAUUUUUAAUUUGGAUAUCUCGGAACGGGAUUCCGAUCUUUGGUAGUAUUUGAAAAGUUAUCAGAUUGUACCAAAAAAAAAGGUUAAAAUAUGCAAAAUUCUUGAGAUUAAUUUGGUUCUUCCAAUUUCUUUCGUUUUAACUCUUCUUUUUGUUUUCCAUUUCCUUUUUCCUAUUUUUUUUUAAAGAGUCCUUCUCUAUGUACUUUGAGGUGAAGUAACCAGAACGCAGCAAUGGUGCCGUGCCACCAAGCCCUCACCAGCAACUGCUGGCCACUACCAUUAGGUCCCCAAACUUAAGAAAAUUUUCAGGAUAAAAUAUUCUUUUUGUGUACAUUGUGAAUUCGGAGUCCAAUUUGGCCUCCGAAAUUAAUCUAGCCUCUUUUUCUGCAUAAAUCACUAGCAGUCCUCAUAAAAUUAACACGAGGACAAUCCUACGCAUCAAUGACUUCCUUUCCUCUCUACUUCUUCUCUUUUCUAAUUUUUCUCUAUUUUUCUUCUCUUCUCAAAGGCCUCCUCUUAGGGAGGAAGACCACGCCAUGAUCUCCCUACAAGAAUUUUGUUUUAUUUAUUUUUCUAAUAAAUCUCUUCUAAAUUUUUUUAUUGAGAGUUUUCUAUUUCUCUUAAGGGUUUCUAGUGAGAAUUUUCUAUUCUUCUAGUGAUUUGUAUGUAGAUUUUUAUAUGUAUUUUUUGUUGUUAGAACUAAAUUUAUUUCAAAUCUGAUUAUUAUAUCAAACAAUUUUUUUGUAUCUUGGAUUUAUUUAGACAGAUCUCAUCAUAAUUAUUGGAUUGGUGAUUGCAACAUGCACAGAAAGGAGCUGCAACGGUUUAUCUUAUUAGAAGAUAAUUUUAAAUUUUCUUAUAUUUUUCAAUUAUUCAUAACUUUUCAGAUCUAUUAUAUAUAUUAAAUUGCAUAUCUAUAAUUUUCAGUGCAUGUUUGACUUGGUAUCAGGACAAUACUAUACAUCAAAUUAUACUAAACGAUUUCUAACAAUUCGUUAAUGAAAUAUAUUUUUAUAUAAAAAAAAAAAAAACACAAGGACAAUCCUGAGAAGUCGUAGAACAUUUAUGUAGUACCAAUUUAACAUGGUAAAGCAUAGAUAAACAUGAAUUUAAGGCAAAAUUGACAUUCAUUUGAGAACCUCCAUUACCUCCUUUGACCCUCAAACCGUCAAACACCUCAAAAUUUUAGGCUGGGAACUCAUCUUUAAGGUGUACAUUGACUAAGCCCUCAGGGGCUUGGUCUGGUGGUUGAGGUUGCUGAAGAUGGAGCCUCAGGUUCCUGGUUCGAACCUUGCUGCCAGCAAGUUGCUGAGGGUGGUGAAUAGUCUGCGGGGUCCACUCCCUGCGGGACACACAAAAAAAAAAAAAAAAAAAAAAGGUGUACAUUGACUAGAUUCGUUUCUAAAUUGGACUAGACUCCUCUAUAUUGAAUUGGAGAAAAGUCGUCUCCAUUACAUCACCAUAAAUUUAAUUCAAACAUUAUUUUCAAAAAUUAAUAUCGUUCAUGAUAUAUUUCAUAACCUGUAUUAGUUAUACUUAAAAUUUUGUAUGAAAUUAACACAGUUUUGUCAUUUGAUAAGUCAUUACUAAUUUUCUUCCAAUUUUAGCCCAUUUUCAACAUUCAAAAUGUUUCAUGUAAAUUGAAUGCCAAAAUAUUCUCAAAAGAAUAUCAUUUUUUAAUAUAUUGAUCUAGAGAUCCAAAGAAAAGUAAUGAAAUAAUCAACUGAUUUUAUAAAAUUACAGUAACUUAGAUAUAAAUAAAUAAAGAGAUCAAUAUCAAGAGAUUCGACGGAAAGGGUCCUAACCCGUCUAAAUUGGCCAAACAACAAACCAAAAUCGCAUAAAAAAUCAAAUUCCUAUAUUUUUUUUUCACCUGGGUUUUUUCCUUUCUUCUUUGGGAUAUAGUGAUGGCAAACAGAAAUGAAGAUGGUGGUCACGAAAAAGAUUGUUAAGGGAGUCAAGGAGGCAGCGAUGGUUAUGGAAAUUUUUUUCAAAAAAACAAAUUAAGUUGCGGUGGAAAUCACCAGUUGUGAGUUACCGUAUUGAGGGGAUCGAUGAAGAUGAUCAGGUUAAAGGAAAGAAAUUUUCAAAAUUGUAAUUCUACCCUUCAACUUACUUUUUUCUUUAAUAAAGAAUAUAAAUUUUUUUGAAAUUAUAAUUAAGCCCCUUAAUUAACCUUUUUUUACCUAAAAGUAAAGGUAGUAUGGGAAUUUCAAACUUUUCUAUAUAUCAAUAUAGACUGUUUUCAUCCACCUUACCUAUCAGUUUAAACCAAUAAAGUCUUUUGGAUAUUUUUGAAUGAGAAGGGGGUUCAAUAACGUGCAAAUCAGAGGAAAUUUUUGUGCAUUUUACUCAAAAAGAAUCAAUUCCAUAUUGUCUAUAUAUAUAAAUAAAAAAGAUUGAUCCGUAUUGAAUGCGGAUCCAUAUUGAGGCUGUGGAAUUGAUGCAAUGACUCAUAGGUGUACCAGUUGCAAAAUUAUCUUUCUUGCGGCGGGAGGGGAGGGGAGGGGAGGGAGAAAGAAGGGGAUUAAGGAGGAGGAAGGAGGGAAGGGGGAGGAAUGGUGGUGGCGGUGAAGAAAGGGAAGUGGAAGUGGUGGUGGCUAGGAUUGCAUUCGAGUCGAGUCGAGUUCGAGUAGUGCACCACACAAGCUCGACUCGAGGUAAAAUAACUAAGAUCGAACUCGAGCUUCAGCUCGUCAAGCUUUUAGAAUUUGAGCUCGAACUCGAGUUCGACAUUAAUUUAUGUUACACGAACUCGAGUUUAAUUAAGUGUAAUCAAUUCAAAUCAAGUUCAAUCGAGUUUAUUUGAGUUCAAUCAAGCCUAAUCAAGCUCGCAUAAUAAAAAUUAAUAUUUUAUAUAUAAUUUUAAAUAAAGGAUAUUAUUGACAUUUUACAAUAAUAAAAAAUAAAAUUAUAUUAUAAAAAGCCCGAUUAGACUCGUCGAGCUUUCGAGUGCAAAAUAUUGAAACUCGAGCUCGACGCGAGGCUUCUAUCAAGCAGAGCUCGAGCUCGGUCAAAACGAGCUGCUGACCAAGUAGUUUGCGAGCUCGAGUCAAGCUACUCGGUUCAGCAACAGCUCUAGUGGUGGCGGUGGUGAUCGGUAGUGAAUGGAAGAAGAAAUGGCUGGUAGUUUUUUUUUUAUAUUUUUGUUAGGUAUAUUUGAGAUGUGUAUUUGUAGUGAUUUUGGGAGUAUUUUUGGAGUUUGUUACUAUAGAUUCCAAAUAUAAAAGCUAGUUUUCCAAAAAAUCUCAUUUUAAAAACAUAGACCAAGAUGAGACAUUACAUUAGAAAAUCAAGAUGUAAUUUUCAAGGGGUAAAAUUGUAAUUAUAAUAUGUUAAAAAGAAUCAGUUCCUCGAGCGCGCUUCAUUGUAUCCAUAUAUAUGUAUUAUUUGCUUCUUGUCUUGUGAAAACCUUCAAAAGAUGACUUGCAAGGGAAAUAAUACCUACCAACUGAUGGAUUCCAAAGCACUUGCCUCUUGUGUUCUCCUCCUUCAUCUGUUGAUUGUCCUGGUAAGUUACUUUGACAAUAAAUUGUUUUUUGUGAUUUAUAUGCUGUGGACUUAAUUCUCGCUGUCUUACAACACUAUACAACCUGUACAGGGAGCCUGUGAUAUCAUACCCAAGGCCAAGUAUAGUGGUACUAAUGCAAUCAGGCUCCACAGCAUGGAUGCUAAUAAUCCUCAUCGAAAUGAUAAGACACAUCAUGUUGCUCACGUCCAUGAAAAGAAGUCAAUGCAUGAUCCUUCUCUUUCCUCAUCCCACAUGAUGCAUCAGAUUGAUCCAAGAGCAACCGUGUUUUUCGUUUUAGAUGAUCUCAAGUUAGGCAAAACAUUGAGUAUCCUUUUCCCUGACGGAGAUCCUAGUCCUUUGUCCUCUCCUUAUCUCUGGCCUAGAGAACAAGCCGAUGCUAUCCCCUUUUCAUUGGCAAAACUCCCACAGAUUCUUCAACACUUUUCAUUCCCUCAAGGAUCUCGCAAAGCCCAAGUGAUGGAACAUGCACUCCGAGCAUGCGAGACUAAGCCUAUGAAGGGAGAACCCAAGGCUUGUGCCACAUCCUACGAGUCAUUGGUAGAUUUUGCACGAAAGAUCUUGGGAUUGAAUACCGACAUUGAAGUUUUAUCAACGCAUCGCCUCACAAAAUCUAAUGCUGCUAGAUUACAGAACUAUACAAUCACAGAAGCUCCUGAACGAAUUUCAACUCUAAAGAUGGUUGGCUGUCACACCAUGCCAUAUCCUUACAUAGUUUUCUAUUGCCACUAUCAGCAGGGUGAUAAUCGUUUAUACAGGACUGUUCUAUCUGGAGAGAAUGGUGAUAGGGUUGAAGGCCUUGCAAUAUGCCACAUGGAUACCUCCCAAUGGAACCAUGAUCACGUUUCCUUCCAAGUGCUUGGUAUCGAACCGGGCACAGCCCCUGUUUGCCAUUUCUUCCCAGCAGAGGACUUUGUAUUGGUUCCAUCUACUUCUUCAAUCUAG
rnacentral:lncRNA from 1 species